rnacentral:lncRNA from 1 species
AGAUAAACGUUGGUAGCUAUGGACUUAGUACCUACACUGGUAGUUAUGGAUUCAGUACCCGAUGAAUGAGCCAUAGCAGCUAUGGAAUUAGUGAUUUACGAAAGAACAUUUAUCUAUUACACGUUUCUAAUACUAUCUAAUCUAUCCUAAUAUCAUCCAUCAGCCCAAUACUCCUAGUAUGCUGCAAGUGCUUAACCCUACUCAGUCCCUUCGUAAGCGGAUCUGCUGGGUUAUCUUCUGAUGAUAUCCUCUUCACUACAAGUUGUCCUUCUUCUACACGAUGUCUAAUGAAAUGGUAUUUCCUGUCGAUAUGUCUUGAUCUACCAUUAUCCCUCGGUUCCUUGGUCAAGGCAACCGCUCCUUCGUUAUCACAGAAAAUCUCCAUAGGCUCCUUUAUGGCGGGUACAACUCCAAGAUCACCGAUGAAGUUCUUUAGCCAUAUUGCCUCCUUCGACGCUUCGCUCGUUGCAAUGUACUCUGAUUCACACGUUGAAUCAGCUACGGUCUCCUGUUUGGAACUCUUCCAUGUCACUGCUCCUCCAUUUAGGGUAAAGACCCAGCCCGACUGCGAACGGUAGUUGUCCCUGUCGGUCUGAAAACUGGCGUCACUAUACCCUCGCACGUUUAAGUCAUCACUCCCUCUAAGGACAAAGAACCAUUCCUUCGUACUCCGAAGGUACUUAAGGAUAUUCUUCACCACAAUCCAAUGUGCUCUGCCAGGAUUCCCCUUAUAUCUGCUUCGGAUCCACACUCUAUUCGGAUGCUUCGGAUCCACAAAACCCUCUGGCUGAGCCAUGUAAACAUCCUCAGCCAACUUUCCAUUAAGAAAAGCGGUCUUGACAUCCAUUUGCCAAAUCUCAUAAUCAUGAAAUGCGGCAAUUGCUAGCAUCACUCUAAUAGAUUUAAUCUUUACAACUGGUGAGAAGGUCUCAUCAUAGUCAACUCUAGAAGUUUGAGUAAAGCCCUUCGCAACCAAUCAUGCUUUAUAUGUGUGUACUUUUCCAUCCACGUCGGUCUUCUUCUUGAAGAUCCAUUUGCACCCAACGGUCUUACGUCCGGGCACAUAAUCAACCAAAUUCCAAACUUGGUUAUCCUACAUGGAUUGGAUCUCGCUAUCCAUUGCCUCUUUCCACUUUGCAGACUCUGGGCCUGCCAUGGCUUCCUUAUAGCUAUUAGGUUCAUCAAGAUUUAUUAGUGUACCAUCACUAAUAUACGUGUCCCCUUCGGUAGUAAUAUGAAAACCAUAAAACUGGGGAUGAACUCUAACUCUAUCGGAACGUCUAAGAGGUAAGGAUUCGUCAAUCGGUUCAACCGGAGUUUCCUCCUCGGGUUGAGUGCCAGCGGUAGAGGUUCCUUCAUCUAUCGACUCUUGAAUCUCUUCAAGCUCGAUUUGCCUCCCACUGUCUCCUUGGCUUAUGAGUUCUCGCUCUCGGAAAACUCCUCUCCUCGCAACGAAGACAACAUUGUCCUUCGGUCUAUAGAAGAGAUAUCCAAAGGAUGUCUGCGGGUAGCCGAUGAAAAUACAUCGCUCACUUCGAGGUUCAAGCUUGUCGUGAGUAUCUCGUCUUACGAAAGCCUCGCAACCCCAAACCUUGAUAUGUGCCAACGAGGGAGCUUUCCCUGUCCACAUCUCGUGAGGUGUUUUGGCAACCUUCUUAGUAGGGACUCGGUUAAGGAUAUGGGCGGCAGUCUCUAAGGCAUACCCCCAAAAAGAGAUUGGUAGCGAAGCACGACUCAUCAUAGAGCGAACCAUAUCCAAUAAGGUUCGAUUACGCCUUUCUGCCACACCAUUCAACUGCGGUGUCCUAGGAGGCGUCAAUUGUGAAACUAUUCCACACUCCUUGAGAUAAUCGUGGAAUUCAAGACUUAGGUACUCUCCUCCUCGAUCGGAUCGAAGCAUCUUGAUUUUCCUGCCCAAUUGAUUCUCCACUUCAUUCUUGAACUCUUUGAACUUUUCAAAGGUGUCUGACUUUUGCUUGAUUAAGUAGAUAUACCCAUAUCUACUAUAGUCAUCGGUAAAAGUCACAUAGAAGCGGUUCCCAUCCUUCGUGGUUGAUCUAAACGGUCCACAUACAUCGGUAUGUAUUAGGUCCAAUAGACCCUCGCCCCUUUCACAUGUACUCGUGAAGGGUGACUUAGUCAUCUUUCCAAGCAAACAAGACUCGCAUGUGUCAUCUUCCCUAAGGUCGAAUGACUCCAACACUCCAUCCUUUUGGAGUUGGGCUAUGCGUUUCUUGUUGACAUGUCCAAGACGACAAUGCCACAAGGAUGCUUUAUCCAUACUAGUGGAAGAAUCAAUAUUCAAAACAUCAUUUCCUAAGUUAUCAACAAUCAUAACGGUUUCAUAUAUUCCAUUACAUGGUAUAGCUUCAAAGUAAAAGACACCAUUUAGAUAAGCCAAAAUAGAACCAUUCUCAUUAUUAAAAGAAAAUCUAAAUCCUUGUCUAUAUAAACCAUGAAAUGAAAUGAUGUUUCUUGCCAUUUCUGGCGAAUAGCAACAAUUGUUCAAAUCUAAAACUAAACUAUUCCUAAGCACUAAGGAAUACACUCCAAUCUUGGUCACAGGCGACGAUCUUCUGUUCCCCAUGAUUAGAUUGAUCCUUCCUUGCUCCACAUCCCUACUUCUUCUUAGUCCCUGCACAUUAGAACAAAUGUGAUAACCACAACCGGUAUCAAGAACCCAAGAAAUAGCAUGAUUAGAAUCGUUAGAUUUGAUUGUAUAUAUACCUGCGAAAGAUGGCUUGAUCUUUCCUUCUUUGAUUGCUUGCAGGUAAUCCGGGCAGCUUCUCUUCCAAUGUCCUAUCUUGUGGCAGUGGUGGCACUCUGCCUCCUUCGGGUUAGAGCAGGGCUUGGCGGGAUCAACUUUGGUCCCACUAGAAGAGGCACCAUCUCGGGCUUUCACCUUGCGAUAGUUCUUCGAUGAAGCUUUCCUCUUCUUUCCCUUCCCUUGUCCAAUAGCCAAGACAGGAGCAGCGGGCGGAUUGGGAGUAGGUGCAACAGACUUGUCUUUGAAGUUGCUCUCAGCAACCCUCAAGAGACCUUGGAGCUUGCUUAGGGUGACCUCUUCUUUGUUCAUGUGGUAGGUCAUCCUAAAUUGGUUGUACAUCGGAGGCAAAGAGUGAAGCACCAUGUCGAUCGCCAAGUCUUCACCGAAGUCAACAUUUAACUUGCGGAGGCGGUCAACAUACCUUUGCAUCUUUUGCAAGUGCACGGUAAGAGAUUCUCCAUGACCCAUCUUCGCGGAAAUCAUGUUAGUGAAAAUCUCGUACCUCUCUUGUCUCGCGUUUUGGUGGUACCUCUCCAAUAAGUCUUGAUGCAUCUCGUACGGGUACAUGUCCUCGUAGGACUUUUGGAAUUCGGAGUUCAUGGUGGCGAUCAUGAUGCAAUGUACCUUCGUUGCAUCUCGCUCAUGAGUUUCAAAGGCGGUGAUUUCGGCGGGAGUAGCAAUUUCGGGGUUGAUUUUCUCGAGCUUCUCAUCGAGGACAUACUCCUUAUCCUCAUAGCGAGCAAUGGUGCGAAUGUAUCUUAUCCAUUCGCUAAAGUUCGUUCCAUCGAAGGUGACCUUUUGGCAAAGGCUCAUCAACGUGAAAGAACUAGCAGCAGCGUUGUUUGCGUUCGACAUCUACAAUUAGAAAAGGACAAAGAUAGAUUAGAAUAAGAAUCCCUAAUUAUCACCCAAUAAGAAAAUUAGGGCUAGGAUCCAACAAUAACAUUUACAUACUAGAAAAGGGAUGCCGUAAUCUAACAUGCAAAUAAAUUGAAGGUAAGUGAAUGACGAUUCACUAAUUCUCCAUCACAAAACUUAAACUAUUAGUCCUAAGUGUUUUUGAGAAUUCCUAGGUUCGGAUGAGAUUCAUUGAAACUAUUCAAUGGCAUGUUUAAAUCUCGAUAUGCCCCUCUUGUUUGUGACUGGGAUGCCGAGGAUCACAAAGCGGGUGUGAAUUACCAUGCAAAUUCACAUGGUGCCUUCAUUGUAACAAUCACCUAUUCGAUGUGCCGGUAAACCACACACGCUCCAUCGAACUAUGAUAAACAAUGAAUCACCCUUUGCCACCUUCGCUUAGAACCAAUUAGUGUGCCGGUAAACCACACACGCUCCACUAACAUCUUAGCAAGGUGCAAAGUGUAAUUUCAUGGGAUUGCAUCAAUUCACUUUUCCUAAAGUAACUAGGAUUGGGAAAUUUUAAAAAAAUGUGUAGUUACUUUAUAUUUCUUAUUAUACUUUUAAUGAGAGGAUGAGGUUGCCCUAUCCUACCCGUUCGGCUAACGACCCUCCACCAAUCAAGCAAGCGGUGGGUGUGAGUGUACACCCAUUAAGCGCCAUUUUAUAGGCCGCAACCUUAUACCCACCUUAUAGAUCGGCUUCGUGAAUGAGGCCUACUAACGGUAAGACUAGCAUUUAGUUAUACAUAUAUAUAUUAUUCUAGUAAUAUCAUAUUAGUAUAGGGUUGUAUUUUAAAACUUUUAAAAUCUAGGGUUUGAAAUUUAAGUUGUCUAAAUUAAAACUUUUAAUCACAAAAGUAAAUUUCAAAACAUGAGGGUAGGUUUUAAACAUUUAAAACAUGGAGGAUCAAAUAACAAAUAAUUCCAAUUAACAAUUAAUAUCCUAAUUAUCUAUAUUUGAUUUAUUCAAGAUUUCUUUUAAAGAUAAUUACCAAAAUAAUCAAAAUAAUUAAUUAAUUAUCAUAUAAGGAAAUUAAAUAUUUAAUUAGUUGAUAAUUACCUUUAACUAGAUCAAGAUAAUAGUUAUAUUUAUCAGAAAAACGAAUUAAUGUUGAUCUAAUUAGUUUAUGGUAAGUUAAGAUAAGAUAAACACAAAGAAAUCCCGAAUCUGGCCAUUCCUGACGCCUGGACUCGCCGAGUGCACAAAUGGACUCGCCGAGUCAGGCCUACUCGCCGAGUCCACUUUGAGACUCGCCGAGUCCAUGACUCAGAAACCAAAAAUUCGAAUUUUGCAGGUUUGUUUCAGUUAAUCAAGCAACAAUUUACAGAAAACCAAGCUAGGCUCUGAUACCACUGAUGGGUUUUAGCCAUAAGAACUUUCCUAUGUGCGCAUGCAAAACCCUAAUGCUUGGAUCUAGGCUUUCUAAUUAAACAUGCUUUGAAUCCAAGACUUCUAAUGGCUAAUUAGGUUAAAUAACAACAUUGAAACAGAUCUAGAACCAUACCUUUGAAUUCCUUGUUGAUCUUGUUGUCUUGGAGCUUCUAGAGUCACAAUUGUCACUCCUCUAAUGGCUUACAAACACCAAUAGCAAGAAAGAUGACUUAGGAGAGAGGAGAGGGGAGGAAAUCGGCCAGGGUUCUCUUACUUUAGGUUAGGUGCCGAUUUCCCUUGCCCAUGGGAUCUAUUUAUACUUGUAGACUCCUUAAGGGUUACAAUCUAAACCCUAAUUGGAUAAUCUUCUCUUAAGGCUAUCCAAAUCCAUUCCAUAGAUAACCCCUUGGAGGAUUUUUGAAGCUAUCCUAGCUUCUAGAAUCCGUCCCUUGUAUAUCUGUAUGGAUUUACAGUCUAAAUCUUAAGUAUCAAACAAUUGACAGUUUAUACCCCUUUAUUUAAUUAAUCUCUUUAAGUCACCAAAUUAAUUCCAAUUAAUUCUAUGACUUAUAUUAAUCAAAUAACAAUAUAUUAUUCUUUAUAUUAUUCUCAUAAUAUAUUAAUAAUAUUUACUCUCUCUUAAUAAAUCAUCCUAUCAAGUUGCUAUGGUGAAGGCAACCCAAAAGGACCAUGCACNUAUGCACAACAGGGUCAGGUACUUGCCUAAUAUAGUUGCAGCCUUAGACACUAUUCCAAUAAUACAUGCUAUGUGUUUAUAUAUUAUUUGUCUAUUUGAAAUGGGCAUGGAAUUGAAUUUUUAUAUAGGUUUUAAAUGAGUUAAACCGUAUAUGUAUUUUAUCUCUACAAAUAUGUUGGGUAGAACACAUGUAGAUGAAAUAGGUGGUGUGUGAUGAAGGAUGAGUUUAAGGAUGAGAUGAAAGAUAAACCUCGGUAGCUAUGGAUUUAGUAUUGUAUAGAUGAACCUUGGUAGCUAUGGAUUUAGUACUGUAUAGAUGAACCUUGGUAGCUAUGGAUUUAGCACUGUAAAGAUGAACCUUGGUAGCUAUGGAUUUAGUACUGUAUAGAUGAACCUUGGUAGCUAUGUAUUUAGUACCGUAUAGAUAAAUGUUGGUAGCUAUGGAUGUAGUACAGUUAGAUAGACGAUGAUAGCUAUGGAUUUAGUACUGUUAGAUAAACGUUGGUAGAUAUGGACUUAGUACCUACACCGGUAGCUAUGGAUUUAGUACUGUUAGAUAAACGUUGGUAGCUGUGGACUUAGUACCUACACUGGUAGUUAUGGAUUUAGUACCCGAUGAAGGAGCCAUAGCAGCUAUAGAAUUAGUGCUUUACAAAAGAACCUUGUCAGCUAUUGUCUUAGUGCCAAAUAAAGAAUCCUGGCAGUUAUUGUCUUAGUGCCUAAUAAAGAAUCCUGGUAGCUAUUGUCUUUGUACCCAAUACGGAGUGAACGAAUAGAUGAUUCUUAGGGUAGACCCUUAAGAGUAAGGAAGAUAAUGGGGAUGGGUAAUUAGGUUGAUUGUUUGAUAAUUAAAUAUAAUAAUUAUAUUAUUGUGGGUUGAAAACCCUAUAUACUCACCAGGCUCCCAAGCCUGACCCACUCAGUUUAAUUGUAUCACAGGUAUCGAUACGAAGCUGCUUUGCACUGAGAGAUUAAAGGAGAUGUAAAUCACUAGAGUAAAUGAAUGUAUGUUCUGUUUAUGCUUAUGUGUCUGUAUCGGAACAUGACAUCCCGAGGUUUUAUUAUUUAAUGGAAAUACAUUCUCUUUGAGAAAUGUUUUGAUAAGUUUUUAUCAUAUCUUGUUUUGGGAACAAAUUCCGCAACCGUUUUCUUUAAACAAUUACUCUGAUUUAUAAAACAAAGCGUAAACAAAUCGGUCUUUUCUGGCUGAGAAAUUGGGGAUGUCAUAGUCAUGGAGUCUGAGUUUGUUGCAUUGUCUGCUGCUGGUAAGGAAGCUGAGUGGCUAAGGAAUUUGAUUUAUGAAAUUCCAUUUUGGCCUAAACCGAUAUCUACCAUUUCUAUAAGAUGUGAUAGUGCUGCAACCUUGGCUAAGGCUUAUACUCAAGUAUAUAAUGUGAAGUCUAGACACUUAGGUGUUAGACAUAGUAUGAUUCGUGAACUCUGAAGGGUUUUGAGCAUUCUAACACUCCUGUUGUAUACAUGCAACCCUAGAAACCUUGGAUCUAUGUUUUAUCUAUGAUACAUGCAAAUUUAUUUUUCCAAGGUUUAUAACCUAUCUUGCAUACAUGGGGAACUUUUAAACAUAAAAGAUAGUAAGAAAUACAUACCUUUAGUUGCUUGAAUUCCCUAAGAACCUUGUGAGCCUGACAACUCAAGUGUGAUGCCUCAAGUGUCUCACACGACACCAAAUACACUUGGAAUGACCUUGAGAGAAAUAGAACACUUCUAAAAUCGGCUAUGCCCUCCUGUUCUCACACUAGUGCCAAUUUUGGUCUACAACAUGGAGCAUCCUAUGUGUUUUAGCCCAACUUGAUAAUCCAUGGAGCAUUAGCCCACUAUACAAGUAUGGGUGGUUUACACAAUCAACCCAUAUAUUUAAUUAGUCUUGUUUUGAUCACUUAAUUAAUUCCAAAUUAAUUCUUGAUCAAUACUAAUUAAAUAAUAUUGUUAAUAUAUUAGAACUUAUAAUAUAUUAAUAAACCUUAAGUGUUAUAUCUCUCAUUUUAGUCUAUCUAAAUGCAUGAUGCCAUGCAAACCAAAUGAACCAUGCUAAUCGGGUCAAGUACAUUACAAAAAUAGUUAUAAACUUAGACACCUAAUCCAACAGUCUCUUACUUGGAUAAGUCUAAUAACUAUAAUUGCAAGAAUGACUUCAGGAACCGAUCAACAAUCAUAGCUCUUUCAAGGUCUCGCGUAACUGAGAUGAUGAUGAUACACCAUUUAAGAUAAGUGAUAAUAUAAUCCUCUAUUCUAGAUAUCAGCCGGACAAACACAUGGAACAAUGUCUUACUUAUUGUCCAACACUUUGUUUCCCGAUUUUCGAUUUGUUUGACAUUGAACUUAAUUGAACACAUCAAUUUAGUUCUGACCGGGCCCGAUACAUGGGUCAACAAAAAAUCAUCGAGGGGCCCAGAUAUCGCAACUAAUCCAAGAAGGAACAUAUAAACUUCGACUCAUAUAUGCUUGUUCUACUACUUGUUGAAUCAUACACAAAGGCAAGUUUUAUAACAUCGAGUUACCAAUGCAUUUUUGUACAAUCAGUGUAUAACCAACUCAUAGGAAACAAGUCAUAUCUCUAGGUUUGAAGACUUAUAUGAUAUUACCGUCUCACGAUCACUCGAGAUAAAUUCCAUGAAGUGAUACCAGUGAGCGUGGGUUAAAUACAAUACUCAGAACUUAUGAGCACUCAUGAGUGUUGUAGCACCACUUAUGUCCAACAUCUUUGACCUCUACAAACAGACCCAUGACAGUCUUGAUUCAUAUCUACUUCCAACAUAUGACCGAAUGUGGAGAAUUUGAAUAAUAUGAAAUAACAUAACAUAAUUAUUCUGGAAGUCAAAACAUGCAAAAUGAAAUGAUUGUAAACGAUUGAGAAAGGAUAGGAACACUUUACUCAUAAAUAAAUACAACUUUUAUUCAUCAUAAAAUGUCAAUUACACUUUACACAUUCCAAAUCUAUCUGACUACUAAAACUAAUAUCAUCCUUCAACCAUAUGCGCCUGGCAUGCUGAAGAUGCUUAUCCCUGCCCAGUCCCUUCGUGAGUGGAUUUGCUGGGUUCUCAUCCGAUGAUACCCUCUUUGCAAUGAGGUUUCCUUCUUCUAUUCGAUGACUGAUGAAAUGAUAUUUUUUGUCGAUGUAUCUGGAUCUCCCGUGAUCCCUUGGUUCCUUAGCAAAGGCAACUGCACUUUCACUAUCACAAAAAAUUUCUAUAGGCUCCUUUAUAGCUGGUACAAAUCCAAGGUCUCCAAUGAAGUUCUUUAGCCAUAUAGCCUCCUUUGCUGCCUCGCUUGCCGCUAUAUACUCUGAUUCGCAAGUUGAAUCAGCCACUGUCUCCUGCUUGGAACUUUUCCAAGAAAUUGCUCCUCCAUUUAAGGUAAAGACCCAGCCUGACUAAGAGCGGAAAUUAUCCCUAUCAGUCUGGAAGCUAGCAUCACUAUACCAUAAUACUCUAAAGUAAUCACUCCCACCGAGGGUAAGGACUCAGUCAUUAGUCCUUCACAGGUACUUGAGAAUGUUCUUUACCGUAGUCUAGUGAGCCUUUCUAGGGUUCCCCUGAUAUCUGCUGACCAUGCUCAAUGAAAAGGCCACAUCAGGACGAGUACAAGUCAUAGCAUACAUGGUCGAGCCUACAAUGGAAGCAUACGGUACCCGACUCAUUUCUGCUAUCUCAGUCUCUGUACUCAGACUCUGAGUUUUACUCAGUCUGGCGUUACUCUGGAUCGAUAACUCUCAUUUCUUGGAAUUCUACAUGCUAAAUCUAUUCAGCACCUUCUCCAAGUAGGUACUCUGACUAAGUCUAAUUAGUCUUUUAAUCCUGUCUCUCAGAAUCCGUAUCCCUAGGAUAUAGGCAGCUUCUCCAAGGUCCUUCAUAGCGAAACACUUCCCAAGACAGGACUUAACUUCCUGCAUAGUUUGGAUGUCAUUUCCUAUGCGUAGUAUGUCAUCCAGAUACAAUACCAAAAAGCUAACUAUACUCCCACUAGCGUUGACAUAUACACAAGAUUCAUCUUCACUCCUCGAAAAGCCAAAUUCUUUGACUUUCUCAUCGAAGCAAAGAUUCCAUCUGUGAGGUGCUUGCUUUAAUCCAUAAAUGGAUUUCUCAAGCUUACACACUCUAUUACGGUACUCUUUACUGACAAAACCCUCUGGCUGACUCAUGUAAACAUCCUCAGCCAACUUUCCAUUAAGGAAAGCGAUUUUGACAUCCAUUUGCCAUAUUUCAUAAUCAUGAAAUGCAACAAUGGCUAACAUAACCCUAAUAGACUUAAUCUUAGCUACUGGUGAAAAGGUCUCAUCAUAAUCAACUCCCGAAGUUUGAGAAAAGCCCUUUGCAACUAGUCGUGCCUUAUAAGUGUAUACAUUACCAUCCAUGUCGGUCUUCUUCAUGAAGAUCGAUUUGCACCCGACUGUCUUGCGACCUGGUACAUUGUCAACCAAGUUCCAAACUUGAUUGUCAUACAUAGAUUGUAUCUCGCUGUCCAUAGCCUCUUUCCAUUUAGCAGCCUCAGGGCAUGCCAUGGCUUUCGUGUAGCUAUUAGGUUCAUCCAAACUCACCAGUGUGCUAUCACUGAUAAGUGUAUCACCUUCCACAGUAAUAUGGAAACCAUAGUAAUGCUCAGGUGCAUUCCUAACUCUCGUGGAACGCCUUAGAGGUACAGACUCUUAUGUCAGAUCAAUAGGAGUUUCCUCCUCAGGUUGAUUGCUAGGGUUUAAGGUUCCUUCACCACAUGAAUCUUGAAUUUCUUCAAGGUCAAUUUUCCUGUCACUAUUUCCUUGGCUCAUGAAUUCUCGCUCGCGAAAGAGUCCUCUCCUUUCUACAAAGACCACAUUAUCACUAGGUCUGUAGAAGAGGUAACCAAAGGAUCUUUGUGGGUAGCCGAUGAAAAUAAACCUCUCACUUUGAGGUUCGAGAUUAUUGUGAGACUCGCGCCUCACAAGCCUCGCAAUCCCAAAUCUUGAUGUGGUCCAUAAUAGGAACUUUUCCGGUCCACAUCUCAUGAGGUGUUUUGGCAACCUUCUUUGUAGGGACUAGAUUAAGAAUACGGGCGACAGUCUCUAAGGCAUACCCCCAAAAUGAGAUUGGUAGCGAAACUCGACUCAUCAUGGAAUGAACCAUAUCCAACAAGGUUCGAUUGCGCCUCUCAGCCACACCAUUAAGUUGUGGUGUCCUGGGAGGUGUCAGUGUUGAGAUAAUCCCACAUUCUUUAAGAUAGUGAAGGAACUCUGUACUAAGAUACUCACCACCUCAAUCGGAUUGAAGCAUCUUAAUGUUACUGCCCAACUGAUUCUCCACUUCCUGCUUGAACUCUUUGAAUCUUUCAAAGGUCUCUGACUUAUGUUUGAUUAAGUAGACAUAUCCAUAUCUACUAAAAUCAUCAGUAAAAGUCACAUAAAAGCGGUUAUCAUCUCUUGUGGAGGUUCUGAAGGGUCCACACACAUUAGUGUGUAUAAGGUCCAACAAACACUCACCCCUAGAACAAGUACUAGUGAAGGGUGACCUUGUCAUUUUCCCAAGGAAAAAAGAUUCACAAUUUGUUGGAAUAGUGUCUAAGGCUGCAACUAUAUUAGGCAAGUACUUGACCCGGUUGUGCAUGGUCCUUUUGGGUUGCCUUCACCAUAGCAACUUGAUAGGAUGAUUUAUUAAGAGAGAGUAAAUAUUAUUAAUAUAUUAUGGGAAUAAUAUAAAGAAUAAUAUAUUGUUAUUUGAUUAAUAUAAGUCAUAGAAUUAAUUGGAAUUAAUUUGGUGACUUAAAGAGAUUAAUUAAAUAAAGGGGUAUAAACUGUCAAUUGUUUGAUAGUUAAGCUUUAGACUAUAAAUCCUUAUAGAUAUAUAGUGGACGGAUUCUAGAAGCUAGGAUAGCUUCAAAAUCGUCCAUGACUUAUCUAAGGAAAGGAUUUGGAUAGCCUUGAGAGAAGAUUAUCCAAUUAGGGUUUAGAUUGUAACCCUUAAGGAGUCUACAAGUAUAAAUAGAUCCCAUGGGCAAGGGAAAUCGGCACCUCACCUAAAGUAAGAGAACCCUGGCCGAUUUCCUCCCCUCUCCUCUCUCCUAAGUCAUCUUUCUUGCUAUUGGUGUUUGUAAGCCAUUAGAGGAGUGACAAUUGUGACUCUAGAAGCUCCAAGACAACAAGAUCAACAAGGAAUUCAAAGGUAUGGUUCUAGAUCUGUUUCAAUGUUGUUAUUUAACCUAAUUAGCCAUUAGAAGUCUUGGAUUCAAAGCAUGUUUAAUUAGAAAGCCUAGAUCCAAGCAUUAGGGUUUUGCAUGCGCACAUAGGAAAGUUCUUAUGGCUAAAACCCAUCAGUGGUAUCAGAGCCUAGCUUGGUUUUCUUUAAAUUGUUGCUUGAUUAACUGAAACAAACCUGCAAAAUUCGAUUUUUUGGUUUCUGUGUCAUGGACUCGGCGAGUUCCAAGGUGGACUCGGCGAGUAGGCCUGACUCGGCGAGUCCCCUUGUGCACUCGGCGAGUCCAGGCGUCAGGAAUGGCCAGAUUCGGGAUUUUUUCAUAAUUAUCUUAUGGAAACUUACCUUAAUCAUAAUAGAUCAACCUAAAUCCGAUUUUUUGAUAUAUAUGACUAUUAUCUUGAUCUAGUUAAAGGUAUUUAUCAACUAAUAAAAUAUUUAAUUUCCUUAUAUGAUAAUUAAUUAAUUAUUUUAAUUAUUUUGGUAAUUAUCUUUCAAAGAAAUCUUGAAUAAAAUCAAAUAUAGAUAAUUAGGAUAUUAAUUGUUAAUUGGAAUUAUUUGUUAUUUGAUCCUCCAUGUUUUAAAUGUUUAAAACUUGCCCUCAAGUUUUGAAAUUUAUAUUUGUGAUUAAAAGUUUUAAUUUAGACAACUUAAAUUUCAAACCCUAGAUUUUAAAAGGUUUAAAAUACAACCCUAUACUAAUAUGAUAUUACUAGAAUAAUAUAUAUAUGUAUAACUAAAUGCUAGUCUUACCGUUAGUAGGCCUCAUUCACGAAGCCGAUCUAUAAGGUGGGUAUAAGGUUGCGGCCUAUAAAAUGGCGCUUAAUGGGUGUACACUCACACCCACCGCUUGCUUGAUUGGUGGAGGGUCGUUAGCCGAACGGGUAGGAUAGGGCAACCUCAUCCUCUCAUUAAAAGUAUAAUAAGAAAUACAAAGUAACUACACAUAUUUUAAAAUUUCCCAAUCUUAGUUACUUUAGGAAAAGUGAAUUGAUGCAAUCCCAUGAAAUUACACUUUGCACCUUGCUAAGAAGUUAGUGGAGCGUGUGUGGUUUACCGGCACACUAAUUGGUUCUAAGCGAAGGUGGCAAAGGGUGAUUCAUUGUUUAUCAUAGUUCGAUGGAGCGUGUGUGGUUUACCGGCACAUCGAAUAGGUGAUCGUUACAAUGAAGGCACCAUGUGAAUUUGCAUGGUAAUUCACACCCGCUUUGUGAUCCUCGGCAUCCCAGUCACAAACAAGAGGGGCAUAUCGAGAUUUAAACAUGCCAUUGAAUAGUUUCAAUGAAUCUCAUCCGAACCUAGGAAUUCUCAAAAACACUUAGGACUAAUAGUUUAAGUUUUGUGAUGGAGAAUUAGUGAAUCGUCAUUCACUUACCUUCAAUUUAUUUGCAUGUUAGAUUACGGCAUCCCUUUUCUAGUAUGUAAAUGUUAUUGUUGGAUCCUAGCCCUAAUUUUCUUAUUGGGUGAUAAUUAGGGAUUCUUAUUCUAAUCUAUCUUUGUCCUUUUCUAAUUGUAGAUGUCGAACGCAAACAACGCUGCUGCUAGUUCUUUCACGUUGAUGAGCCUUUGCCAAAAGGUCACCUUCGAUGGAACGAACUUUAGCGAAUGGAUAAGAUACAUUCGCACCAUUGCUCGCUAUGAGGAUAAGGAGUAUGUCCUCGAUGAGAAGCUCGAGAAAAUCAACCCCGAAAUCGCUACUCCCGCCGAAAUCACCGCUUUUGAGACUCAUGAGCGAGAUGCAACGAAGGUACAUUGCAUCAUGAUCGCCACCAUGAACUCCGAAUUCCAAAAGUCCUACGAGGACAUGUACCCGUACGAGAUGCAUCAAGACUUAUUGGAGAGGUACCACCAAAACGCGAGACAAGAGAGGUACGAGAUUUUCACUAACAUGAUUUCCGCGAAGAUGGGUCAUGGAGAAUCUCUUACCGUGCACUUGCAAAAGAUGCAAAGGUAUGUCGACCGCCUUCGCAAGUUAAAUGUUGACUUCGGUGAGGAUUUGGCGAUCGACAUGGUGCUUCACUCUUUGCCUCCGAUGUACAAUCAAUUUAGGAUGACCUACCACAUGAACAAAGAAGAGGUCACCCUAAGCAAGCUCCAAGGUCUCUUGAGGGUUGCUGAGAGCAACUUCAAAGACAAGUCUGUUGCACCUACUCCCAAUCCGCCCGCUGCUCCUGUCUUGGCUAUUGGACAAGGGAAGGGAAAGAAGAGGAAAGCUUCAUCGAAGAACUAUCGCAAGGUGAAAGCCCGAGAUGGUGCCUCUUCUAGUGGGACCAAAGUUGAUCCCGCUAAGCCCUGCUCUAACCCGAAGGAGGCAGAGUGCCACCACUGCCACAAGAUAGGACAUUGGAAGAGAAGCUGCCCGGAUUACCUGCAAGCAAUCAAAGAAGGAAAGAUCAAGCCAUCUUUCGCAGGUAUAUAUACAAUCAAAUCUAACGAUUCUAAUCAUGCUAUUUCUUGGGUUCUUGAUACCGGUUGUGGUUAUCACAUUUGUUCUAAUGUGCAGGGACUAAGAAGAAGUAGGGAUGUGGAGCAAGGAAGGAUCAAUCUAAUCAUGGGGAACAGAAGAUCGUCGCCUGUGACCAAGAUUGGAGUGUAUUCCUUAGUGCUUAGGAAUAGUUUAGUUUUAGAUUUGAACAAUUGUUGCUAUUCGCCAGAAAUGGCAAGAAACAUCAUUUCAUUUCAUGGUUUAUAUAGACAAGGAUUUAGAUUUUCUUUUAAUAAUGAGAAUGGUUCUAUUUUGGCUUAUCUAAAUGGUGUCUUUUACUUUGAAGCUAUACCAUGUAAUGGAAUAUAUGAAACCGUUAUGAUUGUUGAUAACUUAGGAAAUGAUGUUUUGAAUAUUGAUUCUUCCACUAGUAUGGAUAAAGCAUCCUUGUGGCAUUGUCGUCUUGGACAUGUCAACAAGAAACGCAUAGCCCAACUCCAAAAGGAUGGAGUGUUGGAGUCAUUCGACCUUAGGGAAGAUGACACAUGCGAGUCUUGUUUGCUUGGAAAGAUGACUAAGUCACCCUUCACGAGUACAUGUGAAAGGGGCGAGGGUCUAUUGGACCUAAUACAUACCGAUGUAUGUGGACCGUUUAGAUCAACCACGAAGGAUGGGAACCGCUUCUAUGUGACUUUUACCGAUGACUAUAGUAGAUAUGGGUAUAUCUACUUAAUCAAGCAAAAGUCAGACACCUUUGAAAAGUUCAAAGAGUUCAAGAAUGAAGUGGAGAAUCAAUUGGGCAGGAAAAUCAAGAUGCUUCGAUCCGAUCGAGGAGGAGAGUACCUAAGUCUUGAAUUCCACGAUUAUCUCAAGGAGUGUGGAAUAGUUUCACAAUUGACGCCUCCUAGGACACCGCAGUUGAAUGGUGUGGCAGAAAGGCGUAAUCGAACCUUAUUGGAUAUGGUUCGCUCUAUGAUGAGUCGUGCUUCACUACCAAUCUCUUUUUGGGGGUAUGCCUUAGAGACUGCCGCCCAUAUCCUUAACCGAGUCCCUACUAAGAAGGUUGCCAAAACACCUCACGAGAUGUGGACAGGGAAAGCUCCCUCGUUGGCACAUAUCAAGGUUUGGGGUUGCGAGGCUUUCGUAAGACGAGAUACUCACGACAAGCUUGAACCUCGAAGUGAGCGAUGUAUUUUCAUCGGCUACCCGCAGACAUCCUUUGGAUAUCUCUUCUAUAGACCGAAGGACAAUGUUGUCUUCGUUGCGAGGAGAGGAGUUUUCCGAGAGCGAGAACUCAUAAGCCAAGGAGACAGUGGGAGGCAAAUCGAACUUGAAGAGAUUCAAGAGUCGAUAGAUGAAGGAACCUCUACCGCUGGCACUCAACCCGAGGAGGAAACUCCGGUUGAACCGAUUGACGAAUCCUUACCUCUUAGACGUUCCGAUAGAGUUAGAGUUCAUCCCCAGUUUUAUGGCUUUCAUAUUACUACCGAAGGGGACACGUAUAUUAGUGAUGGUACACUAGUAAAUCUUGAUGAACCUAAUAGCUAUAAGGAAGCCAUGGCAGGCCCGGAGUCUGCAAAAUGGAAAGAGGCAAUGGAUAGCGAGAUCCAAUCCAUGUAUGAUAACCAAGUUUGGAAUUUGGUUGAUUAUGUGCCCGGACGUAAGACCGUUGGGUGCAAAUGGAUCUUCAAGAAGAAGACCGACGUGGAUGGAAACGUACACACAUAUAAAGCGCGAUUGGUUGCGAAGGGCUUUACUCAAACUCCCGGAGUUGACUAUGAUGAGACCUUCUCACCAGUUGCGAAGAUUAAAUCUAUUAGAGUGAUGCUAGCUAUUGCCGCAUUUCAUGAUUAUGAGAUUUGGCAAAUGGAUGUCAAGACCGCUUUCCUUAACGGAAAGUUGGCUGAGGAUGUUUACAUGGCUCAGCCAGAGGGGUUUGUGGAUCCGAAGCAUCCGAAUAGAGUGUGUAAGCUUGAGAAGUCCAUUUAUGGACUUAAGCAAGCGUCUCGCAGAUGGAAUCUUUGCUUCGAUGAGAAAGUCAAAGAGUUUGGAUUUGUACGAAGCGAAGACGAAUCUUGUGUAUAUGUCAAAGCCAGUGGGAGUAUAGUAAGCUUCCUCGUUCUAUAUGUCGAUGACAUAUUACUCAUAGGAAACGACAUCCCGACUCUGCAGGAGGUUAAGUCCUGGCUCGGGAAGUGCUUCGCUAUGAAGGACCUCGGAGAGGCUUCUUACAUUUUGGGAAUAAGGAUAGUAAGAGAAAGAAGUAAGAGACUAAUUGGACUUAGUCAGAAUACUUACUUAGAGAAGGUACUAAAACGUUUUAGUAUGGAAAACUCAAAGAAGGGAGAACUACCGAUACAAAGUAAUGCCAAAUUGAGUAAGACUCAAAGUCCGAGUACCGAAGCUGAGAUAGCAGAAAUGAGCCGAGUACCAUACGCUUCCGCAGUUGGCUCAAUCAUGUACGCUAUGACUUGUACUCGCCCUGAUGUAGCCUUCGCUUUGAGCAUGGUUAGCAGAUAUCAAGGGAAUCCUGGCAAAGCACAUUGGAUUGCGGUGAAGAAUAUCCUUAAGUACCUUCGGAGGACGAAGGAAUGGUUCUUAGUCCUCGGAGGGAGUGAUGACUUGAAGGUGCGAGGGUAUAGUGACGCCAGUUUUCAGACCGACAGGGACAACUACCGUUCGCAGUCGGGCUGGGUCUUUACCCUAAAUGGAGGAGCAGUGACAUGGAAGAGUUCCAAGCAGGAAACCGUAGCUGAUUCAACGUGCGAAUCAGAGUACAUUGCAGCGAGCGAAGCGUCGAAGGAGGCAAUAUGGCUAAAGAACUUCAUCGGUGAUCUUGGAGUUGUACCUGCCAUAAAGGAGCCAAUGGAGAUUUUCUGUGAUAACGAAGGCGCGGUUGCCUUAACCAAGGAACCGAGGGAUCAUGGUAGAUCAAGACAUAUCGACAGAAAGUAUCACUUCAUUAGACAUCGUGUAGAAGAAGGACAACUCGUAGUGAAGAGGAUAUCAUCAGAAGAUAACCCAGCAGAUCCGCUUACGAAGGGACUGAGUAGGGUUAAGCACUUGCAGCAUGCUAGGAGUAUUGGGCUGAAGGAUGAUAUUAGCAUAGAUUAGAUAGUAUUAGAAACGUGUAAUAGAUAAAUGUAAUUAACAUUUGAUGAUUAAAUAAAGGAGUUUUAUUUAUGAGUAAUGUUACUAUCUUAUGUUAAUUGUUUAGCUAUUGUUUCACUUUGCAUGUUUUGACUUCCAGAAUAAUUGAGUUUAUUAGGAAUAAUCGAAUUGUUCAAAUGGUCCACAAUCGUUCAUAUGUUGGGAGUAGAUAUGAAUGAAGAUUGUCAUGAAUUGGUGUGUAGAAUGUCUAAAUGGUGUUAGACAUAGCAAAGGAUUGCUGCAACGUUCAUGAGUGCUUAUGAACUAGUUUUGAGCAUUGGAAUAAACCCGCGCUUGCUGGAAUCACCUUAUGGAAUACGAUAUAAAAGGUGAUCGCAAGACGAUAAUAUCAUAUAGUCUUAAAACCUAGAUAUAUGGUUUAUUAUUUGUUAAUUGAUUGUACAUUGAUAAUACGAAAACGCAUCAGUAACUUGGUGUUAUAAAACGUAUUGUUGUGUAUAGUUGGUAAAUGAAUAAGUAAAUGCAUAUAAGUCGAAGUUUAUCUGUAACUUUUAUCUAAGAAGGUAAAAGCGAUAUCUCGGCCGCUCGAUGAUUUGAUUUGACUUAUGUGCCGGGCCCGGUCAGAACUGAAUUGAUGUGUUCGAUUAAGUUCUAUGUCAAAUAAAUCAGAGAUCGAGAAACCUAAAUGCUUGACUAACCAUUCCAUAGGAUUGUCAGCAUGAUAUCUAACAGAGGACUGUACGUUCCCUUAUCUAAAGGACAAGAUUGAUUAGAUCAGAGUUGACAGCGUCUUUGAGAGCUACGAUUGCAAACCGAAUUGUACUUGUAUAGUUACUAGACUUAUCCAAGUGGGAGACUGUUGGAAUAGUGUCUAAGGCUGUAACUAUAUUAGGUUGUGCAUGGUCCUUUUGGGUUGCCUUCACCAUAGCAACUUGAUAGGAUGAUUUAUUAAGAGAGAAUAAAUAUUAUUAAUAUAUUAUGGGAAUAAUAUAAUGAAUAAUAUAUUUGUUAUUUGAUUAAUAUAAGUCAUAGAAUUAAUUAGAAUUAAUUUGGUGACUUAAAGAGAUUAAUUAAAUAAAGGGGUAUAAACUGUCAAUUGUUUGAUAGUUAAGCUUUAGACUGUAAAUCCAUUUGGAUAUGCUAUGGACGAAUUCUAAAAGGGUUAGGAUAGCCAAAAUCGUCCAAAGGCUUAUCUAUGGAAUGGAUUUGGAUAGCCUUAAGAGAAGAUUAUCCAAUUAGGGUUUAGGUUGUAACCCUUAAGGAGUCUACAAGUAUAAAUAGACCCCAUGGCAUAGGGAAUUCGACACAUCUCAUAAAGCAAGAGAACCCUGGCCGAAUUCCUCCCCUCUCCUCUCUCCUAAAUCAUUCUUCUUGCUAUUGGUGUUUGUAAGCCAUUAGAGGAGUGACAUUUGUGACUCUAGAAGCUCCAAGACCUCAAGAUCAACAAGGAACUCAAAGGUAUGAUUCUAGAUCUGUUUCAAUGUUGUUAUUUAACCUAAUUAGUCAUUAGAAGACUUGGAUUCAAAGCAUGUUUAUUAGAAAGCCUAGAUCCAAGCAUUAGGGUUUUGCAUGCGCACAUAGGAAAGUUCUUAUGGCUAAAACCCAUCAGUGGUAUCAGAGCCUAGCUUGGUUUUCUUUAAAUUGUUGCUUGAUUAACUGAAACAAACCUGCAAAAUUCGAUUUUUAGGUUUCUGAGUCACUGACUCGGCGAGUCCCAAGGUGGACUCGGCGAGUAGGCCUGACUCGGCGAGUCCCCUUGUGCACUCGGCGAGUCCAGGCGUCAGGAAUGGCCAGAUUCGGGAUUUCUUUGUGUUUAUCUUAUGGAAACUUACCUUAAUCAUAAUAGAUCAACCUAAAUCCGAUUUUAUGAUAUAUAUGACUAUUAUCUUGAUCUAGAAAAAGGUAUUUAUCAACUAAUUAAAUAUUUAAUUUCCUUAUAUGAUAAUUAAUUAAUUAUUUAACUAUUUUGGUAAUUAUCUUUCAAAGAAAUCUUGAAUAAAUCAAAUAUAGAUAAUUAGGAUAUUAAUUGUUAAUUGGAAUUAUUUGUUAUUUGAUCCUCCAUGUUUUAAAUGUUUAAAACCUACCCUCAUGUUUUGAAAUUUACUUUUGUGAUUAAAAGCUUUAAUUUAGACAACUUAAAUUUCAAACCCUAGAUUUUAAAAGUUUUAAAAUACAACCCUAUACUAAUAUGAUAUUACUAGAAUAAUAUAUAUAUGUAUAACUAAAUGCUAGUCUUACCGUUAGUAGGCCUCAUUCACGAAGCCGAUCUAUAAGGUGGGUAUAAGGUUGCGGCCUAUAAAAUGGCGCUUAAUGGGUGUACACUCACACCCACCGCUUGCUUGAUUGGUGGAGGGUCGUUAGCCGAACGGGUAGGAUAGGGCAACCUCAUCCUCUCAUUAAAAGUAUAAUAAGAAAUACAAAGUAACUACACAUAUUUUAUAAAUUCCCAAUCCUAGUUACUUUAGGAAAAGUGAAUUGAUGCAAUCCCAUGAAAUUACACUUUGCACCUUGCUAAGAUGUUAGUGGAGCGUGUGUGGUUUACCGGCACACUAAUUGGUUCUAAGCGAAGGUGGCAAAGGGUGAUUCAUUGUUUAUCAUAGUUCGAUGGAGCGUGUGUGGUUUACCGGCACAUCGAAUAGGUGAUCGUUACAAUGAAGGCACCAUGUGAAUUUGCAUGGUAAUUCACACCCGCUUUGUGAUCCUCGGCAUCCCAGUCACAAACAAGAGGGGCAUAUCGAGAUUUAAACAUGCCAUUGAAUAGUUUCAAUGAAUCUCAUCCGAACCUAGGAAUUCUCAAAAACACUUAGGACUAAUAGUUUAAGUUUUGUGAUGGAGAAUUAGUGAAUCGUCAUUCACUUACCUUCAAUUUAUUUGCAUGUUAGAUUACGGCAUCCCUUUUCUAGUAUGUAAAUGUUAUUGUUGGAUCCUAGCCCUAAUUUUCUUAUUGGGUGAUAAUUAGGGAUUCUUAUUCUAAUCUAUCUUUGUCCUUUUCUAAUUGUAGAUGUCGAACGCAAACAACGCUGCUGCUAGUUCUUUCACGUUGAUGAGCCUUUGCCAAAAGGUCACCUUCGAUGGAACGAACUUUAGCGAAUGGAUAAGAUACAUUCGCACCAUUGCUCGCUAUGAGGAUAAGGAGUAUGUCCUCGAUGAGAAGCUCGAGAAAAUCAACCCCGAAAUCGCUACUCCGGCCGAAAUCACCGCUUUUGAGACUCAUGAGCGAGAUGCAACGAAGGUACAUUGCAUCAUGAUCGCCACCAUGAACUCCGAAUUCCAAAAGUCCUACGAGGACAUGUACCCGUACGAGAUGCACCAAGACUUAUUGGAGAGGUACCACCAAAACGCGAGACAAGAGAGGUACGAGAUUUUCACUAACAUGAUUUCCGCGAAGAUGGGUCAUGGAGAAUCUCUUACCGUGCACUUGCAAAAGAUGCAAAGGUAUGUCGACCGCCUUCGCAAGUUAAAUGUUGACUUCGGUGAGGAUUUGGCGAUCGACAUGGUGCUUCACUCUUUGCCUCCGAUGUACAAUCAAUUUAGGAUGACCUACCACAUGAACAAAGAAGAGGUCACCCUAAGCAAGCUCCAAGGUCUCUUGAGGGUUGCUGAGAGCAACUUCAAAGACAAGUCUGUUGCACCUACUCCCAAUCCGCCCGCUGCUCCUGUCUUGGCUAUUGGACAAGGGAAGGGAAAGAAGAGGAAAGCUUCAUCGAAGAACUAUCGCAAGGUGAAAGCCCGAGAUGGUGCCUCUUCUAGUGGGACCAAAGUUGAUCCCGCUAAGCCCUGCUCUAACCCGAAGGAGGCAGAGUGCCACCACUGCCACAAGAUAGGACAUUGGAAGAGAAGCUGCCCGGAUUACCUGCAAGCAAUCAAAGAAGGAAAGAUCAAGCCAUCUUUCGCAGGUAUAUAUACAAUCAAAUCUAACGAUUCUAAUCAUGCUAUUUCUUGGGUUCUUGAUACCGGUUGUGGUUAUCACAUUUGUUCUAAUGUGCAGGGACUAAGAAGAAGUAGGGAUGUGGAGCAAGGAAGGAUCAAUCUAAUCAUGGGGAACAGAAGAUCGUCGCCUGUGACCAAGAUUGGAGUGUAUUCCUUAGUGCUUAGGAAUAGUUUAGUUUUAGAUUUGAACAAUUGUUGCUAUUCGCCAGAAAUGGCAAGAAACAUCAUUUCAUUUCAUGGUUUAUAUAGACAAGGAUUUAGAUUUUCUUUUAAUAAUGAGAAUGGUUCUAUUUUGGCUUAUCUAAAUGGUGUCUUUUACUUUGAAGCUAUACCAUGUAAUGGAAUAUAUGAAACCGUUAUGAUUGUUGAUAACUUAGGAAAUGAUGUUUUGAAUAUUGAUUCUUCCACUAGUAUGGAUAAAGCAUCCUUGUGGCAUUGUCGUCUUGGACAUGUCAACAAGAAACGCAUAGCCCAACUCCAAAAGGAUGGAGUGUUGGAGUCAUUCGACCUUAGGGAAGAUGACACAUGCGAGUCUUGUUUGCUUGGAAAGAUGACUAAGUCACCCUUCACGAGUACAUGUGAAAGGGGCGAGGGUCUAUUGGACCUAAUACAUACCGAUGUAUGUGGACCGUUUAGAUCAACCACGAAGGAUGGGAACCGCUUCUAUGUGACUUUUACCGAUGACUAUAGUAGAUAUGGGUAUAUCUACUUAAUCAAGCAAAAGUCAGACACCUUUGAAAAGUUCAAAGAGUUCAAGAAUGAAGUGGAGAAUCAAUUGGGCAGGAAAAUCAAGAUGCUUCGAUCCGAUCGAGGAGGAGAGUACCUAAGUCUUGAAUUCCACGAUUAUCUCAAGGAGUGUGGAAUAGUUUCACAAUUGACGCCUCCUAGGACACCGCAGUUGAAUGGUGUGGCAGAAAGGCGUAAUCGAACCUUAUUGGAUAUGGUUCGCUCUAUGAUGAGUCGUGCUUCACUACCAAUCUCUUUUUGGGGGUAUGCCUUAGAGACUGCCGCCCAUAUCCUUAACCGAGUCCCUACUAAGAAGGUUGCCAAAACACCUCACGAGAUGUGGACAGGGAAAGCUCCCUCGUUGGCACAUAUCAAGGUUUGGGGUUGCGAGGCUUUCGUAAGACGAGAUACUCACGACAAGCUUGAACCUCGAAGUGAGCGAUGUAUUUUCAUCGGCUACCCGCAGACAUCCUUUGGAUAUCUCUUCUAUAGACCGAAGGACAAUGUUGUCUUCGUUGCGAGGAGAGGAGUUUUCCGAGAGCGAGAACUCAUAAGCCAAGGAGACAGUGGGAGGCAAAUCGAACUUGAAGAGAUUCAAGAGUCGAUAGAUGAAGGAACCUCUACCGCUGGCACUCAACCCGAGGAGGAAACUCCGGUUGAACCGAUUGACGAAUCCUUACCUCUUAGACGUUCCGAUAGAGUUAGAGUUCAUCCCCAGUUUUAUGGCUUUCAUAUUACUACCGAAGGGGACACGUAUAUUAGUGAUGGUACACUAGUAAAUCUUGAUGAACCUAAUAGCUAUAAGGAAGCCAUGGCAGGCCCGGAGUCUGCAAAAUGGAAAGAGGCAAUGGAUAGCGAGAUCCAAUCCAUGUAUGAUAACCAAGUUUGGAAUUUGGUUGAUUAUGUGCCCGGACGUAAGACCGUUGGGUGCAAAUGGAUCUUCAAGAAGAAGACCGACGUGGAUGGAAACGUACACACAUAUAAAGCGCGAUUGGUUGCGAAGGGCUUUACUCAAACUCCCGGAGUUGACUAUGAUGAGACCUUCUCACCAGUUGCGAAGAUUAAAUCUAUUAGAGUGAUGCUAGCUAUUGCCGCAUUUCAUGAUUAUGAGAUUUGGCAAAUGGAUGUCAAGACCGCUUUCCUUAACGGAAAGUUGGCUGAGGAUGUUUACAUGGCUCAGCCAGAGGGGUUUGUGGAUCCGAAGCAUCCGAAUAGAGUGUGUAAGCUUGAGAAGUCCAUUUAUGGACUUAAGCAAGCGUCUCGCAGAUGGAAUCUUUGCUUCGAUGAGAAAGUCAAAGAGUUUGGAUUUGUACGAAGCGAAGACGAAUCUUGUGUAUAUGUCAAAGCCAGUGGGAGUAUAGUAAGCUUCCUCGUUCUAUAUGUCGAUGACAUAUUACUCAUAGGAAACGACAUCCCGACUCUGCAGGAGGUUAAGUCCUGGCUCGGGAAGUGCUUCGCUAUGAAGGACCUCGGAGAGGCUUCUUACAUUUUGGGAAUAAGGAUAGUAAGAGAAAGAAGUAAGAGACUAAUUGGACUUAGUCAGAAUACUUACUUAGAGAAGGUACUAAAACGUUUUAGUAUGGAAAACUCAAAGAAGGGAGAACUACCGAUACAAAGUAAUGCCAAAUUGAGUAAGACUCAAAGUCCGAGUACCGAAGCUGAGAUAGCAGAAAUGAGCCGAGUACCAUACGCUUCCGCAGUUGGCUCAAUCAUGUACGCUAUGACUUGUACUCGCCCUGAUGUAGCCUUCGCUUUGAGCAUGGUUAGCAGAUAUCAAGGGAAUCCUGGCAAAGCACAUUGGAUUGCGGUGAAGAAUAUCCUUAAGUACCUUCGGAUAAUGAAGGAAUGGUUCAUAGUCCUCGGAGGGAGUGAUGACUUAAAGGUGCGAGGGUAUACUGACGCCAGUUUUCAGACCGACGGGGACAACUACCGUUCGCAGUCGGGCUGGGUCUUUACCCUAAAUGGAGGAGCAGUGACAUGGAAGAGUUCCAAGCAGGAAACCGUAGCUGAUUCAACGUGCGAAUCAGAGUACAUUGCAGCGAGCGAAGCGUCGAAGGAGGCAAUAUGGCUAAAGAACUUCAUCGGUGAUCUUGGAGUUGUACCUGCCAUAAAGGAGCCAAUGGAGAUUUUCUGUGAUAACGAAGGCGCGGUUGCCUUAACCAAGGAACCGAGGGAUCAUGGUAGAUCAAGACAUAUCGACAGAAAGUAUCACUUCAUUAGACAUCGUGUAGAAGAAGGACAACUCGUAGUGAAGAGGAUAUCAUCAGAAGAUAACCCAGCAGAUCCGCUUACGAAGGGACUGAGUAGGGUUAAGCACUUGCAGCAUGCUAGGAGUAUUGGGCUGAAGGAUGAUAUUAGCAUAGAUUAGAUAGUAUUAGAAACGUGUAAUAGAUAAAUGUAAUUAACAUUUGAUGAUUAAAUAAAGGAGUUUUAUUUAUGAGUAAUGUUACUAUCUUAUGUUAAUUGUUUAGCUAUUGUUUCACUUUGCAUGUUUUGACUUCCAGAAUAAUUGAGUUUAUUAGGAAUAAUCGAAUUGUUCAAAUGGUCCACAAUCGUUCAUAUGUUGGGAGUAGAUAUGAAUGAAGAUUGUCAUGAAUUGGUGUGUAGAAUGUCUAAAUGGUGUUAGACAUAGCAAAGGAUUGCUGCAACGUUCAUGAGUGCUUAUGAACUAGUUUUGAGCAUUGGAAUAAACCCGCGCUUGCUGGAAUCACCUUAUGGAAUACGAUAUAAAAGGUGAUCGCAAGACGAUAAUAUCAUAUAGUCUUAAAACCUAGAUAUAUGGUUUAUUAUUUGUUAAUUGAUUGUACAUUGAUAAUACGAAAACGCAUCAGUAACUUGGUGUUAUAAAACGUAUUGUUGUGUAUAGUUGGUAAAUGAAUAAGUAAAUGCAUAUAAGUCGAAGUUUAUCUGUAACUUUUAUCUAAGAAGGUAAAAGCGAUAUCUCGGCCGCUCGAUGAUUUGAUUUGACUUAUGUGCCGGGCCCGGUCAGAACUGAAUUGAUGUGUUCGAUUAAGUUCUAUGUCAAAUAAAUCAGAGAUCGAGAAACCUAAAUGCUUGACUAACCAUUCCAUAGGAUUGUCAGCAUGAUAUCUAACAGAGGACUGUACGUUCCCUUAUCUAAAGGACAAGAUUGAUUAGAUCAGAGUUGACAGCGUCUUUGAGAGCUACGAUUGCAAACCGAAUUGUACUUGUAUAGUUACUAGACUUAUCCAAGUGGGAGACUGUUGGAAUAGUGUCUAAGGCUGUAACUAUAUUAGGCAAGUAUUUGAUCCGGUUGUGCAUGGUCCUUUUGGGUUGCCUUCACCAUAGCAACUUGAUAGGAUGAUUUAUUAAGAGAGAGUAAAUAUUAUUAAUAUAUUAUGAGAAUAAUAUAAUGAAUAAUAUAUUUGUUAUUUGAUUAAUAUAAGUCAUAGAAUUAAUUAGAAUUAAUUUGGUGACUUAAAGAGAUUAAUUAAAUAAAGGGGUAUAAACUGUCAAUUGUUUGAUAGUUAAGCUUUAGACUGUAAAUCCAUUUGGAUAUGCUAUGGACGAAUUCUAAGAGGAUUAGGAUAGCUAAAAUCGUCCAUUAGAGUUAUCUAGGAAUGGAUUUGGAUAGCCUUAAGAGAAGAUUAUCUGAUAGGGACUUAUCUGUAAUCCUUAAGGAGUCUACAAGUAUAAAUAGACCCCAUGGCAUAGGGAAUUCGACACUUCUGAAAAAGCAAGAGAACUCUGGUCGAAUUCCUCCCCUCUCCUCUCUCCUAAAUCAUUCUUAUUGCUAUUGGUGUUUGUAAGCCAUUAGAGGAGUGACACUUGUGACUCUAGAAGCUCCAAGACCUCAAGAUCAACAAGGAACUCAAAGGUAUGAUUCUAGAUCUGUUUCAAUGUUGUUAUUUAACCUAAUUAGUCAUUAGAAGACUUGGAUUCAAUGCAUGUUUAUUAGAAAGCCUAGAUCCAAGCAUUAGGGUUUUGCAUGUGCACAUAGGAAAGUUCUUAUGGCUAAAACCCAUCACAAUUAUCAUCUGAGUUUAGGUUAAACGACUCCAAGACUCCAUCCUUUUGGAGUUGGCCUAUACGUUUCUUGCUUACAUGUCCCAGACGACAUUGCCAUAAAGAUGCUUUAUCCAAGCUAGUGGAAGAAUCGAUACACAAUACAUUAUUUCCUAGGUUAUCAACAACCAAAAUAGUUUCAUAUACAUCAUCACAAGGUAAUUCUUUAAAAUAAAAAACAUUAUUAAAGAAAGCAUUAAUACCACCACCAUCAUUAUCAAAUGAGAAGGUAAAACCUUUUUUGUACAAACCAUGAAAGGAAAUAAUAUUUCUCACCAUUUCAGAUGAAUAACAACACUUAUUCAAAUUUAAUACUAAUCCACUACUUAGCAAUAAAGAAUAAACUCCAAUAUUGGUGACAAGUGAAGCUUUCCUGUUCCCCAUGAUCAAGUUUAUCUUUCCAUGCUCCAUAUUCUCACUUCUUCUUAGUCCUUGCAGAUCAGUACAUAUGUGAAUACCACAUCCUGUAUCAAGGAACCAAGAAUUAGAAUGUGGUGAAUUAUUAGACAAAAUACUGUAUGUACCUACAUGGUUGGGUUUAACUUUCCCAUCCUUCACAUCUUGCUGGUACUUUGGGCAGUUUCGCUUCCAGUGAUACUUUUCAUGGAAUUAGAAGCAUUUAGCCUCUUUAGGGUUAGCAGAAGGAGUGACAAAACCUUUAUUGGUUCCACUUGAAGAGGAGCUAUCAAGGGUCUUCCCCUUGGUGCCCUUCGACGGGAUCUUCCUUUUUUUUUUCCUUUGCCUUGCCCAAUUGCCAUGACAGGGGGCGCGGUAGGAGUAGGAGUGGUAACAACCGACUUACCUUUAAGACUACUUUCUGCGGUCUUCAAAAGUCCUUGAAGUUUGCUGAGUGUAACUCCCUCCUUGUUCAUGUGGUAUGUCAUACGGAAUUGAUCAUAACAUGAAGGUAAGGAGUGCAAAAUAAUGUUUAUUGCCAACUCCUCGGGGAAGUUCACAUUCAGUUUUAACAAACGGUCCACAUACCUUUGCAUUUUCUGCAUGUGGCCCGUGAUGGUUUCAGCAUCCUUCAUUCGACUUGUUAUCAUGGAGGAGAUGAUUUCGUAUCACUCUUUACNUCGCUCUUGACCAGCACUCUGAUGGUAGCGGUCCAUCAAAUCCUGGUGCAUCUCAAAAGGAUAGUAGUCCUAAUAGGACUUUUGGAGCUCAGCUGUCAUAGUGGCCAACAUGAUGCAUGCCACUUUGGUAGCAUCUCUUUCAUGGGCCCAAUAUUCAACGAUCUCCUCAGGAGUAGCAGACGACUCGAGUUCUUUAAGUUCCUUUUCGAGGACGUAUUAUUUGUCCUCAUACCGAGUGACCAUCCCGAUGUCCGUGAUCCAAUCCAUAAAGUUGGAUCCAUCAAAGAAGACUCUCUGACAAAGGUUCAAGAGAGAGAAGGAGCCGAUAGGGUUUGAUCCAGAAGCAGCAUUGUUGGAAGACAUCUGAAAAGAAGAAAGACAAGUUUUGAUUAGAUACACAGAUAGUCCUUAAUAAAACACCCAAAUGUAAUAUUAAGGCUAGGACCCAACACAAUAUUUUAUAACUUAAAAGAGGGAUGUUGUAAUCCAAGCUAUAAAAUAUUUGAAGGUAGGUGAAUGGCGAUUCGCCAAUUUCCACCAUGAAUAACAUAAUAAAUUAUUAGGUUUUAAUUGGUUUUGAAACUCCUAGAUUCUUUGAGAUUCAUUGAACUAUUCAAUGGGAUGUGUCAAUCUUGAGUGUGCCCUUCAGGUUUUGUGACCGAGAUGCCGAGGAUCACAAAACAAGGUGUGAAGUAACCAUGCAAAUUACUUGGUACCCUUAAUAUUUACCCCUCAUUCGAUGUGCCGGUUAACCACACGCGCUCCACCGAUACUAUGAUAAAUAUUUAGUUACCCUUUUCCUACCUUGUUAAGUCCAGGUUAGUAUACUGGUGAACCAUACACACUCCAUUAACGACUUAAUCAAAGUGCAAAGUGUAAUUUCAUGGGUUAGCACCUUAUUCACAUUUUCCUAAAGUAACUAAGACUGGGAAUUUAGAAAAACAUUUAGUUACUUUAUAUUCAUCAUACUUUUAAUGAAGAUUUAAAGUCCUUAUCUUACCCGUUCGGCUAACGACCCUCCACCGAUCAAGGAAGAAGUGGGUGAGAAUGGACACCCAUUAAGCUGCCAUUUUAUAGGCAGCAACCUUAUGCCCCCUUAUAGACCGGCUACGUGAAUGAGGCCUACUAACGGUAAAACAAAUUUUUCUUAUACAUAUAUAAUUAUUAUUAAACUUAUAAUAUUAUAAAUUAUAAGGGUUGAAUUUUAACAUUUAAAAUUCUAGGGGUUGGAACUAAAGUUUUUAGAGUGACUUUACAUGUUCCAAAACUUGAGGGCAAGUUUUGUAACUUUACAAAACUUUUCAUUUCAUAACUUAUGAGUUAAUGGUUUAAUAAAAUGAGUGACUUUUCAUUUUAUGUAACCUAUAUGUUUCUUUAAUGGUCUUUAAAAGUGUGACUUUUGGUAAUCCAUAACCUGAGGACAAAUUAUGGAUUCCAUUAAAACACAUAAUUGAUCAAGAACUAAUCAUUAACAAAUUAGCAAGUAAUUCCUAUGAUCUAACAAUAACUCAUAAGAACAUGAAUACCAUAUCAAAAUUUCAAGAAUCAUAUGAACACAAAUUAAACAUGUAAAUUUGAUAUUAGCCAUUAUACAUGGAUUAGCAUAACGAUUACACCAUCUAAAACAAGUUUUAUAAGACUAAAACAGUUUAGGGUAAUGUAACUAGUCCAUUUCCAACAACAAAACUCGAAAAACUACAUUUUGGGGCUCUUACUCGUUGAGUGCAUGAACCUACUCGAUGAGUAGGAUGAGUUUACUCAUGGAAUCAUCAAGUCCCCUCAUGGACUCGGCGAGUUCAUGAUGCAGAGUGUAGAAAAACUAAGUUUUUUCACGAAUUUGCAUCAAGUAUCAAACAAACAAGCCUAGGAUCUGAUACCACUGAAGGGUUUUGAGCAUUCUACCACUCCUAUGAUGUACAUGCAACCCUAGAAACCUUGGAUCUAUGUUUUAUGUAUGAUACAUGCAAAUUUGUUUUUCCAAGGUUCAUAACCUAUCUAGCAUACAUGGGGAACUUUUAAACAUAAAAGAUAGUAAGAAAUACAUACCUUUAGCUUCUUGAAUUCCUUGAGAUCCUUGUGAGCCUAACACCUCAAGUGUGAUGCCUCAAAUUUAUCACACAACACCAAAUACACUUGGAAUAACCUUGAGAGAAAUAGAACACUUCUAAAAUCAUCUAUACCCUCUUGUUCUCACACUAGUGCCGAUUUUGGUGUACAACAUGUUGCUUAUAUAUCGUGUCAUAAUUAGGGUUAGACCAUGUAAACCCUAAUUGACAUCACUCUUCAUUUCCAUGAUCCAUGGGUACAAAAACACCAUGGAGCAUCCAUGGAGCAUCCUAUGGGUUUUAGCCCAACUUGAUAAUCCAUGGAGCAUUAGCCCACUAUACAAGUAUGGAUGAUUUACACAAUCAACCCAUAUAUUUAAUUAGUCUUCUUUUGAUCACUUAAUUAAUUCUAAAUUACUUCCUGAUCAAUACUAGUUAAAUAAUAUUAUUAAUACAUUAGAACUUAUAAUAUAUUAAUAAACCUUAAGUGUUAUUUCUCUCAUUUUAGUCUAUCCAAAUGCAUGAUGCCAUACAACCCAAAUGGACCAUGCAAAUCGGGUCAAGUACAUUCUAGAAAUAGUUAUGAACUUAGACACCUAAUCCAACAAGAUCAUCAUGACUAGUGUGAUAUAUGUGGUGUUUGUGAGAACUCAAUUGAAUUUGGCUGAUCAUCUAACCAAAGGGUUAACAAGAGAUCUUGUGCACAAGGCGGUUGAAGGGAUAGGUUUAAAGUCCACUUAAAAUUUUUUAUAUUGGGAUACCCAAUUCCCAUCUAAUGUAAUAUUAGAUGUUGAAUUCAAUGUGGAAAGCUUGAUAUUUGAAGAUUGGAACACAUUAGAAUCAUCAUCCUAAGGUAUGUGUUCAGUACUGCAAGUUAACGAGGUUGAAAUUUUAUUUCUUAAUAGUUUUUUGAAAAAUUGCAUUUGUAGGUGCAAGAACAAAAGAACUACCUAUAUAAGUAUGAAUUUUAUCUGCUUCAACAAGUUGGGACUUGACUUUGAUAUGCUUAUUGAAGGAUGGGACACAAGCUAGUAAAAUAUAAAGAACUUAUGAGAAUGUAAACUGUUGUGUGUAUUCUCUUCGUGUAUUCACUAUGGAUAGAAAGUGUUCAAUCCUUAGUGAUAGCUUGAUAUUCGAAUAUUUACAGUGUAUAAUAUACUAUGUGAAAUUCAAUCAUCACGACAUUUCAUUUAUGCAUCAGUUUGUUAGUGUUAUGUUUCAUUUUAAGUUAAUCAAGAUUACACUUAAAUGGGGGAGGUUUGUUGGUGAUUUGUUAUCAUCAAUGUUAUUUAAGUGUAAUGUGAUUACUUUGUUGACCAAAAGUGAUAUUGAUAAAUAUUAAACAAGUAAGGAAGGUGUGGAGUACACACUUUUUUCAAUUUAAUCGAGUAUCAAGUAGUACAGUGUCAUUUAGGGGCGAAGCCCCUGAACGAAUGGGGGUCUGGGGGCAGCGCCCCUGGCUGGGAUCGAGCUGCCAGGUUGACUUUUAAAGAAUUGACCCAUUUUGACUUUUAUUCAAAAAUACCCAUUUUUAUGACUGUUUUGGCGGUUUUGUGACAGUUUUUAACUGUCAUAUGACAGUUUUUAGACAAUGAUCUAAAAGUUAGUUUUUGGUCUCUUUUUCUGGUACUCACGAAAUUAUACACUCUCGUUCUCUUUCUUUCUCUCUGAAUUUUCUGAGUCUUAUCCAAUUGGGGAAUUGGGAGUACCACCCAAAUACUUCGAUUUGAUAGUGAUAAUCACGAUUCUCAGAUUUCCAAGUGCCAUUAAAUCCAUAUUUCUAACUAAUAAUAAUAAAAUUAAAAAAUAAAAAGUAAAAAAAUCAGUAAAAUAAUCUUAUACUUUCAAAGAGAAAGCAUCAUUUCAUACUACAAGACAUGAAAAAUAAGCAUUAAUUCACAUUUACAACUACCCAAAUAUAAAAACAUUGAAAAGCAUAAAUUAUCUAUUUAACUGUUAAAAUACACUCCGUAAUGCCCAAUUUGUUUGGUAAACUCUUAAGCAAAACUAUCUCAUUUAUUGGCUUGUCUUGGACCCAAGUACGUUGGGUGUAUGUAUGGUACACCCGACGUACUCUAAUGCAUGAUUGAGGUGAGGUGUUCCCCUGGUAUGCUGGGUGUACCCUUGCGUAUGCAGGGCGUACGUGAGUUAGAGGAAAACUGUAACAUUCAUAAAAUUCUUGAAAAAUUUAAACUUUUGAAACAAAUCCAAAACCAUCAUUGUUUACAAAUUGUUUUCAAAAUAAGUUUCACAUCAAAGACAUCCCAAAAUUGUAAGACAAAAACAUGAGGAGGUGCACAAUCAUGCCUUCGCCUUCCCGUGAUCCUCUGAGGUACCUGAAACAUAAUCCAAAGGUAUAUGUCCAAAGCUUAGUGAGUUCUCCCAAAAUACCGAUACAUAACAAAUAUCACAGGUAUAAUAAUAUCAUGUAGUGGGUCCACAACUUAACAUACAUGAUUACCCCUAAGCCUACAACAUAAGUCUGGCUUGCCCUCAGCCCACAUUUUAUGUAUGGCUUGCUCCCCGGCCUGGUCAAUCCUUGGACUGAAUACCGCUAAGCCCUCAGUAUGAGUCUGACAUGCCCUUCCCGACCCUUAACUCGUACCUGGAAUGCUCAUGAGUCCUUAGUAUGAGUCUGGCAUGCUUUCCAUGGCCCUCAGCUCAUGUCUGGCAUACUCCAAGGUUUGUUAGCUACAACACGAAGCAGUAUAACCUCAACCCAACCCACACAAUAUGUCGACAUAUAACAUAUAAUAUCAUAAAAAGACAAACAUAUAGUAUCACAGGUAGUCCUACAGAUCUACCAGACUAGCAUAUCAAGACUAGCAUACAUAUCUAUAUCAUACUCAACAUAUCAACAAUAUCAGAUUAUCUAACUAAUGGGCCGACCUUGGUGCCUUCGACCCAAAAGUAUAGUGAGGAAAACUCACACUCACAAUGUCAAACUGUACUGAAACCUUUGGCUGUUGUCUCACAGAAUAACCCGAACUAUCAUAAGAAACAAAUAUCGAUUUAAGAAUUGCAAAGCCAAUGUUGACUAAGCAUCCAUACUUAGGUUAAAUGUCCAUUUUACCCUUUCCCGAAGGGGACCAAGGCAAAAAUCCAACUCUUUGAUCCAAAAGGCCCAAAUUAAUUCAAGGCCCAUGAUUGGCCUAAUUUUCCAAAUUGGGCCCAAAUCCUUAUUGGGCCUUAUCCAAAGAUCCAAUCCUCUUAUUAGCUCAAAACACACCUAUCCAAAUAGUCCAUUAGGGCCCAAGCAUCAAAGCCCAAAAAAUGGCCCAAUACCCGCAACCCAAAGUCUGAAAUCCAAACAGAAGGUGUAUGUGGGACAUAAUCCUUCGGUACGCUGGGUGUACUCCGCCUUGCCUUGACAACCAUCGGGGUGGUUGGCUUAGUAAAUGGGGCGUAUACUACCUUACACGAGGCAUACCCUCGUGAAUGUUAAAACUUUCAUAAGUGCUUAAUGGAUUAAGCACUUAAGCUCAAACUUUAGAUGCAUGACUCAAUAGUGUACUAGAAUCAUAAACUCUCAAACUUUAAGACUUUGGAUGUCCAAAAAGUCCUUAAUACAUGGUAUUAAUCCAUUAAGACCUCCUACAUAGAACAUGGAUCCAAACUAGCUAAAGGGACCUCAUUUUUGUGACUUAGAACCCAUCCAUCCUUGGGUCUGAAGGGACAACCAAACACUUCCAAAACAAAGCAUGCAGAAUAUUGGGACUUUGGGGAAAAUAAGAACACCCAAAAGCUACCAAAACAAGAUCCAAAAAAUUCAAGCAUAAUGGUAGAAGAUUUUUACCUUUUGGAGUUUCUUAAUAAAGUGAGGAUCCAAGAUCGAGUAGCUUGCAUCACUCUCCAACCACCUUGCUGCAACUACUUCUUAUUCAAGCACACAAUAAACACACUCUUAGCUCACACACACACAUACACUAUAGAGGUUAGGGUUGCCUAAAACCGAUUCUAGAACUUGGAGGCUGCAAUGAUGGGGGUAAAGGGUCCACAAGUAUGCUUAAAUACUCCACAAACCCUAAAAAUUAGGGUUUUCACCCGGACACAAGUACGCCCGACGUACUAGGGCGCCCCCUAGUAUGGUUAGCGUACCACAUGUAUGCCCAAUGUACAACUCAAGAUCCUAAGAAAUUACCAAUUUGCCACUAUGGCUUCUUAGGGCUAAUUCCAACCAAUUUCAAGGACCAAAAACGACAUAGUUAAAUACCAAGGUAAGGAUUAGAAAAUACCUGAAUGCCCGAGAUGUUACAACUCUCCCAAAUUUGAUAUAGACUUCUUCCUAGAAGUCUGUUGCAACAAAUAGAUCCGGGUAAUGCUCCCGCAUCUUGGCCUCUGGCUCCCAGGUCCACUCAAAGCCCUUCCGAUGUUGCCAUCGUACCUUACCAGAGGUACUUCCUUGCUCCACAAAACCUUCACCUUUCUUUCCAAAAUAGCUACAGUGCCUUUAACAUAAUUCAGAUGCUCAUUAAAGUAAAUGUCAUCUAAUGACACAACCGCAUCCACAUCCAACAAGCACUUCCGUAGAUGUGAAACAUGAAAAGUGCUAUGGAUCUGACAGAGAUCCUGGGGAAGAUCUAAUCUAUAGGAAUCCUUUCCUACCCAGGAAAUAAUCUAGAAUGGUCCAAUAUAUCGGGGGCCCAACUUCCCCCUCUUCCUGAAGAGAAUCACACGUUUCAAGGUGAGACUUUCAGAAACACCAUGUCACCGACUUGAAACUCCAACUUAGAUCAGCACCGGUCGGCAUAGUUUUUCUACCAACUCUGAGCAGUCUGCAAUCUCUUCCUGAUCUGAUGAAUCAUCUCUAUAGUCUAAACAACCACCUCAGUCCAACCCAUGACCCUAUGACCAACCUCGUCCCUACAGACUGGAGUACGACAUCUCCACCCAUAAAAAUGAUCAAAAGGCGGAGAACCAAUGCUGGAGUGGAAACUGUUGUUGUAGGAGAACUCUGCAAGAGGUAGGUUGAACUCCCAGCUCCCACUAAAAUCAAUGACGCAUGCUCACAACAUAUCCUUGAGAUUCUGAAUGGUCUGCUCACUCUGUCCGUCAGUCCGCGGAUGAUAAGUUGUGCUGAAGUGCAGUCUUGUGGCCAAUUCCUCAUGAAACUUCUACCAAAAACGGGAGGUGAACUGAACAUCACGGUCUCAAAAACAAUGGAUACUGGAACCCCAUGGCGAGCAACGAUCUCGUGAAUCUACACAUCGACCAAUUUCUCGGCCGAUGAGCUCUCCCUAAUCGCUAGGAAAUGGGCACUCUUGGUUAAUCGAUCCACGAUGACCCAAAUGGCAUCAAAACCAUUUUCCGUCUUCGGCAACUUGGUGAUGAAAUCCAUCAAUAUAUCCUCCCAUUUCAAUAUGGGAACCUCCAGAGACUGCAACUUGCCAUGCGGCCUCUGAAGCUAGGGCUUGACCAUCUUGCAGGUUAAGCACCUCUUAAUGUACCAAGCGAUCUCUCUCUUCAUGAAAGGCCACCAAUAGCUCAACCAUAGAUCCCAAUACAUUUUAGUGGCCCCCCGGAUGGAUAGAAAAUCGAGACUUAUGAGCCUCCUCCAAUACAAUCUUUCUAACCCCACCAGACAUAGGAACCCAUACCCGACCGCAACGGGUCAACAAACCACGAGUGUCCGGAACAAACCUGUUGAUCUCCCCCUUGAUCCUCUCAAUCUUCCAAUUUUCUUCCCGCACCCCCUCGACAUGAGCUACCUUAAUCAACCCCACAAGUGGAGAGUCCACAUAUAUCCUUAUAUAUGAUACCUCAACAGAAGCUCUAGCCGACUUGUAGCUCAAGGCAUCCACCACCACAUUCGCUUUACCUAGAUGGUAAAGGAUCUCGCAGUCAUAAUGCUUGACUACGUCCAGCCACCUGCGUUUCCUGACGUUCAGGUUUGGCUGAUCCGUAAUAUGCCUCAAACUCUUGUGAUCCAUGUAGAUGGUAUAACGGACCCCAUAAAGGUAAUGCCUCCAAAUCUUGAGGGUAAACACCACCUCCCCAAACUCAAGAUCAUGUGUGGGAUAUCACGUCUCAUGUGGCUUCAGCUGCUGCGAAGCAUAAGCUAUCAUUCAUUCUCUCUACAUGCGAAUUUCCCUAAACCCGGUGAUGGACGCAUCAUAGAAAACCAAAAAAUCCUCGAUUCCCUUAGAGAGGGUCAAAACUGGGGCCUUGCAAAGUCUCUGCCGAAGGGUCUCAAAUGUUGCCUGCUGCUCAGGGCCCCACUGGAAAUCGAGCCCCUUCCUUGUCAGAUGAGUGAGGGGUACUGCAAUCUUGGACAAAUCUUCAAUAAAUCUUUGGUAGUACCUCGCUAAACCCAAGAAACUCCUAAUAUCCAAGGGAGAUUUAAGAAUCUCCCACUGCAUCACCGCCUCAAUUUUGGCCAAACUAACAGAUAUCCCUUCUUGGUUAAUGAGGUAUCCAAGAAACUGAACCUAUCGCAACUAAAACUUGCAUUUCAUAAAAUUAGCAUAAAGUCGUUCUCACCUCAAAACCAACGAAAGCUCACGAAGAUGCUCCUCAUGCGAUCGAGCAUCAACCUGCAUACUCGAUUCAUGAAAUCCAUAAAUAUUGCGGGCGCAUUGGUGAGACCAAAUGUCAUCACCAUGAACGUGUAAUGCCCAUAACGAGUCCGAAAUGCGAUCUUCUCCACGUCCUCCUCUCUGACCCUGACCUGAUGGUACCCAGACCGCAAAUCUAUCUUAGAGAACCAAGAUAAUCCUUGUAGUUGAUCAAAGAGAUCAUCAAUCUGUGGAAGGGGUUAAUGAUUCUUCACCAUUAACUUGUUCAACUCCUAGUAAUUGAUGCACAUCUGGUGUGAACUAUCCUUCUUCUUGAUGAAUAAUGUAAUGACCCAAAUCAAGGUUAAAAAAUUUAUUUUUAUUAUAGUAAUAACAAAAAUAUCUUUUAAAUCCAAGCCUUCCAAAAACAUUGCUAAUUAAAAGCAUUUAUCAGGGUUCAUCCCUAAAUCACAUAUUGCAGAAAUACGGGUGUCUACGCUGUGAUCAAGUCGGGCCCUUCCUUUGCAAACCAAUGGUACCUGAAACCAAUAACAAAACUGUAAGCAUGAAGCUUAGUGAGUUCCCCGUAACAUACCCCACACCAUCCACAUAAUCGCAUAAACCAUAUCAUAUAAGCCACAUAUGUAACGCCUGUGUUUCUAGGAUUGUCAUUAAUGUUGAUAUAAUAGUCUAGGUUAACCUUUGUAACCCAUUUUGAAAUAAUAGAAGUGUAUUAUUUGAGUAUUAUGUGUUUUGUGCUUAAUUGUGUGUCUUAAUGUAAUUGAGAAUAAAAAUAAGCGUCAAAAUGAAAUGUUAGAUAAGCUCACUAUCUUUGGAUAAUGUUGUAGUAGUUUAAAUGAGGUUUCCGAAUAUAUAAAUAAAGCCGAAAUCCGAGUUAUAACGAAAAAGUUAUGACCUGUCGAAGUUUCGCGACAGAACCGGCAACGCUAAAUGACGUAAAAAGUGAAAUUUACGUUAGAGCGAUAUUUAGCCCUAGUGAUAUAAACGAAUUUCGUAGGGUUCAUUAAACCAAGAGCGUGCAUAAAGAGAACACCCAAAUCUGACUUCGUAUGAGGAAGUUAUGAUUUUCUGAAGUUUCGACUUAGCGGUAUGCAACCCGAAUACUCGAUUUGAGACCGAGCGGUUUUUAGACAAAAAUAUCUAAACUACAAUCGAAGAUCUCGUUAAUUGUAGUGAAACGAUAAAAAGAUAGGCGAAAACGGACGUCGGACGAAGAAGUUAUGAAUUUAUAAUGGAUUUUUCAUGUCCCGACCUACUAAAAAUAAAUAAUAAAAGUAAAUUCAAAAAUAGCCGACAGAGUCUAAACGAAAGUUGUAGAGCGUAGUCUCACCUACGCGUGGAUAUAAAGAACAUCGAAAACGGAGUUCGUAUGAAGAAGAUAUGAAUUUCAGAAGUUUUUAAAUGAUUAAUAUUUAUUUAUUUAAUCUUUAAUUCGGAUAAUAACCGAAUGAGUCAUUGGUCUGAUCCGAACUACGCCCAGCGUAGUUGAGUACGCCCAGCGUACCCCGAUGCAUGCACCGACUCGGACUCGAGUGCUCCGAUGACGCAUGCUGUGACGUUUCCGGAGGCGUACGCCCCGCGUAGAGCAUUACGCCUAGCGUAAUGCGAGGCCUCAACCUCCUAUAAAAGGCUUGCGAGGGCAGCCGAGAGUUUUGCUCUUUUUCUCUUCUCUCUCUCUCUGUCUCAUUUUGCAUCGUUUUGCGUGCUAGAAGUAUCCCGAAGCUCCGGUGUCAAUCCCGAGCCCCGAAGCAAGUUCUGAAGCCCCGAAGAUCCCAAGAAGUGCGAUUCCCGAGCCGAAGCUCUACCCGUGAGAAGCCAAUUUUUGUGAAGAUCUUCUAGACCUACCGACGAAUACUACUUUUGCAAGUCGUAGUGCUGUCCGAUCAUCUUCUGAUCAAGUGAGUGUGUAGUUACUUUCUUCUAACGCACAAUUAUGAAGUAUUUUAUACAAAAUACGUGUUAUGUGUAUAUUUUGUUGUUAUAAGUGUGAAUGUAUAUUCAUUUUCUUCUAUCUCACAGAUUUGGUUUAUUCUCUAUGAAAUAUGUGUUAUGUGUGUGUGCCUCAUCUGUUAUAUGGAAUAUGUAUUGAUUGAACAUGCUAUACGGGUUUUAAACUAUGUAUAAAAAUAUAUAUUUUUAUCUACUAAUAUGUUGGGUAGAACAUGGUUAGAUAGUUGAUGUGUGAUAAACAAAUGAGAGGCCUCGAUGUUGUUGUUGUGGAUAUAGUUAUUCAGCAGAGUAUGGAUAACGACCACAUACUCUUUCUAGACAGUCUUGUGGAACGCUAGCAGGUUCAUAACCUGUAGGUGUUGUGAACGAUGUGUUCACCGGUGUACUCUAUCCCCCUCAUGGUUGCCUUUAGGAUAUCUAUUGUUGAGGAAACCCCUUAGCAGUAAUGUCCGUCCCGAUGAAAAUCCUAGAUUAGGUCCCUUGAGAUAGAUGUUGUGUUUAGGGACAUAAAGUGAUGAUAACGGGAAUGGGUAAUCGGGUUAUUGUUGGUUGGUGAAAUUAAAUAUAAUUAUUUAUUAUGGGUUGAAAACCCUAUAUGCUCACCAGGAUCCCAAGCCUGAUCCACUCAGUUAUUUCGUAUUACAGGUAGUGGUGCGAAGGCAUAAGAUGGAUGAAUCAUCAAGUUGUUUUGUUUACAAGUCUGUAUAUGUAUAUAUUCGUUGAAUGACUUGUAAUGUUAUCGUUUACGCUUUAUGGUCUGUAUCGGAACAUGACAAUGCUGAGUUUUGAUUAUAUAAUGAAAAUGCAUUCUUGAUGAAAUGCUUUGAUAAAUAUUAUUUUAUCCUAUUUUGUUUUGGGAACAAAUUCCGCAACUCUUUUAAAUCAAAAGGAUUUACUCUGAAAUUAUUUUAAAAAGCAUAAAUGAAAUCGGCCUUUUCUGGAUGUGAUUUUGGGGAUGUCACAGUUGGUAUCAGUGCAUUGGUUUAAGUGAACUAUGAAUUUGUAGGAUUUCUAGAUUUAAACUUAGAAUGCUAAGUGAAGGUUGUUAGAUGUGUGUCUGUUAUAUUUCAGAUACGAGCACUAGUUUAUUUUAGGAAAGUUGCCUAAAAUGCUUUUAUGUGCUAAAUGUUAUAUGUUGCCAUAUAUGAUAUUAUUUGUUCGGAUCUAUGGUCUGUUGACGACCGGAUCUGGAAACCUUAUGUGUGUAGGAUUCUAAGCAUAUGACGAAGGUAUAAGAACUAGCUUGUAAACGUUUCGGAGUGAUAAGGAUGAUUUGAAUAUCUAUCAUGGAAGAGGAUCUAAUUUCACCUUAUUCAGUGUGUUGAUCAAAAAUGGUAAGAACCAGAAGUGGCGUUGGAAAGAUGGAUGAAAACAGGAAUCAACCACCAAUGAUUGAGCAAGCACCUGUGGUAGCAAUAGCACCAGAACCAAUGACAAUGGUUAGUGUGCAAGCCAUAAUUCGGGCUAUGUUAGUCGAACAAAGGGAUGAGAUGCGACAAAUGUUGCAUGAUAAUAAGGACGAACCUAUCAUGCCCAUCGAGGAACCUGAAUUGAUUCCCGAGCAAUCGGAGGAAGGAAACAAUAGUUACAUUAUGAGUCUAGUUGGGACUCAAGGCGAAUGAAGGAACGACCCGGAAAGUAGAGAAACAACAAGGAUGGGUGAAUGUACAAGAAUUUCUUGGGCGCCAAGCCGCCAAGUCUUUCUGGAAGCCCAAAGCCUGUUGAGAUAAUGGAUUGGAUCUCCGAAAUGGAGAUGGUAUUUGAAAGUUGCGACUGUAGCAACAAACAGAAGACCGUCUUUGCAGUUAGACAACUGAAGACUAGAGUCUUGAGUUGGUGGAAGUUGCUGGCAGAUACUAUGCAACAAGGAGAAACCCUGAAAAUGUCAUUGGAGGAGUUCUUGGAACAAUUAAGGGUGCAGUAUUGUUCAGAGAUAGAUCUGAUUGAUCUGAACAAUGAAUUCCAAAACUUGAAGAAGGGGAGGAUGAGCAUAGAUGACUAUGCUACUGCAUUCACUGAGAUAAUGAAGUUAUUUCCGUACCUAGUGCCAACGGAACUCUCCAAGAUUGAGAGGUUCGCUAAUGGACUGCCUGCCGACUUUGGCCCGACAGUCACGAUGGCAACCACUCUGAAAACAGCUGUUCGAGCAACUAAGAAUGUGGAGGCCCAGCAGAAGGAAAAGGGCCUGGAAAGGAUAGAAGUUUGUGAAAAGAGGAAGUUUGAUGGACCUUCAGGGUCCAAUAAGAAAAACAAAUUCUCGAAGUCUAGUUCGAGAGGAGGAGGAGGCGAAGCAAAAUGGUGCGAAAAAUGUAAGAAGAAGCAUCAUGGAAAAUGUGAGGUAGUGGCCACAUGUUUUAAAUGUGGAAAACCAGGGCACUAUGCCAACGAAUGCACCCUCACUAAGAAAGUUUGCUAUGGUUGUGGUGAGGAGGGACACAUGUUAAAGGACUGCCCGAAGAAGAAAGAGGCAGCUAGACCCAACAUUCCGCCAAAGCCGAAGGCAAGAGCAUUCCAGAUGACACUGGAAGCUGCUAAAGACGAAGCUGAUGUCGCUUCAGGUACCUUUCUCGUAAACACAUAGCCUACCCAAAUUUUAUUUGAUUCUGGAGCCAAUUACUUCUUUAUAUCGCAUGAAUUUGGUAGAAAACUAGCUUUGCCUGUUGAUAGACUAGAUAAUGCCUUAUUAGUCGAAGUUGCAAGUGGCAAGUUUGUACCUGUUAACCAUCGUAUGAAAAACAUCUUAAUUGACUUGAAUGGGAAUAUGUUCCGCGAGGGAUUAUUGCCUAUAGAACUUAAUGGUUUCGACAUCGUGUUGGGAAUGGAUUAGCUUAGCGACAAUGACACCAAGAUAUUGUGCAAGAAGAAGAUUGUAAAGAUAAACCCGCCAGGGAAAGAGUCGUUUAUGGUGUAUGGAGAUAAAUGGUGAGUAAAUUCUGGAAUCAUUUCAUUGAUGAAAGCCAAAAAGCUUUUGGCCAAAGGAUGUACAUCGUAUCUAGCAUUUGUGAUAGAUGAUAAGAAAGAGAAAAAGUCGAUGCAGAGCAUUCCUGUCUUAUGUAAUUAUCCGGAAGUAUUUCCCAAAGAUCUUCCCGGAUUACCGCCUGAUAGACAAGCGGAGUUUAGAAUAGACUUGUUACCAGGGACGCUGCCAAUAGCAAAAGCACCUUACCGAUUAGCACCGACGGAGAUGAAGGAGCUGAUGAUGCAACUUCAGGAGUUAUUGGACAAAGGUUUCAUUAGACCUAGUUCAUCACCCUGGGGAGCUCCGGUGUUAUUCAUGAAGAAGGAAGAUGGGAGCAUGAGGAUGUGCAUUGAUUAUAGAGAGCUGAAUAAAGCAACGAUAAAGAAUAGAUACCCGCUGCCGAGGAUUCAUGACCUGUUCGAUCAACUUCAAGGUUCGAGCUAUUUCUCGAAGAUCGAUCGAAGGUCAGGAUAUCAUCAGCUAAAAGUAAGAGAGCAAGAUAUCGAGAAGACUGCAUUCAGAAUUAUAUAUGGACACUACAAGUUCUUGGUUAUGUCGUUUGGAUGAACCAAUGCUCCAGCAGCAUUCAUGGAUUUAAUGAAUCGGGUUUGUAAUCCAUUCCUUAAUAAAUUUGUGAUAGUGUUCAUAGAUGACAUUCUAAUUUACCCGAAAAGCCAAGAGGAGCAUGGCAGACACUUGUGAGAAGUGUUAGAAGUUUUGAAGAAGGAGAAGUUUUAUGCAAAGUUCUCUAAGUGUGAUUUUUGGAUUCGAGAAGUCCAAUUCUUUGGUCACGUGGUCAACCAAGAAGGGAUAAUGGUUGAUCCAGCGAAGAUCGAAGUUGUGAUGAAGUGGGAACAACCGAAAAGUCCCAUGGAGAUCCGAAGCUUUUUAGGAUUAGCCGGAUAUUACCGAAGGUUUAUCCAAGGCUUUUCUUCGAUUGCUACUCCAUUAACAGCUUUGACCCACAAAGGAGCUACUUAUGCUUGGAGUGAGAAGCAUAAAGAAGCAUUCGAGAAGUUAAAGAAGAAGCUAUGCGAGGCACCGAUACUUUCUCUACCCGAUGGAGUUGAAGACUUCGCUGUUUAUAGCGAUGCGUCUGGUGUUGGAUUGGGUUGUGUUUUGACCCAAAGAGAAAAGGUGAUAGCAUAUGCGUCUCGACAGUUGAAAGAGCAUGAAAAGAAUUACCCGACUCAUGAUUUGGAGUUGGCAGCGGUAGUUUUCGCUCUGAAAAUAUGGAGGCAUUACCUCUAUGGCACGAAGUGCAAACUUUUCACUGAUCAUAAGAGUCUCCAAUAUCUCUUUAAUCAGAAAGAAUUGAAUAUGAGGCAACGACGCUGGCUAGAAUUACUUAAAGACUACGACUGCGAGAUACUUUACCACCCCGGUAAAGCUAAUGUUGUUGCUGAUGCUCUCAGUCGGAAAGUCAAUCUUGAAAGGAAAAGGCCAAGAGCGUUGAGAAUUGAAGUUGUCUCGACCAUUGUGGAAAGUAUAAAGAAAGCUCAAGAGGAAGCUUCUGAGAAAAAUGACCGAAAGGAGGAACGUUUGGGUAAAACGUUGGUGUUUGGUACUAACGGUCAUGGACUGAAGGUAUUCCAAGAUCGUAUUUGGGUACCUAAGUCAGGAGGAAUUAGGGGUCUUCUGAUGGAAGAAGCUCACAAGACCAUGUACUCGAUUCAUCCGGGUAGCACUAAAAUGUAUAGGGACCUGAAACCCUACUACUGGUGGCCGACGAUGAAGCUUGAUGUUGCAAGGUAUGUGGCCGAGUAUGUGACUUGUGCGAGAGUCAAAACACAACAUCAUAAACCAUAUGGGAGUUUAGAACCUUUACCUGUGCCCAUAGGUAAAUGGGAAGACAUCGCUAUGGAUUUUGUCACUAAACUACCCAGAACAAAGAAUGGUCACGACAUGAUUUGGGUGGUCGUUGAUCGAUUCACUAAGAGUGCGCAUUUCAUAGCAGCCAAGGAGAAAUGGUCUAUGGANNNNNNNNNNNNNNNNNNNNNNNNNNNNNNNNNNNNNNNNNNNNNNNNNNNNNNNNNNNNNNNNNNNNNNNNNNNNNNNNNNNNNNNNNNNNNNNNNNNNNNNNNNNNNNNNNNNNNNNNNNNNNNNNNNNNNNNNNNNNNNNNNNNNNNNNNNNNNNNNNNNNNNNNNNNNNNNNNNNNNNNNNNNNNNNNNNNNNNNNNNNNNNNNNNNNNNNNNNNNNNNNNNNNNNNNNNNNNNNNNNNNNNNNNNNNNNNNNNNNNNNNNNNNNNNNNNNNNNNNNNNNNNNNNNNNNNNNNNNNNNNNNNNNNNNNNNNNNNNNNNNNNNNNNNNNNNNNNNNNNNNNNNNNNNNNNNNNNNNNNNNNNNNNNNNNNNNNNNNNNNNNNNNNNNNNNNNNNNNNNNNNNNNNNNNNNNNNNNGGAGAGAAUGUUAGCAGCUCAGGAUCGUCAAAAGAGCUAUGCUGAAAACAAGCGAAGACCGAUGGCUUUUGAAGUUGGAGAUUCGGUUUUGCUUAAAGUCUCACCGUGGAAGGGACUUUAAGAAUUUAGUAAAAGGGGCAAAUUAAGUCCAAGGUUUAUUGGACCGUUUAGAGUUCUUCAUAGGUUUGGGAACCAAGCUUACAAGCUCGAACUACCAAACGUGCUGAGUGGAAUUCAUAACACUUUCUAUGUGUGUUAUUUAAGGAAGUUCACGGGAGAAGUUCCCAACAUGAUUCCACUUUCGUAGUUGAGAAUCGAUGAGAACAAAAGGUUGAUUGAAGAACCAGAGGAAAUCGUUGACCGAAAGACUAAGAAGUUACGACGCAAGAUGGUCGAGUUAGUGCUUGUCCGAUGGAAACACACGAAUGGGCCGAAUCUCACCUGGGAGACGGAGAGUGACAUGAUGGGUCGCUAUCCGCAUUUGUUUGUUGAUGUGUGAUUCCGGGGACAAAAUCAUUCUAAGGUGGAGAGAAUUGUAACGCCUGUGUUUCUGGGCUUGUCAUUAAUGUUGAUAUACUAGUCUAGGUUAACCUUUGUAACCCGUUUUAAAAUAAUAUAAGUGUAUUAUUUGAGUAUUAUGUGUUUUGUGCUUAAUUGUGUGUCUUAAUGUACUUGAGAAUAAAAAUAAGCGUCAAAAUGAAAUGUUAGAUAAGCUCGAUAUCUAUGGAUAAUGUUUUAGUAGUUAAAAUGAGGUUUCCGAAUACAUAAAGAAAGCUGAAAUCCGAGUUAUAACGAAGAAGUUAUGACCUGUCGAAGUUUCGCGAUAGAACCGGCAACGCUAAAUGACGUAAAAAGUGAAAUUUACGUUAGAGCGAUAUUUAGCCCUAGUGAUCUAAAGGAAUGUCGUAGAGUUCGUUAAAUCGAGAGCGUGCAUAAAGAGAACGCCCAAAUUUGACUUCGUGUGACGAAGUUAUGAUUUUCUGAAGUUUCAACUUAGCAGUAUGCAGCUGGAAUACUCGAUUUGAGACCGAGCGGUUUUUAGCCGAAACAAUCUAAACGACAAUCGAAGAUUUCGUUAAUUGUAGUGAAACGAUAAAAAGAUAGGUGAAAACGGGCGUUGGAUGAAGAAGUUAUAAAUUUAUAACGGAGUUUUCAUGUCCCGGCCUACUAAAAAUAAAUAAUAAAAAUAAAUUCAAAAUUAGACGACGGAGUCUAAACGAAAGUUGUAGAGCGUAGUCUCACCUACGCGUGGAUAUAAAGAACGUCGAAAACGGAGUUGGUAUGAAGAAGAUAUGCAUUUCAUAAAUUAUUAAAUGAUUAAUAUUUAUUUAUUUAAUCUUUAAUUCGGAUAAUAACCGAAGGAGUCGGUGGUUUGAUCCGAACUACGCCCAACGUAGUUGAGUACGCCCAGCGUACCCCGAUGCAUGCACCGCCUCGGACUCGAGUGCUCCGAUGACGCAUGCAGUGACGUUUCCGGAGGUGUAUGCCCCGCGUAGAGCAUUAUGCCUAGCGUAAUGCGAGACCUCAGCCUCCUAUAAAAGGCUUGCGAGGUCAGGCGAGAGUUUUGCACUUUUUCUCUUCUCUCUUUCUCAUUUUGCAUCGUUUUGCAUGCCAGAAGUAUCCCGAAGCCCCGGUAUCAAUCCCGACCCCCGAAGUAAGUUCCGAAGCCCCGAAGAUCCCGAGAAGUGUGAUUCCCGAGCUGAAGCUCUGCCCGUGAGAAGCCAAUUUUUGUGAAGAUCUUCUAGAUCUACUGACGAAUACUACUUUUGCAAGUCGUAGUGCUGUCUGAUCAAGUGAGUGUGUAGUUACUUUCUUUUAACGCAUAAUUAUGAAGUAUUUUAUACAAAAUACAUGUUAUGUGUAUAUUUUGCUGUUAUAAGUGUGAAUGUAUAUUCAUUUUCUUGUAUCUUACAGAUUUGGUUUAUUCUCUAUGAAAUAUGUGUUAUGUGUGUGUGCCUCAUUUGUUAUAUGGAAUAUGUAUUGAUUGAACAUGCUAUACGGGUUUUAAACUAUGUAUAAAAAUAUAUAUUUUUAUCUACUAAUAUGUUGGGUAGAACAUGGGUAGAUAGUUGAUGUGUGAUAAAUAGAUGAGAGGCCUCGAUGUUGUUGUUGUUGAUAUAGUUAUUCAGCGGAGUACGGAUAACGACCACAGACUCUUUCUAGACAGUCUUGUGGAACGCUAGCAGGUUCAUAACCUGUAGGUGUUGUGAACGAUGUGUUCACCGGUGUACUCUAUCCCCCUCAUGGUUGCCUUUAGGAUAUCUAUUGUUGAGGAAACCCCUUAGCAGUAAUGUCCGUCCCGAUGAAAAUCCUAGAUUAGGUCCCUUGAGAUAGAUGUUGUGUUUGGGACGUAAAGUGAGGAUAACGGGAAUGGGUAAUCGGGUUAUUGUUGGUUGGUGAAAUUAAAUAUAAUUAUUUAUUGUGGGUUGAAAACCCUAUAUGCUCACCAGGCUCCCAAGCCUGACCCACUCAGUUUUAUUUGUAUUACAGGAAGUGGCACAAGGGCGUAAGAUGGAUGGAUCAUCUUGUUGUUUUGUUUACAAGUCUGUAUAUGUAUAUAUUUGUUGAAUGACUUGUAAUGUUAACCGUUUAUGCUUUAUGGUCUGUAUCGGAACAUGACAUCCCGAGUUUUGAUUAUAUAAUGAAAUGCAUCUCUUGAUGAAAUGCUUUGAUAAAUAUUAUUUUAUCCUAUUUUGUUUUGGGAACAAAUUCCGCAACUCUUUUAAAUCAAAAGGAUUUACUCUGAAAUUAUUUUAAAAAUCAUAAAUGAAAUCGGUCUUUUCUGGCUGUGAUUUUGGGGAUGUCAUAGUUGGUAUCAGUGCAUUGGUUUAAGCGAACUAGGAAUUUGUAGGAUUUCUAGACUUAAACUUAGAAUGUUAAGUGAAGGUUGUUAGAUGUGUGUUUGUUAUAUUCCAGACACGAGCACUAGUUUAUUUUAGGAAAGUUGCCUAAAAUGCUUUUAUGUGCUAAAUGUUAUAUGUUGUCAUAUAUGAUAUUAUUUGUUCGGAUCUAUGGUCUGUUGCCGACCGGAUCUGGAACCCUUAUGUGUAUAGGAUUCUAAGCGUAUGACAACGGUAUUAGAACUAGCGUGUAAACGUUUCGGAGUGAUAAGGAUGAUUUGAAUAUGUAUCAUGGAAGAGGAUCUAAUUUCACCUUAUUCGGUGUGUAGAUAAAAAAUGGUAACAACCAGAAGUGGCGUUGGAAACGCGGAUGAAAACAGGAAUCAACCACCAGUGAUUGAGCAAGCACCUGUUGUAGCAAUAGCACCAGAACCAAUAACAAUGGAUGGUGUGCAAGCCAUGAUUCGGGCUAUGUUAUCCGAACAAAGGGAUGAGAUCCGACACUACAAUGGUUGGACUCAAACAAGAGUUGUGCAAUAGCACCAAAUCACGCUGGGAGAAUGCAACCUAACGUAUUUUUCAAAUAACUAACUAAUAUCAGUAUAUGUUCUAAGUAACAAAUAACAAGAAAAUCCCUAAGCUAUAAGGCAUCUUUAUCAGGCAAUUUCUAAUUUGGCAAUUCCUGAAAAGAUCCCCAGCCUACAUGCUAGGAUGUAUUUCUAACAGUUCAUGUAUCAAUAGAUAUAACCAAUAUGGAUAUUUUGGGAAACACUUUUGUUUUGAGCUCUGGUUGACUGUACGCAUCACAUUCUUUUCUUUUUAUAUCAUUUCUUUUUAAAAAUUUUUGUUUAAAAUAUUCAGAUCCUAAGUUUGAGUCUGGAAUCACACGAGUGUUCAUCCAGUUAACUCAAACUAGGGCUCUGAUACAAACUUGUAACGUCCAAAAUUUUAACCCAAAUUUUUCAUUUUUAUUUAUUAAAAUAUUCAAUUACAUCAAUGUAUAACAAAGAAACGUGAUUGUGAAUGAGCGUGUGUAUAGUCGAACCUUGUCCUUCCCAUGAACCAAUAAAGUGUUUGAAAUAACAUUUGUAACAACUGGGUAAGUGCUAGACUUAGUGAGUUCCCCGAAUAUACCAUAUGUUGCAAUACAUAUACAUGCAUACAUCGAGUAUCUAAAUAUCUUAAGUUGCUAUUGCUAUUAUUUAGGCUCACAAUAUCUUAAGGUUCUGCUGUCAUCAACUCACCCUUGGCCUUUAGCAUAACGCUAGUGCGUCCGCAUCUUGGCUUUCCGCACGGAGUGGGAAUGCCUCUGCCCUUAACCGAUCACAUAUACAAGUUACAUUACAAGAAACAGCCUAACAAGUCGAUCAAUAUAGGCACAUAGAAUCUACACUAUGGGAUCUACUCUAUUGGCUCCUAUAUCCUAACAUACAUGGAUUAUACUGGAAGACAUAAUAUAGUGAGAUGAACUCAACUGGACAGUUACUUCGAAGAUUAACAACUAUACAGACGAUCCUACAUUCCAAUUGACUAGAAACGUGCCUAAUGAGUAUUAACGUAUAAUACUAUAACUUAUUAGAUCCGAACAUAAUCUAGUAAUGUAUGCCAUACCUAUCACUAAUCCAAAUGAAUAUCGAUAGUUCUAUGUGAUGAGAUUAAAACAAUAACUUUUAAUCUAUAAAGAUCGAUUAGAUCGUGAACAAGUAUAUGAAUAUGGAACUGCAAGAACACAAUAUAAAUAACAAGGCAGAACGCAAUAAUAAGAACAAACAGCUUGAAUCAAACGGGUCGAAUGAUUAAACAAAAUCCUUAGAAGAGCUCGAUUAAGAACAUCAACUGUAAAGGAUUGGAAGAUUACAAGAGAGCAAUAUUGUAAACUCUGGAGCGCUAAAACAGAAAUCUUGAAUCUUGACCUAAUAUGCAUGCAAGCGAUAACUUAUAUACAAUACAUAAAAAGGCUCUCGGUUGGACAGGCCCAAACCGGAGAAUACAAGGCUAAUCUACGAGCCCAAAAGACGCAAUACAAAACAGAACUUCAGCCCAACAAUCUCCCCCUUUGCGUCAAUUUGGAGCGAGACCAUCACUUCUUACUUGGGCCGGCGGCUGAAGCUGGUACCUUCUUCUUCACGGUACUAAACAGACACUUGGUUAUGGAAAGGAUGGUCUGUCUAAACCGGAUGUACCAAUUGAUCAUAUCUUCAAAAUAUUUGAUGUCAUCAGCCGAAUUGUCCUUACACCGCUUGAUGAUAGAAAGGACGUGUUCCAAGCAGGGAGUGGUGUAGAGGUGCUUGUCAGCUAACGCGAACAGACAUUUCUGUCCUUCGGCUCUGGUGAACAUCACAGAGUUUCGCCUCGAAUCUAUCUUGCCCAUUUUCAUCGUGUUUAGAUCACUGGCCGAUCCCACAGGCUUGACUUUCGGUUUCUUCUUAAACACUGUGGCAACCUCCUGAUCCAUUAGGGCCACCUCCAUGAUAUAGCAUGCCAGCAUCCUUUUGACAUGGUCUAAGAUGGGACCAUAUUCGGCUUCGUUUGUCAGCAAGAUGUUGUACAAGACUAUCCAAUCAUGAGGGUUCAGAUUGGGCAGAUCCGCCAGAGAGAUCAUGUGAGCAGUUCUUGCAGAUCCUCGGAUAAGCUUGAACUUGACGUUUGUGAAUCUCCCCACGGCAAACGGCUUCAACACCCGAACAUUGACAAUCUUCUGGGCGCUCCAUGUAAGGUAUUGAGGGCGAGCGGCCUCCAGAUAAAAGUCAAUGAGCUCCCUGUCAAGCUCAUCGUUCGGAUGCGGGACUUCGAAAAUGUUGGAGAAGGCGUGGAAGAUGAACGCCUUUCGAGUCAGCGGCAUAUCAAAUUGCGAAUCGACCGAGUUGAUGCAGUCGAACGAUAUCACCGGCUCGAGCCAUAGUAUGCUUGGAGUCUCUAUGGCCUCUUUUAUCAGACGAUCCCUGGUCCAGGCAGGGAAGAGCAGCUUUCGGCUCUCAAGGAGAUCGUUGGCUUCUUUUUGUUUACGUUCGGCUUCUUCAGCUUCACGUGCCACACGACUGACAUCGUCAUCAGUAUUGCGACUGUUCUUUCUCUUUAACAUGUCCGCAAUAGUCUCCUUGUCUUCAUCUUCAUCUUCAUCUUCAUCUCCUCCCUCUGCAAUGUUUUUGCCCUUGUCCUUCACACCCGAACCCGAGGCAUGACCAGUUGGGGGUGGUUCGGUUGUGUGAGUUGCUUUUGAGGAAGGAGGUGGUUUCGAUCCUUUCUUCUCAUCUCCCCCUUGUUUCGGAAUGGACACGAAACUGGGUAGGCCUUCAAUUUUACUCAAGAGAGCCAUGGCCGGAGAGAGUUUCUCAGCGAGGGUACGCCUCACCGAGUGAUUCAGGAUGGGGUCGUGUGCUUCCAGGAUGUUGGAUAGAGCGGCGUGGACAUCCGAAACACACGUCUUGAUGAUUUCCCUUUCGGAUCGAAGAGCCUCCAAUUGUUGUUCGGAGUUGGAAAGUUGGGUGCUCUUGACCUUGAGGGCAGUAGUCUUACUCGCCAGGACGUCCAUCAGUUUAUUUUCAGCCGCAAGAUCCUCUUGUAGCUUUGCCAAGCGGGCUUCAAUGGAGGCACGGAGUGCCGAGUUGUCGUCGCUAAGGUUUUGUCUGAGGGUAGCGAACGAGGAUAACUCCGUCUUUACAAACUGGGCCAAUUGAUUAACAAGUGGUUCCAGAGUUGUUUUGGUGGCUUCGGCGCUUUCCUGCAUAGACUGCAGCAGGAUUGUAGCGUCAUGGAAUAGUUUAUCGACUUUUUCGGUCGCAGCCUCACAAGCUCGGGUGGAGGCGUCUAUUGCAGCAGUAGCAGAGGCCACUGAGUCAUGUUGAGCCCUAGAGAAGGCAUCAACUAUCCUCUGAAGGGCAGCUUCAGAUAAGGAUGACUGCUGAUUGGAAGAGGAGGCGAGAAGUUGAUCAACCUUCUCGUUCAGCUCGCGGAGAUGCUUCUUGGUUACAGGAGCAUCAUCCUCCUCAUCACUUUGAACUUGAAACGGACUAUAGUAGACCGAAUCAAAGUUCAGGUGGUCACCACCUAGGUAUUGAUCAUCGCCAUCGGAGGCGUCUUCUGGAGAUUGAGGUGGUGGUGAAGCUGGGGGUGUUAUGGGUUUGGUUGGUUCAGGUUGAGUAGGUGGGGGGUUAGUUUCGGGUGGUGGUUGUGUAUGGGUUUCGGUUUGUGGAGGUUCGGUUACGGGAGGGGUUUCGGUUACAGGUGGUGUUUCGGUUGAGGUGGUGAAUAUGGGUGGAGGUAUAGGGAAUGAGGUUGGUGGUAUAGUAGGGGUUAUGGUGGGAAUGGAAAUAGGUAUUGUGGGUGGAGGGGAAGGAACUGGGGAUUGGUGAAGUUCCAUCUCCGGGGUUGGGGACCGAGGGGGUGUGUUGCCUCUUUGUGGAGAUUCGUCUCCUUGUGAUCCCUCAGAGUCCGAACUCCCACCUUCGGAUUCACUGGAGGUUGAGGGAAGGACGAGCUUUCGCUUCGGUUGGGUCUUCCUCCUUUUCGGUUGUGGGGAGGAAGCAGCCUUUGGUUGUUUGCGUUUCUUGGGAGUAGGUUUUGGGGCUUUGGAUGGUUUCUUCCCCUUGUCUGCCUUCUUACCCCUGGCCACCGGUUUGUCGGCAUCAUGAAUUGAUCGCAGCAUGUCCGGUGUCAGUUCCCUCGGACCAGAUGGCCCUAACUCCUUGAUCGCCUUGAUCAUACUGCUGUCUGAUGGCACACUACCAUACAUCGACUCCGGGAUAGAGCCAAUGAAGGAGAAUUUCGAUGCAGCGGAUACGAUGAUCUUCGUGGUGUGGAACGUACCAAUCGAAGACAUCGGUGCACCGUCAGCAGUUUGGACAUCGAACUUGUCCAUAGCCCAUCUUGUGAUCAAGAUCCAGAACCGGGCUAGUGACACCUCGGAGUGUCGGGAAACGGAAGAGAGGCUCUGAAUCAGUUGUUGCCAAAGGACAAAUCCGUAGUCCAGAUUGAUCCCGUUGUACACCGCAUACAUAAUCGACAGGAAAAGACGACUGGCCCCGUCCGAUCCUGAGCUUCGUUCUGACAGUCCCUUGAAGAGAACUGUAAAUAACCCAUUCCAUUGGGGCGGUAGGCAUGACUUCUUGAAUCUGGCGACGGAGGUGAGAACUUCCGUGUAGCCCAUGUUGUAGAACAUGCUGUAGAGCAUACCAACCGGAAUUGUCUCCGGGUGAACACGCGAUGGGUCAGCAGCAAACCCAAGCAUAGAGCAGAAGCGGGAACGAGAAAUCGACGUCUUGUGUUCCGCCACUUCGAAAAAGAUUCUGUCAACGGCCUUGUCGUAAUAAGCCGUUGCGUAGACCUGAGAUAGGGCCACCAUUGGCACCGUUUCAAUCCGUGACAGUGCCGGAGCAAGCUGGGAGUAUUUGAGACACUCGAUGACCGGCGACAUGUAGGGAUCAUAGGCCAGUGGGUUCAGAUCAAUCACGAGGCAUUGCUGAGGACGGAUUGGAAGAAUCUGAGAAGUAGCAUGGACGGAAGAGGAUUCAGCCAUUGUUGCAGGUUGGAGAAGAAGAUAACCGGGAGAGAGUUUGGAAGUAUUUUUGCUUUGGAAAUUAUGGGGCAGUAAAGAGGUAAAAGGUGGUCUGGAUGGGUUUUUAUAGUAGGUGAUAGGAGAGAGAAAGAUCGAUUCAAAUCUCUUAUGGAAAUAUGGAAGGGUUUUUGAGUGACUGAUUGGUGACAGUUGGGACGUGCGAUGAUCACGUAGGAGAGAGAGUGUCAGAUUCCUAGGAUCACGCCGCCCAAUAAGCGCCGGUUCAGAGAGAGGAACCGUUUCCAUUUCCACACGCGCCAUUAAUGCCAGAUGGAUGACGCUUCAAUACUGCACACGCGUCCAAAUGUGUCAGAAAAAGCGCGGCCGCUUCAAAUUCACGCGCCCUCCUUUUUACCGUCGUUUGAAUAUCUAUCCUUUGAACUUCCGCCGCGUCAGCAACUUUUUGUCUUUUCCCCCUUUUUAAUCAGCUGUAUUCAAUUGAGGACCCACGUGGCUAAUUUUUGGCCACAACUUCAUUAGUAAUCCCUCAGUAAUAACCCAGCCUGUAAAAUAAUUAGUAACGGAAUUUUGAAAAUCUAGGAUUUUCGUGCUAAGAGUGUAAAAGAUAAGGAAAUAAAGCAACUCUUUUUGGAAUAAUCUGUGAUGUCAAUUAUGACACGAAACUGAUGAUCCCGGGCACGAAUCUCUUCCUUCAAGAUCAAGAGAGACCUCAAAGUGUUAGUGUGGAAUCCCGUUGAAUUACGAUCAAACAUUUAUUAAUAAAUGUUGAAAGGCUUCUUUUAAUAAGGCUAAUUAAGGGUGGUUUCGCUUUGAUUCAACAAUUCAAUUCUUGAUAUAAGAACGAAAGUGAACAAAGUACUUGUGAGACCGGUGUAGUCUGUUGAACAAGUAGGUUGGAGUUGAUUUUUAAGUGACUUGGAUAAGUAUAAAAUCUCAGAUAAAAAUUAUAACUGGAUCCCAUGGGAAGAAAUGUUAUGGUGUGUAACAAUUUCAUUGGAAUCGAAAAAAAAAAUUUAGAUUUCAUGAAGGUACAUUCGUCAAUUCAUUGGUGAAAACUUGAUCAAAUUAAUUGGUCACCGUCAAUUCUUUGGUGUUGAAUUUUGGGUUUCACUCAGCUCGUAGUGGCACGAAACUAAGAUCAUAAACACAGAUGUUGUGUAACCAUAAACCUCAGUGGUAGUUUCUGAGAGUCUCAAGGGUUACAGUGAUGAAACGAAUGUUAUGGAGAAGUGUAAUGGGGAUGGUGAAAGAAGACAUAGUACCUCUGCUGCGAAAGAAAGGACCAAGCAGGAGACUCUUAACUCAUGUGAGAAGAGUGUGAGGUAGCUCACGAUUAGAAUAAAUAAGUUAGCCUUAUUGGGAAGACAAGGUUUGUGUAUACCAAGUCGUGAAGGCAAUUAUUCAAAAUCUUAUGAGGCUUGGGACACAUACAGCAGCAUGCUUCUAGGGACACUUAAGUAAUUCAUCAAAUAUAUCCCCAUAAGUAAACGAACAUACAAAAAAAAUAAAAACAUAUUUUUGGAGUGUUUGAAAUUUAUAUAUAAAAAAAAAAAAAAAAAAAAAAUUAAAAAAAUAGAAAAGAUAAAAAAAAAUAAGACAAGAAGAAAAAAACUUUUGAUUCAAAAAAAAUGGAAAACCGAACCCGAACGUUCGGUUGGUUUCGGUUGGAAAAAGUUGAAAAACCGAACCCGAACCUUCGGUUGGUUUCGGUUCAGGAAAAUUUUGAAAAACCGAACCCGAACCUUCGGUUGGUUUCGGUUCUGGAAAAUUUUGAAAAACCGAACCCGAACCUUCGGUUGGUUUCGGUUCAUGAAAAUUUUGAAAAACCGAACCCGAACCUUCGGUUGGUUUCGGUUCUUGAAAAUUUUGAAAAACCGAACCCGAACCUUCGGUUGGUUUCGGUUCUUGAAAAUUUUUAAAAAACGAACCCGAACCUUCGGUUGGUUUCGGUUCUUGAAAAUUUUGAAAAACCGAACCCGAACCUUCGGUUGGUUUCGGUUCUUGAAAAUUUUGAAAAACCGAACCCGAACCUUCGGUUGGUUUCGGUUCUUGAAAAUUUUAAGAAACCAAGGAGUUUAGAUAUGCAAUAAAAAAAAAUUUAUACAUAAAGAAAAUAAAUUUUGCAUAAGAAAUAUACAACACAGAAAAACUACCUUUGAAGUAAUGAGCGAGUCAGAUAGUUGAACCGAACCCGAACGUUCGGUUGGUUUCGCUUCUUACGGUUGAGAUUGAGUGGUAGUGUGAGGAACUGAUUCUGAUUCCAUCAUACCGAGCCCUUGCAAUAUUUUAUUGAAUGAUGCUUCAGGAAGAGCUUUGGUAAAGACAUCAGCCAGUUGAUCAGUGGUUCUUACGAAGUGAACUUCGACAUUUCCAUCUUCCACAUGAUCUUUGAUGAAGUGAUACCUCAGUGCUAUGUGUUUGGUUUUAGAGUGUUGCACCGGGUUAUGACAGAUCCUAAUUGCACUUUCAGAGUCACAAUAUAGAGGGAUCUUCUUCAUAUUGAGUCCAUAGUCUCGAAGUUGACUCUGGAUCCAAAUCACUUGUGAUGUGCAGGAUGCAGCGGCAAUGUAUUCCGCUUCAGCAGUAGACAGCGACACACAUGUUUGUUUCUUGGAUUGCCAGCUGACCAACUUCCCAUCAAGAAAUUGACAGCCACCAGUUGUGCUUUUGCGGUCGAGUCCACAUCCUCCAAGGUCAGCAUCAGAAUAGGCUUGAACGAAGAAGCCAGAGUUGGAUGGAUACCAUAGACCCAAGGAGGCGGUUCGCUUGAGAUAGCGUAGGAUGUUCUUCACUGCCAGCAUGUGAGGUUCGCGUGGGUUAGCCUGAAAUCGAGCACAAUAACAUACAGAAAACAUGAUAUCAGGCCUGCUAGCAGUUAGAUACAUCAGUGAGCCUAUCAUUUGACGAUAGAGCGUGAUGUCGACGGCCGGUUUAUCUAGUGAAGGGGUAAGUUUGGUGCCGAAUGCCAUAGGGACUUUGACUUUUGAGUCUCCCAUCAUGCCAAACUUUGCUAGGAGAGUCUUCGUGUAAGCUUCCUGAUUGAUAAAGAUGCCUUCGGGUCCCUGUCUUAUAUUUAAACCAAGGAAAAAAUUAAUAGGACCCAUUGAGCUCAUUUCAAACUUAGUCUCCAUCAACUUUCUGAAUUCAGCUGUUAAGCUGGGAUUCGUAGAGCCAAAGAUGAUGUCAUCGACAUAAAUUUGAACUAUCAUAAGGUGGUUACCUUCCUUUUUGCGAAAGAAGGUUGGGUCAACCGAACCUUGUUUGAAUUUGGACAUCUUUAAAAAUUUUGUAAGCGUUUCAUACCAGGCUCUCGGAGCUUGUUUGAGGCCGUACACAGCUUUAUCCAGAAUGUAGCAAUGAUUUGGAUACUUUUCGUUCACGAACCCAGGAGGUUGCUCCACAUACACCGUUUCUUCAAGUUCUCCAUUGAGAAAUGCGCACUUGACGUCCAUUUGGAAGACCUCAAAGUUUUUGUGAGCAGCAUAGGCCAGAAAUAUUCUAACCGAUUCUAGCCUAGCUACUGGAGCGAACGUCUCUUCGUAAUCUAUCCCUUCCUCCUGACAGUAUCCUUUGACAACCAGACGAGCCUUGUUCCUUAUGACAUUACCUUCCUUGUCCAUUUUGUUUCUAAAAACCCAUUUGAGACCAACAACUGAAGCAUCCGGAGGAGUUGGAAUGAGGCGCCAGACUUUGUUCCUCUCAAACUCGUUUAGUUCGUCUUGCAUUGCUUGAACCCAAUCAGAGUGAUCGAGGGCAGUGUUCACUGUCUUCGGUUCAACUUUUGAUACAAAUGAGUUAAACAUACAAAACUCAACCUUUGAGAAUAAGGAUGUCUGUUUUGCCUUCAGUUGAGAUCGGGUCAGAACCUUUUCAGAUACAUCACCAACUACUUGAGAGAUAGGAUGAUCUCUGGUCCAUUUUGUAAGAGGAGGGUAAUUCGGAUCAAAGGAUGGAUCUAGUUCAGCGUUGAUCAUCUCUUCAGGCUCGGAUUGGCUAUCAAAAUCAAGCGUCAUAUCAUCAUGCUCCCCCUCAAUUGAUGAGUCUUGACAAACAUGAGGUUCAGGGGUUUCUUGUGGUGCUGGAUUUUCAGGCAUUGAAGCACCUUCGUUUGGAGGUGCAUCUUCGGUUGGAGAGUUACCUUCGGUUGAUGAAGGACCUUCGGUUGAAGUAGUAGAGCUUGGCUCCCCCUGGACUUGUGAGCUAGGCUCCCCCUCGACAAGAGAAUUUGGCUCCCCCUCGACUGAAGCAUUGUUGGUUGGAGAUUCAUCAGUAGGCAAUUCUCCUUCAUGCAUUCUUCUUGCAGCAUCUUCGACAAUCUGCUUUAUAUGAUCUAUUUUGUUGUCGGCUGCCCCUGCUUCUGAGAGAGAAGCUUUUUCCGGUUCAUCAAAGAGAUCCAGAAAAUUCUCGUACAUAUUGGCGAUUGAGACUGUGACUUGACCAGUUUGAGGGAAGAUUUCCCUGGCAGUGUCAUCUAUGGCCUGUAGCUUCUUGACAUAGCUAUCGUCGAAGGUCACAUAGUAUGUCUCUUCAAUCCUUCUUGAUCGUUUGUUUAGGACCCUGUACGCCUUUGAAGUGAGUGAGUAACCCAGAAAGAUUCCCUCGUCGGCUUUGACAUCAAACUUGUUGCGGUGUUCUUUAGAGUUAAAGAUGAAACACCUUGAGCCAAAAACGUGGAAAAAUUUCACAUUGGGCUUCCUGUUGUUUAAUAUCUCAUAUGGUGUGAGCGUGAAUCGCUUGUUGAGAUAGGACCUGUUUUGUGUAUAACAAGCAGCAGAAAUAGCGUCAGCCCAAAAAUAAAGAGGUAAGGAAGCGAAACUUAACAUAGUUCGGGCAGCUUCACACAGAGAUCGGUUUCGUCUUUCGACUAUUCCAUUCUGCUGUGGUGUGUAGGGAGCUGAGAAAUUAUGGCUAAUUCCCUUUUCUGCAAGAAACGCUUCAAACUCCCUGUUCUUGAAUUCGAGACCAUUGUCGCUCCUGAUGUUGCGAACGACCUUCUUGAGCUGGACUUCAAUUUGCUUGAUAAACACUUUCAGCUUUUGAGUCGCUUCAGAUUUGAGCUUUAGAAAGAACACCCAUGUAAAUCUAGAGAAGUCAUCAACGACAACAAGAAUGUACUUGCUACCACCGAUGCUUUCAAUAGAUGAAGGACCACAUAAAUCGAUAUGAAGCAAUUCGAGUGGUUCAACAACUUUUGUGUUAAUUAUGGAUGGGUGACUUUGACGACUCUGCUUUCCCAUUUCACAUGCAGCACAUAAAUGCUCUCUGUCAAACUUGAGCAAUGGAAGACCCCUAACAUGACCUCCAGUGACAAGUCGGUUGAUAUCUUUGAAAUUGAGAUGAGAGAGUCUUCUGUGCCACAACCAGCUUUCGUCGGAUUGAGCUUUUGAUAGCAGACAUAUUGCUGGGUUUCCUUUGAUGGGUUUCAUGUUCAGCGGAAACAUUUCACCCUUUCGCUCUGACUUCAGAAUCACUUUCUUUGUCGUUUUCUCUAUGAUUUCAGAACCUUCAUCAUCGAAUGAAACUUUGAGACCUGUACCUCCAACAAGCUGAGAUACACUGAUGAGGUUGUGUUGAAGUCCUUCCACAUAGGCCACCUUUCUUAUGGUAAAAUCACCAUUCGUUAUCAUCCCAUAUCCCUUUAUGGUGCCGAAAGAGUUAUUUCCAAACUUAACGUUGCCACCAUUUGCAAGAGAUCUGUAUUCCCUGAGUUCCUCUUUCCUCCCUGUCAUGUGACGCGAGCAGCCACUGUCGAUGUACCAUUCUUCGUCAAACUGCUCGUCACUUAUAACCUGCAAAAAUUAAGCAGAUUUAGGAACCCAAAGUUUCUUGGGUCCAUGUGAGGUUUUCAUGGGAACAGGAAUAGUUAGAGAGAUAUCAACAAGAUAUGUUCUUUUAAUUAAAGUUGUUUCAUCUUUCUUUUUAAUGGUGAAAACUUUUAUUUUGUUAGGAUUGGAUUUGUUCGCUUUAGACUCAGGUUUGAAUUCACCGACUUUCUGCUUUUCCUUCUGUUCAGCAGAUGGACGUGGUUUUUGAGAACCCAUGGAAUUAGUGUUAGAGCAAGAUGGAGAUGAACAAGAAGAAUUAGGAAGAGAGGAUUUGGAUUUGGAUGGAGGUGUCUUCCUUGCUGAUGACUCUAGGUGACCCUUUUGCUUUUGAUCGUUGGUGGGUUUAACCUUUGAGUCUUGUUCUCUUCUGACUUCAGAACCGAACCUCUGAGUUCGGUUGGAGUUGUUCUUGGAACCGAACCUUUGGUUUCGGUUGAAAUCCUUUUCAGAACCGAACCUUUGCUUUCGGUUGGUAUUUUCAUGCGAACCGAACCUUGGCUUUCGGUUGGUAUCUUCUUGCGAACCGAACCUUGGCUUUCGGUUGGUAUCUUCUUGCGAACCGAACCUUGGCUUUCGGUUGGUAUCUUCUUGCGAACCGAACCUUGGCUUUCGGUUGUUGGAAUUAUCGUGCUUUCUUACGAGAUUAUUUUCAUACUUCAGAUUCUUGUCCUUGUGUGAAUAGUAUGCAUUCUGGGAGUGCCAGAAUUGUUUCCUUUCAGAAAGGUUUUUCCUGUAUCUUAGGUUCCUUUCUAUCUUUUUAUCCCUCAUCUGUUUAGGUUGAUGAUGAACGUUCGCUUUCGCUUUUGAUGUAACCUUUGCUGAUUCCUUUUGAACUUUAGGAGUUUUUCUUUGAAACGAGGGAGCAGAGGGAAUAUCUGAAGAAGAUUCAGUUUGCCCUGAGGAAGUGGAAGGAGUAUCUGAUGAAGUUUCACUUCGAGCUGUUGGCGUUGAAGGAAUGUCUUCUUUUACUGAAUGAUCAACCUCUUGAGGAGUGUCUUUUGUACCACUUGUGCUUGGUUCACUGAAAUUAUCAGGCUUGUUCAAGGGUUCAGGUAUGUAUCUCCCUUUCUUCAUCCAAGAGGUUCUUUCAGAUAGGCCAACGGUUUCGUUUCCAUUGUCAAUAGGAGCUUCCCAGAAGAACUCAUCACAGCCAUCAGCAUUGUCUUCGUUAACAAUAGCCGUGAGUUCAGCUGUCUGAUGUUCGGUUACUCCAGUCACUUUGUAUACCUGAUUCGGAGUGGUUCUGACCUUUUGAUAGACAACAGCCUUUUCUACUAAUUUCGGGGACUUUUGUUGGGACAAUCUAGCGAAUUCCACAGAAUUUUCAGAAACAAGAUUUUUGUGGUUUUCAGUUUCGCUUUUCACAAAUUCUGAGCAGUCAACCGUAUCCUCUACAGAAAUUUCACUCAUGUUUUCGUCCUCGUUAAGCUCAGAUGCAUUUUCAACAUCAAUUUUAUUUUCUGAGCUUACUUUGGCAUUUAGAGAGUCAAACUUUUGUAUGGUUUCGGUUCUCAGUUUAAGUCUAUCAUUUUCGUCCAACAGAUUUUUGAGCAUGUCCUUAUGGUCUUUGGAUUUAAUGAAGGACUCAAUUUUGUCCAGUCCAAUUUGAUAAGUUGGGUUGACAUCAUCAGACGAAAUCACACUCUCACAAUUGUAAGCUUCGGCAUCGAUUUCAUCCUCCUUAAAUUCUAGGAAUGGUAAAAUCAUACGGUGGAUCUUUUUGCCUAUCUCACAGUCCAAGUGCAGCUGAGUAAUAUUGGAAUAUAAACGUUUAGCUAUUAAACAAAAAACAUUUCGUUGUUUUAACAAUUUCAAAUUGUCUCUCUGCAAAUAAAUGUUUUCGUCUUUGACUUUAAUUAAUUCCGACUCUUUUAACUCAAUCCACAUACGCCGCUCCUCACUCUUCGACGCCACCCUGCUUAAUUGAUCAGUCAGGUUAGAAUUGGUGACUCUAGUUUGAGUUAAGCUACUAUCUAAAUGAGAAAUUCUUGUGUUAACGUUUUUUAGUUCUUUCUCAUAUGAGGAUGAUGGUACUUUAGAUGAAAUAAAAACAGAUUGUACCUUCUUUAUCAGUUCAUCAAGCUCAUUGAACUGUUGGCUGAGUGGUUUGGCUGUGAAGCACAUAUCUUCCUGCACUUUCGGUCCAUUGCUUCCUCCAUCGGUAUUGUAUCCCCUCAUUUGAGAUGCGCUUGACACCAUGAAGCAUUUUCCACCACUGCUUUCCUCCUUAGCCAUAUAAGCCUUUCCAUGAGUAGGCUUCCUCACUUCUUCGUCUUCUGAGUCAGUAGACCAAACUUCGGUGCUACCGAACUCAUCGUUAUUAACCGAACCCUGCACAAUAAGAGCAUUAAUAGAAGGGUUAGCGGUAGACUUUUUCUUCCUCAACUCAUCCAACCUCUUCUGCAGUACGGCUUCCUCAUCCUUUCCGUCAUCCUUUUCAGCCAUCUUUUUAAGAACACAGUCCUUAGCAUAGUGGUUCUUGCCACCACAGUAAAAACAGCUUACUCCGGAAUCGCCAUCUGCCUUCGGUUCCUUCUUGGACUCCUCAGCCUUCGGUUCAUUGUUUGCCUUUUCAGAGCUAUAACUCCCCUGCCAGUUUCGGUUUUUGUUGCUGGGGAAUCUCUUCUUUAUGAACCUCUUAGGAUUGGAUACCAUCAUGGCAUAAUCCUCAGUUGUGAGGUCAUAUUCUUCCAAGUUGAGCUCUUCAUCCUCCAUCACGGCUUUACUUUUAGAUAGGAGGGCCAACGAACCAAGACUAGACACAACGUUCUUCUCUUGAACAACAAUCUUCUCUUGGGACUUUAGAAUACCCACCAGUUUCGCCAAAGAGUAUGAUUUAAACUGUUCAUGGGCUUUGACUGUGGAAACUACUGCUCUCCAUUCCGAUCUCAGUCCGUUCAAGAAAGUAACCUUUUGUUCGAUGAGCUUCCUUUCAAUGUCGUGUUUGAUCAUCUUGCUGAGAAGAUGAUUGAAGCGAUCAAACGUCUGGGUCACGGUUUCUUCGGCCCCUUGCCUGAAUUCUCCAAACUCAGAUAGAAGCAAGGUUUGGAUGGAGUGUUCAAGAUCUUCGUCUGUUGAAUACAGUUCGCGAAGUCUAUCCCACACUUCCUUCGCCGUAGUGCAUGAGCUGACUAGUCUGAAUGUGUCGGACUGAAGGGCGAAUCUGAUCAACCUUAGUGCCUUAAUAUUGCACUGGAAUUUAUCUUUCUCAUCCUGCGCAAUAUUCGUCACGUCCUUGAGCAAAUCGUUGUAUUCUUUUUGCGUCUUAAUAACUCUGGAUGUCGCGGAAUGAGAAAAUGGUCCAUUGAUAAUGGCUUCCCAUAUGAGAAAACCAUUGUCCUCCGAUCCAAUCACGUAAUCUUCAAAAUGAUGUGCCCAUACUUCAUAGUCAUGGGUGUAUAAGAUUGGAAUCUUUGUCGUCGAACCAAUGCUGUUGGAAAUAUUAAUAGGGUUUGAUUGCGUUGCGUCCAUAAUGAUCGUAAUAACCUGUUCAAAGAUCAGACUUGUAAUAAAGCAGAUUAGGGCAAAACAAUAAAUACUAAGAUACGUCAAUUAAGAUGACGGCUCAAUAAAUAUCGAUGAUUGCGGAAAACCCUAAUGAAAAUCUUUUUCACAGAAAAGAAGUGUAUCGAUUACACAGCCUCCUGCUCUGAUACCAAUUGAUGAGAUUAAAACAAUAACUUUUAAUCUAUAAAGAUCGAUUAGAUCGUGAACAAGUAUAUGAAUAUGGAACUGCAAGAACACAAUAUAAAUAACAAGGCAGAACGCAAUAAUAAGAACAAACAGCUUGAAUCAAACGGGUCGAAUGAUUAAACAAAAUCCUUAGAAGAGCUCGAUUAAGAACAUCAACUGUAAAGGAUUGGAAGAUUACAAGAGAGCAAUAUUGUAAACUCUGGAGCGCUAAAACAGAAAUCUUGAAUCUUGACCUAAUAUGCAUGCAAGCGAUAACUUAUAUACAAUACAUAAAAAGGCUCUCGGUUGGACAGGCCCAAACCGGAGAAUACAAGGCUAAUCUACGAGCCCAAAAGACGCAAUACAAAACAGAACUUCAGCCCAACACUAUGAAGUAAGGAUCAAACAGGCAGGACAGUUGGGAGCCAUGAUCAUUUUGACAUAUAGCUUUUCUUAAAUCCAACAAUCAAGCCAACAUGAUCAUUCUAGAAACCUCUCCCGUAAGUAAAAUCAAUCAGUAUUAUCACUAGAAUUAUUGACCUAUUUAGCAUUUAUGGUUUCCUAAUGACCACUAUAAUUAUAAUCAUAAAUUACAUGGAAGCAUAGUAAGUGUAGUUCACUUAUAGAAUCUCCUAGAUGACAACUGGGAUCAAAGCGAGUAGAAUGCAUUGAAGGCUACUACUCAGAUAAGUACUCAUUAGGGUCGCAGGGCUUCAUCGUAGGCUAAAAAUGAAGGAAAAAUGGUCUACAACAUAAAAAUCAAGAGAUAAGAUGUGUAAAGGUGUGGGUUAUUGAGUAUAUACGGAGUGUUCUAUAUAUAGCCAAGAAAAGUGUUGCGCGCCGCACAUAUAUAGGGUCACUUCAUGCAUUAUAGGGGUGUUUGAUCUAGCCUUCUUCUGCCAUGUGUCGCUUUCGGGUUCGUCAACAUCGGUGCUUCUAGAAGCUUUCCAUGUAUCCCAUUUUGAGGUGCCACAUGUCACAAUCUUAUGGGGCCACGUAGCCUUGUUUCCCGAGAGAGUUGGCCUCCCGACCAUGCUACGUGUCGUCUUUGAUGAAACAAUAAUGUAACAACGUAAAUUUUCAGAACAAUUUUUCAUUUUUAACAAAUAAUUACAUUCAUAAUGAAAUCCCAAAAUCCAAUGUUUCACAUAUUAUCCUAAUAAAACAAAUCCCAAGAUCUCAAUACAUAAAAACCCCUCAGUGCGUACGACUCAUGCCGGCGCCUUCCCGCGAUCCUCAUUGGUACUUGAGACACAUAUCACACAUCACAGUAAGCAUAAAUGCUUAGUGAAUUCCCCAAAAUACCACAUACAACACAUACGCCACUCGAGGCUACAUUACGACCCUCCAGUCGAUGUGUCUCAGUGGGACCCUCCCGUCCCAUAGCUCGUUUGACCCUCUGGCCCGGUCAUAGCUUGUCGGACCCUUCGGUCCGGUCUAUAUCGUUGGACCCUUCGAUCCGGUCUAUAUCGUUGGACCCUCCAGUCCGGUCUAUACAACACAUAGCAUACAUAUAAAAACAUCCACAUAAUCUCAUGCAUACACACAACAUACAAGACCCUCCGGUCUACACAUAAAUACCACUUUAGGUAAUGUAUAGUGAGAAGACUCACCUCGGGUAACUCGGAUAAUCUCGGACACGAAUACACUGAUCUAGCCCCCGCCUAAUCAGAUAAAUAGUAUCCUCAAAUAAAUAAUGGCUCUCAAAGGCUAGAUUAAGUCCCUUUCUACAAUUCCACAGAAGGGUAAAAGACCAUUUUACCCCUCCCUGACCCAAAAGUCCAAAUAUUGACCAAAAUCCUAAAAGUCAACGAAAGUCAACAGGGGGCAGUACGUGGUGCGUACCAUCUCUGUACGCGGGGCGUACGCCGACGAUCGAUAAUCGGGGUCUCAACCCCUUACACUGCGCGUUCUGAGAGUUACUGUAAGUCUCAGUUUCAGCUCUUUUUGGAUUUUUGGUCUUAAACGGUUUAGACAUAAACUCAAACUCUAGAUCUGACUUUUCUAAGGCCUAUUAAUCCACAAAGUCGAAACCCUUAAGCCUUUGCAUGGAUGUAAAGGUCCCUAAUCACUCUAACACCUUUCCUCUCUCCUUAUAAAGCAUAGAUCUCAUGCAUGGCUUAAUAUUCACGUCCAAGAUUGGAUUUUUAUGAACAUACAAUUCAUAUUACCAUGAAAUAUAGCAGAUCUAGGCUUAUGGAGACCAUUUGCUCAUAAAGUCUCAAGCUUGGGACCAGAAACCUUAAAAAUUGGUCCAAGAAGCACAAAUCAAAAAUAACAGGGAAAGCUUUGACCUUUUUACCUCGAAAAGAAGCUCCAACCUCUAUAGAACUCGGAUCUACUCUUGUCCACCAACUUCUAGCUCCUAUAUUGGCCUCCUCUUCUCUUUCGCCACCUUGAAAUGACACUUUCAAGCUUAAGAACACACACACAAGCUAAGAACGAAGGGUAGCUCUCUCUUAGGGUUUCACUCUCUAAAAUGGUGGCUGAGGAUAAAGCCAUAACAUUCCUUUUAUAGUGCACAAGCCAUAAUUAGGGUUUACUUCUGGGCCCGCUAUUCCCAGCGUAACCUUGGGUACGCCCAACGUUCCUGGGCGAGUCCGCGUCCAAACUAAGCGCAUGAGUACAUGCAGCGUACCCCUCAAUACGCCCAACGUACUCAAUGGCCAUAGUUUUUCCUUUAGGGACUAAUCUUGACAACUUGGAAAAGAAGAAGGGUUCAAGAGAUGCACCUGAAUUUCAGGAUGUUACAAUUCUUCCCCACUAGGACCAGACUUCACCCUCGAAGUCUCAUGCCGCAAACAACUCUGGAUGCUGGUCCCGCAUUUCAGACUCCGGUUCCUAAGUCAGCUCGGACCCUCUCCGAUGUUGCCACUGGAACUGAACCAGGGGUAUCUCUUUGUUCCUCAGAACCUUAGUCUUUGAAUCUACAAUCACAAUUGGCCUCUCAACAUAAUUCAUGAUCACAUCCACCUGAAUUUCCUGUAAUGGUACCACUUCCAUCUCGUCGGCAAUACACUUCCUCAACUAAUACACGUGGAAGGUAUCAUGUAUCUGGCUCAGCUCCACAGGUAGCUCCAAACGGUACGCUACCCUGCCCACCCUCGUGGUCACCCUGAAUAGACCAAUGUACCUGGGACCCAACUUGCCCCUCUUUCUGAAUCGGAUCACUCCUUUCCAAGGAGACACCUUCAGGAGUACAAAGUCUCCCACUUGAAACUCAAGCUCGGAUCGUCGCCUAUCCACAUAACUCUUCUGGCGACUCUGAGCUGUCAACAACCUCUGCAUGGCCUGCUGUAUUUUCUCAGUCGUCUGAAGCACUAUCUUAGUGCUACCGAUCACGCGCUGCCCUACCUCUCCCCAACAAAUGGGAGUCUAACAUCUUCUCCCAUACAACAACUCGAAGGGAGGCAUACCAAUGCUCGAAUGGUGGCUGUUGUUAUUGGAAAACUCAGCCAAUGGAAAAUAUGUGUCCUAACUGCCUCCGAAGUCCAACACACAUGCUCGACGCAUGUCCUCGAGCAUUUGAAUCGUCCGCUCACUCUGUCCGUCCGUCUGUGGGUGGUAAGCGGUACUGAGAUGCAGCCUCGUGCCCAACUCCUCAUGGAACUUCUUCCAAAACCUGGAAGUGAAACGUACAUCUGGAUCUGACACAAUCAAGAUCGGUACUCCAUGCUGCGAUACAACCUCCCUCACAUACAACUCUGCCAGUCUCUCUGCAGAAGAGCUCUCGCGGUCCUCGGAAAUUUGGUGAUAAGAUCCAUGGAAAUCUGUUCCCACUUCCACUGGGGAUCCUCAAGAGGCUGCAACUUGCCAUGCGGAUGCUGGUGCUCGGCCUUAACCCUGCAAAAGUUCAAGCACCUCUCAACGAACCACGCAACAUCCCUCUUCAUAUAGGGCCACCAAUAGUCUCCCUUAAGUCCAAAUACAUUUUAGUGGCCCCGGGAUGGAUCGAGAAUCUCGACCUGUGCGCCUCCUCCAUCAGAAUGGUACAUGCUCCACCCGAAAAUGGCACCCAAAUCCGACACUGAAAGAUCAUAAGCACACGACUAUCGGUAACGAACUCAGAUACCUGCCCGAUCACCCGCUCUCUCUUGCGGUUUUCCGGUCUCACAGCCUCUUCCUGGGCCUACCGAAUGGUAUCCAACACCGGAGUCAUCACCGUCAACCUCAUACUGUUGGGUUUUGAGCAAUCUAACACUUCCUAAGUGUGCAUGCAACCCUAAUAAACCUUGGAUCUAUGUUUGUCUAAAUACAUGCAAAAUAAUAAUUUUUCCAAGGUUCAUAACCUAUCUAACAUGGCAUGGGGUACUUUUAAACAUAAAAGAAUUAGAUGAGAUUACAUACCUUUUGAUAAUGAGUUCAAUUCCUAAGGAGUUUGAGGGCCAAGCACCAAUAGUGUGAAUGCCUCAAAUGGAAUCACAAAUCACCACAAACUCUUGGAAAACUUUGAGAGAGUGUAUACACACUAUAAAAUCGGCCACACACAAACACACACACUAGUGACACUAGUGGCUAUUUCAUGCAACAUAAGCAUGCUUAUAUAGUGUACAUGAUUAGGGUGAAACCCUAAUAACCCAUGACCUUUCCUUUUCCAAGGAUCCAUGGGUUAAAAGCUCCAUGGAUCAUCCAUGGACUUCCAUAUAAGCCUAGCCCAUUAACAAAUGAGUGUUAGCCCACACCAUAUAAAACCAAUAGCCCAUAAUCUAAUUAGUCUUCCUUUUAAUCUCUAAAUUAAUUCAUAAUUAAUUUAAGACUAAGACUAAUUAAAUAACAUAACUUCAUAUUAAUAUAUUAUAACUUAUAAUAUAUUAAUAAACAUAUGUGUAUAACUCUCAUAAAAUUAUCCAUAAAUAGUUCGGGUGAGAUGCAACCCAAAUGGACCAUGCCGGGUCGGGUCAAGUAUAUACCAAAUAAGUUAUGGACUUAGACACCUUAUCCAACAGACUCCCACUUGGAUAAGUCUAAUAACUAUAUUUGCGUAUGUUACUUCAGGAACCAACCAGCAAUCGUAGCUCUCGAAAACUCUGUUGAACUAUGAAGCGCCAUUUUAGAUAAGUGAUCAUAUAAUCCUCUGUUCUCAUGAUAUCAGCCGGACAAAUACAUGGAACAACGUCGUACUUAUUGUCCAGCAGUUUGUUUCCCGAUUUUCGAUUUGUUUGACAAAGAACUUAAUCGAACACAUCAAUUUAGUUCUGACCGGCCGGUACAUAGGUCACAACAAAAUCAUCGAGGGGCCCAGAUAUCGCUUCUAUUUCUAGAAGGAACAGAUAAACUUCGACUCAUAUGCUUGUUCUACUACUUGUUGAAUUGUACACAAAGGCACGUUUUAUAACAUCAAGUUACUGAUGCGUUUACGUGCAAUCAAUGCACAACCAACUCAUAGGUAACAACUCAUAUCUCUAGGUUUGAAGAUUUAUAUGAUAUUACCGUCUCACGAUCACUCGAGAUAAAUUCCAUGAAGUGAUACAAGUGAGCGUGGGUUUAUUCCAAUACUCAUAACUUAUGAGCACUCAUGAAUGUUGUAGCAACCAUUGCUAUGACUAAACCCAUUUAGCCAUCUACAAACUCGAUUCAUGACAGUCUUGAUUCAUACCUACUUCCAACAUAUGAACGACUGUGGAGUGUUUAAAUAACUUAGUCAUUCGGAAAGAAUAACCUAGCUAUUUUGGAAGUCAAAACAUGCAAAGUGAAACACAAUAAUAAUCGAAUCCAAUAUGGUCUCAGAACCCUUUUGAAUAUAAAUAGAACCACCUUUUAUUUAUCACCAUAUUGAUUACACAUUAUUCAUUGUAUAAUGUUUCAAACAAUCAACUUAAGACUUGAAUAAAAACAACAGUCGUCCCAUGCUCCUAGCAUGUACACUUUGUUUUUCUAAACAAUAGUUAUGCCAUACUCCAAGUAUGCACACUAUGUUUGUCUAUGAUCCUUACAUUGUGAUGUAGAUCAAUUGAACAUGAUUCCAAUGAUACUCAUUUCACAAUCCCAAAUCCUUAUUGUAAAUGUGAGAAUCCCCGAUUCCUAUCAUUUACCAAAAAAACUGUUAGAUUUUAAACUUUUAUGCAAUGUUCCUCUUGUAAUGAUUAUGCACAAAGUCACCAAAACCUUGUCACCAGUCAUUACAGAGUAUUCCAAAGAAGGUCAACUUCUAUGGAACGGAAGUCUCAUAUUCAAAGUACAUUGCUUUGAACAUCCUUCUUGCAUUAAGGUUUUCUAAUCUUACAUAGAUUGAAUAACUUCCACCUAUGGAGACAUUUCCAUAGUCCCAUUUUGACUAUCACUUCCGAACAAGAGUUACUUCUUUUCAGAAUAUGUCAAUAUGGUCCUUUCCGACAACUUACAUCAUACUUCCAACUUUCCCUGAGCAACCAAUCUUUGGCGAACCUCAGAUUGUCCUCGACAAUUGCUUAAUCACUUUAGUCAUAUCCAGUUCUAGACUUUUCCCUUCUCAAUGCCUUAAGCAUUUGGAAAAUUUAGAAAAGAUGAAUAUUAUAGCACAUGCAAUCGAUCCUAUAUCCGAAGCAUAUGGGACACGAUUCAUGAUGUUUGACAUAAAGACAUGAUACUAGACCAGUCUUUUGCUACAAUAUUUUUUAUUUGCCAUGUUUUCAAAAUUUAACUAUGAAGAGGGAUGCCGUAAUCAUAAUCGAAUUUUGAAAACGCAAUAUAUAUAGAAUUUCUUCAAGUUGAACCAUUCCAACAUAAAAUUCAUAUAUAUAUUCUUGACUAAAGAUGAUUAAAAUCUCAAUCUAAGCUUUAGAAUUGAAAUGAAGUAUAAUUUCCUCUCCCUUAAUUAUAGCAAAACAACUUUUCAACCCCUGCAACUUCACGAAUUGAAACUUUGUUUUCUAUAAUUAACAUUGCUAACUUGCAACACUAAACGUAAUAAUCAUGCUCCCACUAACAUGAUGAUUAUCAGCAUAACACUUAUGCUCCCACUAGCUCUGACAUAUUUCCAGAAAUCUGCUGGACUUCUGAAAUUUAGAUUCAUACACCCUUUCUUAGAUAGCUCACAUGUGUGUCUAAACAAUUUUCAGAACUAUGAAAAGGGAUGCCGUAAUCAUAGUCUCAAUUGCUUAGGCAUUUGCCAUUUCUCACAAGUCCAUGUUAGUGUGCCGGUUAACCACACGCGCUCCACUAACGACUUUUGAAAAUGCAAAUAACACAAUUGAUAUCUACGUAAAAUCUACUUAGUGAAAGCGUUUCCUCACCAUCAUUUUCAUGAAUCGGAGAGAAACCUUAUGACACUUAGAUUUUAUAGUGUAUGAGUUCCUAUCCAUGUGAAUUUGUCAAAACCAUAAUCACAAGAUAAGGUUAGUGACAAAUUCAGCCUUACAUGGAUUAAACUUGUUCAAUCUUAGUUUCUUGUCACCUUGGUAGCACAAGGCCCACCAAUGCUUCCAAGUUGAACUCUGAUAACUCACAUGCAAAUUCAACUUAUUUGAAGUAGGUACAGAAAUAAGAAUUAUGUCAACACGAUAGGUUGCAAACCUUAAGUCGUGUGCUAGUGAUAAAUUACAGGUUUUACUCUUGAUUAAAUCUUGAAACUCUUUCAGGAUCUUUAAGGCUCCCACUGUCCCCUUGACAUAUAAGUUUCCCCAGUCAAGAACCAUUCCUUGACAAAACAAAUAUUCAAGGGAUAGUGCGGAUUCUUAUCAAGACUAACACUUCACACAAUUGGUCUUAGUUGGUCUUUGUCUCAUCCAAGACAUCACAACUUACCAAUCUCAAAUGUACAAGAGUAGAAAACAUUUUACUCUUACAUUUGACUAGUGUUAAUAAAUCUUCCUUUAUGUCACUCAAAGUUACAAUCUUGGAGUAUGACUCUAAGAAUUGUUUUGGAACGAAGUAUGACUCAUCUUCUUGAUUUUAACCAAUCCAACAAUUCAUGACCUCUCUUCUUAGCCAUAACAAUGCACUAAGACGUCCUUAGAGUAUGAAUUUGUGAUAUGGUUUCAUAAUCAUUAAGAUGAUCAUGAAAUACGAUACUAAAGUACUCUCCCAUCCUUUCAGAUUUGAGAAACUUUUAUCUUUCUGCCUAAUUUGAUUCUUCUCAUUUGUUUUGUCAUACAUUGUAACCUUUCCAAUGUUACAGAAUUAUACUUAACCUCAUAAGUAUAAUCAUAUUUACUAAUCUUUAGUAAAUCAUGACAAAUCAAUCUUUGUGGUGGACCUUGACCAGCGCACACCCAGUGUACCUAAUUCCUUAGUCCUUCAAUUGACUCACAUAUACAUGUGAUCAAAGAAUUAGUCUUAAUUUUCAAAGAUGAAAAUUCUCAUUCAUCAUACAAUACAACUUGUAUGAUUCCAAGUUUCUGUCCAAUUGAAACUUGGGUGAUGAAAAACUUUCUUCAUUUGGUAAAUUCAGACACUACCACAAAUGAAAGAAUCAAAUCCACUUUCCAAUAUUGCUAUUACUGGAAACAUAUAAGCAACAAUUUUCCACAGAUGCCAUUGUAAGGAUAUUUUUAAAAUAAAUAAAAUUAAAACCCUUUUUUUUUUUUUUUUUAAAACUUUGCGGAAAAACUUAUCCUUACAAUCCACAUGAAAACCUUGUUGUUAUCUAUUCAUAAGCAAUAUAUUAUAACUCUUAAGCAACAGCUCAAAAUUCUGAUUACCGAACCAUGCGAUCGAAACCCACCUUCGCAAUCAGAAUCAACAUAUACUUACUUUAAGCUUCCUAUCUUUUCUUUGAUUCUUAAAAACAUCAGCAUGUGACCCAUUCACAUUAUGUAAUAAGAAUCUCCAAAUAGGAACUUAAUAGAGUUAGACAGUGGACUUUACCCGAAGUAGAGUCAAACCUCUUGACUUGAUCAACCUUAUGACCUUUCAGGUGAAUAGGGCAGCUUCGCAACCAAUGCCCCUUCCUUUGGCAACAAAACACAUGGACCCUUUGGUAAUGGCACAUGAGACUAUCUCAGACUUAGCCUUUCUCUUUACCAUUUGGUCAACCGAGUUGACUAUGGCCGAUCCCUUUCCAUUGGGAAGAGAAAUCCUUUUCUAGAUAUCCAAUGCUACCAUUGUCAAUGUCCAUUUAAGACUUGGGAAGUUGUUCUUUUAAUCAAAUUUGCUUUACUGGUGUUCCAAAUCAUUGCUGAUUCCACAACACCAAGCAAAUAGAUAACAUCAUUAAGGGUCAUGUCAUAGUCUGUCUCAUAGUAGUCCCAAAGAGACUCACUAUGUUACUAAGAAAGUGAUUGAACAUCCAACUUUCACGAGACUUUGACACCCAACUCUCCCGGCUUGUCAAUAUGUGACUUUAUCUCCAAGAUGUGAGCACACAUAGACUAUGCUUGCCAAUAGGGAUUGAGUGACUUUAAACUUUUCAAGAACUUGUGGGUGAGGGAGAAUAAUUGGAGGAGGUGGAGGAAGUGAAGCAUGAUGUUGAGGGACACCAUCUUCAAGAGAUUUGGGAAGAUCAUAGUUGUCUGAACCAGACAUCUAUAAUGGGAGAAAAUCAAGUUAGUUGAUUCAAAGUCCUUAAUAUAACACCCAAUAUGAAAUAUUAAGGCUAGGACCCAACACAAUAUUUUAUAAUUUGGAAGAGGGAUGCCGUAAUCCAAGCUAUAAAAUAUUUGAAGGUAGGCGAAUGACGAUUCACCAAUUUCCACCAUGAAAAACGAAAUAAUUUAUUAGGUUUUAAUUGGAUUUGAAAUUCCUAGAUCUUUUGAGAUUCAUUGAACUUUUCAAUGGCAUGUUUCAAUCUCGAGUGUGCCCUCUCAAAUUUUGUGACUGGGAUGCCGAGGAUCACAAAACAAGGUGUGAAUAACCAUACCAAUUCACUUGGUACCCUUAAUAUUAUCACCUAAUCAAUGUGCCGGUUAACCACACACGCUCCAUUGAUCUAUGACAAACAUUAAGUCACCCUUCGUGAUCCUUACUAGUCCAAGUUAGUGUGCCGGUUAACCACACACGCUCCACCAACGACUUGGUAAGGUACAAAGUGUGAAUUCCAUGGGCUAGCACCAAAUUCACAUUUUUCCUAAAGUAACUAAGAUUGGGAAUUAAAUAAAAAAUUUUUAGUUACUUUAUAAUAAUCAUUAUACUUUUAAUGAGAAUUUAAAGUCAUUGUCCUACCCGUUCGGCUAACGACCCUCCACCGAUCAAGCAAGCGGUGGGUGAGAGUGGACACCCAUUAAGUCGCCAUUUUAUAGGCAACAACCUUAUACCCACCUUAUAGACCGGCUUCGUGAAUGAGGCCUACUAACGGUAAAACGACUUGUUCUUAUACAUAUAUAUAAUAAUUAACCAUUAAUGUUAUAAAUAGUAUAAGUGUUGAAUUUUAACUUUUAAAAUUCUAAGUGUUGGAAUUAAAGUUUAUUAAAGUGUGUGAAACUUUUCCAAAUUCCAAAACUUGAGGGCAAGUUUUGAAACUAUUCAAAACUAAUUAAUUCCAUGAUUUAUGUGUUUAAAGUAGUUUUUAUCCAAAAACUCUUCAUGUUCCAUAACUUGAAUUACUUUUCUUUAUUUUUAUAACUUAUGGAAUUAAUUAAGGUUACACUUUAUUUAUAUAUUUAUUAAUGAAGUGACUCUUGAACCUCCAUAACUUAAGGACAAGACUCUUCAUCUUUUGUAACCAUCCAAGACUUUUCAUUUCAUAACUUAUGAAUUAAAGGUUCAUAAAAAUGAAGACUCUUCAUUUUCAUGUAACUUAUGUGUUUUAAGUGUGUGUUAAAUAAAAGUGACCUUUGGAUAUCCAUAACUUGAGGACAAAUUAUGGACUCCAUUAAAACACAUAAAUGAUCAAGAAUUAAUUCUAAACAAUUCAGCAAAUAAUUCCUAUCAUCUUCUAAAUUCAUAAGAACAUGAACAUGAUCAUCAAAAUUUCAAGAAUUAUAUGAACACAUAAAAUCAUGGAAUUUUGAUAUAUGCUAUUGUAAAUGGAUUAGAACAACCAUUACACCAACUAAAACAAGUUUUAAAACACCAAAACAGUUUAGGGUAAUGUUUCUAGUCCAUUUCCAGCAGCAAAAGUCGAAAUUCUGCAUUCUGAUCAUUCUACUCGCCGAGUGCACGAACCUACUCGCCGAGUAGGAUGAAUUUUGCCUUGAACUCGGCGAGUCCCCCCAUGGACUCGGCGAGUCCAUCAGCCAGACAGCAACAAUUUCAACUUUUUUCACUAUUUUGCAUCAAGUAUCAAACAAGCAAGCCUAGGCUCUGAUACCACUGUUGGGUUUUGAGCAAUCUAACACUUCCUAAGUGUGCAUGCAACCCUAAUAAACCUUGGAUCUAUGUUUGUCUAAAUACAUGCAAAAUAAUAAUUUUCCAAGGUUCAUAACCUAUCUAACAUGGCAUGGGGAACUUUUAAACAUAAAAGAAUUAGAUGAGAUUACAUACCUUUUGAUGAUGAGUUCAAUUCCUAAGGAGUUUGAGGGCCAAGCACCAAUAGUGUGAAUGCCUCAAAUGGAAUCACAAAUCACCACAAACUCUUGGAAAACUUUGAGAGAGUGUAUACACACUUAUAAAAUCGGCCACACACACAAACACAUACUCUAGUGACACUAGUGGCUAUUUCAUGCAACAUAAGCAUGCUUAUAUAGUGUACAUGAUUAGGGUGAAACCCUAAUAACCCAUGACCUUUCCUUUUCCAAGGAUCCAUGGGUUAAAAGCUCCAUGGAUCAUCCAUGGACUUCCAUACAAGCCUAGCCCAUUAACAAAUGAGUGUUAGCCCACACUAUAUAAAACCAAUAGCCCAUAAUCUAAUUAGUCUUCCUUUUAAUCUCUAAAUUAAUUCAUAAUUAAUUUAAGACUAAUACUAAUUAAAUAACAUAACUUCAUAUUAAUAUAUUAUAACUUAUAAUAUAUUAAAAAACAUAUGUGUAUAACUCUCAUAAAAUUAUCCAUAAAUAGUUCGGGUGAGAUGCAACCCAAAUGGACCAUGCCGGGUCGAGUCAAGUAUAUACCAAAUAAGUUAUGGACUUAGACACCUUAUCCAACACAUACAAACAUCUUGUAUCGGGGCACUCUCCGCCCUACGGCUUAGGGCAUCGACUACAACGUUAGCCUUGCCCGGGUGGUACAGGAUCUCACAAUCAUAAUCCUUUACCACAUCUAACCAUCUCCUCUGGCACAUAUUCAGGCUGGUCUGAUCCAUCAAAUACUUCAAGCUCUUGUGGUCCGUGUAUAUGGUACACUGAACCCUAUACAAGUAGUGAUGCCAGAUCUUGAGGGAGAACACCACUCCCCCCAACUCUAGAUCGUGGGUGGGAUACCUCGUCUCAUGAGACUUCAGCUGCCUCGAUACCUAUGCUAUCACGUGCCCCCUCUGCAUCAGCACCGCACCCAACCCCGAUAUCGAUGCGUCAUAAUACACCACAAAAACCUCCAUCCCCUCCGGAAUGGAUAACACCGGGGCUUCACAUAAUCUAUGGAGAAUUGUCUCAAAUGAGACAUACUACUCAGGACCCUAACUAAAAGCCACGCCCUUCCGGGUCAACCUGGUGAAAGGAACAGCAAUCUUGGAGAAAUCCCUGAUAAAUCUCCGAUAGUAGCCGGCCAGUCCCAGAAAACUGCUGAUCUCGGUUGGGGAUCUCGAGACCUCCCAUCUCAUCAAAGUCUCAAUCUUGGCCGAGUCGACCAAUAUCCCAUUAUGAUUAACAAGAUGCUCCAAGAACUGGACCUCCCGAAACUAGAAAUCACACUUGGAGAAUUUGGCGAAAAGCCUCUCUAACCUCAAUAAUCCAAGAAUCUCUCUCAGAUGCUCCUCAUGCUGCUCUCUAGAUCUCGAAUAUACCAGAAUAUCAUCGUUGAACACAAUCCCCGAUCGAUCCAACAUCGGCCUACACACCCUGUUCAUAAGAUCCAUGAACGCUUCUGGUGCAUUGGUGAGCCCAAAAGGCAUCACCACGAACUCUUAAUGCCCAUAACGAGUCCUGAACGCCGUCUUCUGGAUAUCUUCAUCCCUCACUCUCAUCUGAUGAUAUCCAGACCUCAAAUCUAUCUUGGAGAACCAAUCCACUCCCUGCAACUGAUCGAACAGAUCAUCGAUCCUUGGUAAUGGAUAACGGUUCUUGACCGUCAACUUGUUCAACUCCCGGUAAUCAAUGCACAUCCGGUGUGAACCAUCCUUUUUCUUGACAAAAAGGAUCGGCGCUCCGCACGGCGAGCUAUUCGGUCUAAUAAACCCCUUUCCCAGCAGCUCUUGAAGCUGCAAGGGUAACUCCUGCAUCUAUGGCGGCACAAGGCGAUAAGGUGCCUAGGCGAUAGGCGCUGCCCCCGGAACCAAAUCGAUGCGGAACUCCACCUGCCUCUCGGGAGGCACACCCGACAACUCCUCGGGGAAAACAUCCGGGAACUCACGCACUAUCGGAACAUCAUCAAUCGAACUCGGCAUCUCCGCGGCCACUCGUGUAUCCAUCACAUAAGCUACAAACCCGCUGCAACCCUGCUGUAAACUCUAUCUCGCUCUAGCAGCCAAACAAAAUGAUGACCCACAUCGGAUACCCUCGCCAUAUACCAUCAGCUGCCGCUCGCAGUCUAUCACCGCCCCAAAUCGACUCAACCAAUCCAUGCCCACUAUAACGCAAACGUCCCCCAUUGCAAUCAGGACUAGAUCUAUCGAAAACUCCAUGCCGAAGAUCUGAAGUAUACAUCCUUGAAUCACAUCAGUAGCAUACACCGCUCGCUCGUCAGCUAAGGAAACUCGUAGAGGUCGACUCAACGCCUCUCGUCGGAUACUGAUGUGCUGACUAAACACUAAUGACACAAAUGAUCGACUCGCACCCGAGUCAAAUAACACCAAAGCAGGUACAGAGCUCACAAGAAAAGUACCUACGCAUAUCAUAAUAUAAGCAUAAUAUCUCAACUCAAUAUAAAUAAAUGAAAGAAUACAUACCAACCACGACAUCGGGCGCUGCGCGGAUCUCCUCUGCUGUCAACUGGAAGGCUCUCCAGCGAGCCUUCGAUGCCUCGGCCUUUGCUGGCCGGAUCUCAGUAGCUCGGACAGCAGGUGCAGAUCCCUGUGUCGAUCCCUGCAGCAGCUGUGAGCAUUCGGCCAUCCGAUGGCCGGUCUGGUUGCAAUGAAAGCAAACCUAGAAACCCUUGGGGCAAGCCCUCGCAUAAUGCCCCUCCUUCGCACACUUGUAACAUACCCCAGCUCUGCACAACCCCUCAUGGAUCUUGUCGCACUUCUCACAAGUGCGUCCCUUCGGACUCCAAGAUCUCGAAUCAGCGGGCUUUUCCUGCUUGGCUACCGGCAGUGCCUAUGCCGGUCGCAUGUCCGUCCUCUGAGACUCGACCUCCUCCCGGACCCUAGUCUUCAGCUCAAUCUCCUUCUUCCGGGCAUUUGCCUGGAGCUCAGCAAAUGUCCGGUAUGAUGAGUUCACCACGAACUCACGAAUAUCCCUCCUCAGUAUGCUCAAGUACUGGCUCAUACGUGCCUGCUCAGUAGACACGUGCUCAGGGAAAAACAACGCCCUCUCAUGAAACAUCCUCGUAAUCACCGUCAUAGACUCAGUUCCCCCGAUUGAGAGACAAGAACUCCUAGCCUAGACCUUCCCUCUCCACAUGGGAACAUACUCAUCUCGAAACAUCACGAUGAACCUCUCCCAGUUCACCGCGGUAAGCUCUGCAGUAGUGAAGUCCGCCGUCACAAACUUCCACCAAUCCUUCGACCCCAAGCGAAGCUGAUUCAGUGAAAACCGAAGCCUCAGAUGCUCUGGACACAAGCUGGUGUAGAAGCAUCCCUCGAUAUCAGAAAUCCAUCUCAUCGUAUCAUUCGGAUCUUGCAUCCCAUCAAACUCUAGUGGCUUCGUGUUGCUGAACUCUUGGAACAGCAACGAGUUACCCCCUGAGGUCUAGCAGCACCCACAGCUGCAUCAGCCAUAGCCUCAGUAACCGCUGUGUAUCUCUCAUUGAACGUAUCAAUCAAUGUGGUCUUGAUAGACCCAAACAUCUCCGGAAUCUCUACGCGGAUAGCCGCAUCCACCUCAUCGUGGAUCAUCUGACAAAGCUCCUCGUCAUUCACACCGCUGGUCCCUGGUCUGGGGCGCGUCCCAACCAUGAUUCCUAUGACAUUACAACAUAAGGAAUAUUAGAGACUCGCUCGAGCAUACUCGCACUGUGACAACCCAAAAAUUUCCACUUCAAUAGAAGCCAAGUCUGUUACUGCUAACUUUCAAACUUUUGGGACAAGUUUGAGCAACUCAGGAUUUACACUUAAGGAGAUAUCAGGAGAGAGGUUGCACUUGGGUCUUGUGCAAUUCUAUUAUUCCAAAACUCUAUGAUAUUAGAGUUCUUUCCCGGAAUAAAAUAUUUUCUGCCAAAAAUCCCAGGACUAUAUAUAGAAUUUUGAACCAAAUUAUUCAUUAGUUACAAUUCCAACUAGAGAAAAGCCAAAUUCCCUCUCAAGGAUCUUCAGAAUUUUGUUCCGGAAAGUGAGUACUUCUAUCUAGUGUUGUUUUAAAGCUUUAUAUAUGCUUAAUACACUUUAAAUCAUAGGAAAACACCAAGAUCUGUGAGUUUAUCGCCCAAGAACACCUUGGGGAGUAAACUCCAUUUCAAGGGCCAAAGUGUGCCCAAUGACUCCAUUUCAUGGGACAAAACUUGACAUGUUUAGGCAUCAAAACCAAUUAAAAUCAAGGACCAAAAGUGAGUUCACGGCCAAGGAAGUUCUUGGGCCGUGAACUCCAGUUUAGUGUGCCAAAAUGCCCUAAAUGCCUUCCAUAACCCAAGAGACAAGCAUAGAACUUUACCUAGAUGUGAUUAGGACCCAAAACAACCAAAAUAUCAUCUCCCAUAAGUGUUUACGGCCUCAAACACAUGACCAAAUGGUCCAUGGGCCGUAAACUCAAGAUAGAGGUGUUUUGAUGCCACAAACACUUCCAAGGGCUUAGGUAUGAAUUUAGAAUGCUUCUUUAUGACCUUUAGGACCCUCAUAAGAAUAUUUGGCCAUGAGUUUACGGUUGUAAACUCAUUUGGGCCGUGAACACCUCAAAAUCUCCAAAGAAGGUGGUAUUUCUCACCCUAGGCUAGAGUUAAUGUCCCUAAAUAAUUCCCUAGACUUCAAACUAGCAAUAACCCAUGAGUAACCAUGAGUUUACGGCCGUAAACUCCCUUGGGCCGUGAACUCAUGGUAGUAAACUCAUAUAAGUGCCUUUAUACCCUCCUAGGUUGAAUCACAUGUGAUUCCAACACUUGGUUAAGGUGAUUCCUAGUCCCGGAAGGUGUUUCCUAGUCCCGGAAGGUGUUUCCUUUCAUAUAGUUGUUUAUAAACACUAUAUUCAUGUAAUUAUGUGUCCUUAAAUAUCAUUUAGGACUUAUUGUGUCUCGGAACUUCAUUCGUGGAACUUCUCAUCCGUACGCGCAUACCCGUUUGAAUCACCCACGUCAGGUGAGUUCAUACCCCGUAAUGAAUCUUUUAACUAUUUUAAUUGUUUUAAGGGGGGAAUAUGUUGGAUAAGGUGUCUAAGUCCAUAACUAUUUCGGGCUUGUACUUGACCCGACCCGGCAUGGUCCAUUUGGGUUGCAUGGCACCAUGCAAUUGGAUAGACUAAAUGAGAGAAAUAACACUUGGAGAUUAUUAAUAUAUUAUAAGUUCUAAUAUAUUAAUAAUAUUAUUUGAUUAGUUGAUCAAAGAAUUAAUUUGGAAUUAAUUAAGUGAUCAAAGGAUAACUAAUUAAAUAUAUGGGUUGAUUAUGUAAAUCAUCCAUAUCUUGUAUAGUGGGCUAAGAGGCUCCAUGGAUUAUCAAGUUGGGUUCUACCCAUAGGAUGCUCCAUGGAUGCUCCAUGGGAGUUACAAACCCAUGGGUCAUGGAAAUGAAGAGUCAUGACACAUUAGGGUUUACAUGGUGUAACCCUAGAUGUGUCAACACUAUAUAAGAAGCAUAUUCUCCACCAAAAUUCGGCACUACUAAGGAACUAGAGGGCUUGGCCGAUUUUGAGAAGUGUGUGUUAUCUCAAGAGUCUUUCCAAGAGCAUUUGGUGUUGUGUGAAGCAUUUGAGGCAUCACACUUGGGGUGCUAGGCUCACAAGGUUUCAAGGAACACAAGCAACAACAAGGUAAGUUAUUCUAUCUAUGAUUCAAGUUAAAAUUGUUCCCCAUGUAUGCUAGAUAGGAAUAUAACCUUGGAAUUCAACUUUGCAUGAUAAUUAGACAAACAUAGAUCCAAGGUUAUUAGGGUUGCAUGUACACUUAGGAAGUGUUAGAAUGCUCAAAACCCAUCAGUGGUAUCAGAGCCUAGGCUUGUUUGUUUGUUAUUUGUGCUUAAAAGUUGAAGAAAGUCGAAAAUCUUGCUGUCUGACUGAUGGACUCGGCGAGUCCAUGGGGAGGACUCGACGAGUUCAUGUGUAUCUUCAACCUACUCGGCGAGUAGGUUUAUGCACUCGGCGAGUAGGGUCGACAGAGUGCAGAAUUUCGACUUGUGUUGCUGGAAAUGGAUUAGAAUCAUUACCCUAAAAUGUUUUGGUACUUGAAAACUUAUUUUAGAAGGUGUAAUGUCUUUUCUAACUCAUUUACAACAACUAGUUAUCAAAAUUACAAAGAUUAAAUGUGAUUUUGAUUCUUGAAAGUGUUCAUAUUCAUAUUCUUGUUCUUAUGAUGUUUAGAUGAUCAUAGGAAUUAUUUGUAACCUAUGUGGUAGAUUAAUUCAUGAUCAUAAUGUGUUUUAAUGGAGUCCAUAACUUGUCCUCAAGUUAUGGAAAACCAAAAGUCUCUUGGAUUAAAAAACAUUAAAAGAACACAAGAGUUAGGAAAAAUGAAAAGUCCUCAUUUUAUUACUCUAUUAAACUCAUAAGUUACAAGAAAUGAAAAGUUUUGAAAGUUUACAAAACUUGCCCUCAAGUUUUGGAACAAGUAAAGUUAAGUUAAAACUUUAGUUCCAACCCCUAGAAUUUUAAAAGUUAAAAUUCAACCCUUAUACUUAUAUUAUUAUGAUUUAAUAAUUAUAUAUAUAUGUAUAAGAACAAAGUCGUCUUACCGCUAGUACGCCUCAUUCACGAAGCCGGUCUAUAAGGUGGGUAUAAGGUUGUUGCCUAUAAAAUGGUGACUUAAUGGGUGUCCACUCUCACCCACCGCUUGCUUGAUCGGUGGAGGGUCGUUAGCCGAACGGGUAAGACAAGGACUUAUUAAUUCUCAUUCAAAGUAUGAUGAAUAUUAUAAAGUAACUAAAUGUUUUAUUAAAUUCCCAAUCUUAGUUACUUUAGGAAAAAUGUGAAUAAGGUGCUAUUCCAUGAAAUUACACUUUACACUUUGAUUAAGUCGUUGGUGGAGCGUGUGUGGUUAACCGGCACACUAACUUGGACUUAACAAGGUAGGUAAAGGGUGACUUAGGGUUUAUUAUAGUAUCGAUGGAGCGUGUGUGGUUAACCGGCACAUCGAUUGAGUGAUAAACUUUAAGGGUACCAAGUGAUUUGCAUGGUUACUUCACACCUCGUUUUGUGAUCCUCGGUAUCCCAGUCACAAAACUUGGAGGGCACACUCGAGAUUGAAACAUGCCUUUGAAAAGUUCAUUGAAUCUCAAAGAAUCUAGGAAUUUCUAAGAACCAUUCAAAAACCUAAUACUAAAAUAUUGCGGUUUUCGUGGUGGAAAUUGGUGAAUCGUCAUUCACCUACCUUUCAAAUAUGAUAUAGCUUAGAUUACGGCAUACCUCUUCUAAGUUAUAUUAUAUUGUGAUUGGAUCCUAGCCUUAAUAUUACAUUUGGGUGUUUUAUUAAGGACUCUCUUAUAUCUAAACUAAUCUUGUCCUCUUUCCUUCAGAUGUCUUUCAACAAUGCUUCUGGCUCUAAUCCUAAUGGCUCCUUUACCCUUAUGAACUUGUGUGGGAAAGUCACCUUUGAUGGAUCCAACUUCAAUGAGUGGAUCAGAAACAUCAGGAUGAUUACCCGCUACGAGGACAAAGAAUAUGUCCUUGACAAGGAGCUUAAGGAGAUUGAUGAGUCCACUGCAACUCCUCAGGAGAUCGCUGAAUUUCGGGCACAUGAAAGGGAUGCUACGAAAGUGGCUUGCAUCAUGAUGGCCACGAUGACAGCGGAACUCCAAAAGUCUUAUGAGGAUUUCUACCCUUAUGAAAUGCACCAAGAUUUGAUGGAAAGAUACCAUCAAAGUGCAAGACAAGAGAGGUAUGAAAUCAUCUGCUCCAUGAUAACAACCAUGAUGAAGGACGGGGAAUCCGUCACGAGCCACAUGCAGAAAAUGCAAAGGUAUGUGGAUCGUUUGCUGAAGCUUAAUGUGAACUUCCCGGAGGAUCUUGCAAUAGAUAUUAUUUUGCAUUCCUUACCAUCGUGCUAUGAUCAAUUCCGCAUGACAUAUCACAUGAACAAGGAAGAAGUCACCCUCAGCAAACUUCAGGGACUUCUCAAGACCGCAGAAUCAGGUCUUAAGGGGAAGUCGGUUGCUAUCACUCCUACUCAAAACUCUACUCCGGUUUUGGCAAUCGGGAAAAGUCGAGGGAGGAAGAGAAAGAGCUCUUCUAAGGGUACCAAGGUUCGGACCCUUGAUGGCUCUUCUUCAAGUGGAACCAAGAAAGGUUUCAUUACUCCUUCUUCUGACCCAAAAGAGGCUGAAUGCUUCUAUUGCCAUGAAAAAGCUCAUUGGAAGCGGAACUGCCCAAAAUACCAGCAAGAUGUGAAGGAUGGGAAAGUUAAACCCAACCAUGCAGGUAUUUACACUAUCAUUUCUAAUAACUCACCCCAUUCUAAUUCUUGGGUCCUUGAUACCGGGUGUGGUAUUCACAUUUGUUGUGACUUGCAGGGACUAAGAAGAAGUGAGGAUGUGGAGCAAGGAAGGAUAAACUUGAUCAUGGGGAAUAGGAAAGCUAUACCUGUUACCAAGAUUGGAGUUUAUACUUUAUCGCUAAGUAGUGGGUUUAGUUUAGAUUUGAAUAAGUGUUGUUAUUCGCCAGGAAUGGCAAGAAAUAUUAUUUCCUUUCAUGCUUUGUACAAACAAGGGUUUACCUUUUCAUUUAAUAAUGAAGUUGGUUCUAUAGAUGUUUUCUAUAAUAAUGUCUUUUAUUUUAAAGCAUUACCUUGUGAUGGUGUGUAUGAAGCUGUAUCUGUUGUAGAUAACUUGGGAAAUAAUGUUUUGUGUAUUGAUUCUACUAAUAAUAACUUGGAUAAAGCAUCUUUAUGGCAUUGUCGUCUUGGACAUAUAAGCAAGAAACGCAUAGGCCAACUCCAAAAGGAUGGAGUCUUGGAGUCGUUUGACCUAAAGUCAGAUGAUAGUUGCGAAUCAUGCUUACUUGGAAAAAUGACAAAGUCACCCUUCACAGGUUCGUGUGAGAGGGGUGAAGGUUUGUUGGACCUUAUACACACGGAUGUGUGUGGACCAUUCAAACAUGCCACAAGGGAUGCUAAUCGUUAUUAUUUGACUUUUACUGAUGAUUAUAGUAGAUAUGGAUAUGUCUACUUGAUCAAGCAUAAGUCAGAGACUUUCGAGAGGUUUAAGGAAUUUAAACAGGAAGUCGAGAAUCAAUUGGGCAGGAACAUUAAGAUGCUUCGAUCCGAUCGUGGUGGUGAGUAUCUUAGUUCAGAGUUCCUCGACUAUCUAAGGGAAUGUGGGAUAGUCUCACAAUUGACACCUCCCAGGACACCACAGUUGAAUGGUGUGGCUGAGAGGCGUAAUCGAACCUUGUUAGAUAUGGUUCGUUCCAUGAUGAGUCGAGCUACGCUACCAAUCUCAUUCUGGGGGUAUGCCUUAGAGACUGCCGCCCAUAUUCUUAAUCUAGUCCCUACAAAGAAAGUUGCCAAAACUCCUCACGAGAUGUGGACUGGUAAAGUACCUAAACUAGACCACAUCAAGAUUUGGGGUUGCGAGGCUUUCGUGAGACGCGAGACUCAUGAUAAGCUCGAACCUCGAAGCGAGAGGUGUAUUUUCAUCGGUUACCCACAGCGAUCCUUUGGUUACCUCUUCUACAGACCUAGUGACAAUGUGGUCUUUGUAGCAAGAAGAGGAGUCUUUCGAGAAAGAGAGUUUAUAAGCCAAGGAGACAGUGGGAGGCAAAUUGAUCUUGAAGAAAUUCAAGAAUCAAGCGGUGAAGGAACUUCAAACUCUAGCCCUCAACUUGAGGAGGAAACUCCUGUUGAGCCAAUUGACAAAUCUGUACCUCUGAGACGUUCCACGAGAGUUAGGAGUGCACCUGAGCAUUACUAUGGAUUCCAUAUUACUGCAGAAGGUGAGACACUUAUUAGUGAUGAGACACUAGUAAGUCAAGAUGACCCUAACAGCUACGAGGAAGCCAUGGCAGGCCCCGAGUCUGCUAAAUGGAAAGAGGCUAUGGAUAGCGAGAUACAAUCCAUGUAUGACAAUCAAGUUUGGAACUUGGUUGAAAAUGUACCAGGUCGUAAGACAGUAGGGUGCAAAUGGGUCUUCAAGAAGAAGACCGACAUGGAUGGUAAAGUACACACUUAUAAGGCUAGACUGGUUGCAAAGGGCUUCUCUCAAAUUCCUGGAGUGGAUUAUGAUGAGACCUUUUCUCCGGUAGCCAAGAUUAAGUCUAUUCGGGUUCUGUUAGCCAUAGCUGCAUUUCAUGACUAUGAAAUAUGGCAGAUGGAUGUCAAAACCGCUUUCCUUAAUGGAAAGUUGGCUGAAGAUGUUUACAUGAGUCAGCCAGAGGGUUUUGUCAGCAACGAGUACCCUAAUAGAGUGUGUAAGCUUGAGAAAUCCAUUUAUGGAUUGAAGCAAGCACCUCGCAGAUGGAAUCUUUGCUUUGAUGAAAAGGUCAAGGAAUUUGGCUUUUCUAGGAGUGAAGAUGAAUCUUGUGUGUAUGUCAAGGCUAGUGGGAGUAUAGUUAGCUUUUUGGUAUUGUAUGUGGAUGACAUACUACUCAUAGGAAACGACAUUCCAACCCUGCAGGAAGUAAAGUCCUGGCUUGGGAAGUGUUUCGCUAUGAAGGACCUUGGUGAAGCUGCCUAUAUUCUAGGGAUAAGAAUCUUGAGAGAUCGGAGUAAAAGACUAAUUGGACUUAGUCAGAGUACCUACUUGGAUAAGGUGCUGAAGAGAUUCAGCAUGCAGGAUUCCAAGAAAGGAGAGUUACCCAUCCAGAGUAACACCAGAUUGAGUAAGACACAAAGCCCUAGCACUGAGGCUGAGAUAGCAGAAAUGAGUCGAACACCUUACGCUUCGGCUGUAGGAUCGAUCAUGUAUGCUAUGACGUGUACUCGACCCGAUGUAGCUUUUGCCUUGAGCAUGGUUAGCAGGUAUCAGGCGAACCCUGGCAAGGCACACUGGACUGCGGUAAAGAAUAUCCUCAAGUACCUACGGAGGACUAAGGACUGGGUCCUUACCCUCGGUGGGAGUGAUGACUUGAGAGUUGUAGGGUAUAGUGAUGCUAGCUUCCAGACUGAUAGGGAUAAUUUCCGCUCUCAGUCGGGCUGGGUCUUUACCCUAAACGGAGGAGCAAUUUCUUGGAAGAGUUCCAAGCAAGAGACAGUGGCAGAUUCUACUUGUGAAUCAGAGUAUAUUGCAGCUAGCGAAGCAGCAAAGGAGGCGAUAUGGCUGAAGAACUUCAUUGGAGACCUUGGAGUUGUACCAGCUAUUAAAGAGCCAAUGGAAAUUUUCUGUGAUAGUGAAAGUGCUGUUGCCUUAGCCAAGGAACCAAGGGAUCAUGGGAGAUCCAGACACAUCGACAGAAAAUACCAUUUCAUUAGACAUCGGAUCGAAGAAGGACUCCUCGUGGCAAAGAGGGUAUCAUCGGAUGAGAACCCAGCAGAUCCCCUCACGAAGGGACUGAGUAGGGUUAAGCAUCUCCAGCAUGCUCGGAGCAUAGGGCUGAAGGAUGAUAUAAGUUUUAGUAGUUAGAUAACCCAGAAAUUUGUAAAGUGUAAUUGACAUUUGAUGAUGAAUAAAAGGUGUUUUAUUUAUGAGUAAAGUGUUGCUAUCUCUUGUCAAUCGUUUACUAUAUUUCUUUUGCAUGUUUUGACUUCCAGAAUAAUUUUGUUUGGUGUAACAUAUUAUUCAAACCUCCACAGUCGGUCAUAUGUCGGAAGUAGGUAUGAAUCAAGACUGUCAUGAUGGGUUGUAGAGGUCUAAGGUGUUGGACAAGGCUACAACAAUCAUGAGUGCUCAUAAGUUCUGAGCAUUGGACUCAACCCACGCUCACUGGAAUCACUUCAUGGAAUUCUAUCUCGAGUGAUCGUGAGACGGUAAUAUCAUAUAAGUCUUCAAACCUAGAGAUAUGAUUUGUUACUUACAAGUUGGUUAUGCAUUGACUGUACGAAACCGCAUUGGUAACUCGAUGUUAUAAAACGUACUUUUGUGUGUAAUUCAAUGAGUGGUAGAACAAACAUAUGAGUCGAAGUUUAUCUGUUCCUUCUUGGAUUAGAAGCUGAUAUCUGGGCCCCUCGAUGAUUUUGUUUUGACCCAUGUACCGGGCCCGGUCAGAACUAAGUUGAUGUGUUCAAUUAAGUUCUAUGUCAAACAAAUCGGAAAUCGGGAAACAAAUGCUGGACAAUAAGCAAGACAAUGUUCCAUGUAUUUGUCCGGCUGAUAUCUAGAACGGAGGAUUAUAUGAUCACUUAUCUUAAAUGGCGUACCAUCAUCUUCUCAGUUCCGAGAGACCUUGAAAGAGCUACGAUUGCCGGUCGGUUCCUGAAGUACUAGAGAUAUAGUUAUUAGACUUAUCCAAGUGGGAGACUGUUGGAUAAGGUGUCUAAGUCCAUAACUAUUUCGGGCUUGUACUUGACCCGACCCGGCAUGGUCCAUUUGGGUUGCAUGGCACCAUGCAAUUGGAUAGACUAAAUGAGAGAAAUAACACUUGGAGAUUAUUAAUAUAUUAUAAGUUCUAAUAUAUUAAUAAUAUUAUUUGAUUAGUUGAUCAAAGAAUUAAUUUGGAAUUAAUUAAGUGAUCAAAGGAUAACUAAUUAAAUAUAUGGGUUGAUUAUGUAAAUCAUCCAUAUCUUGUAUAGUGGGCUAAGAGGCUCCAUGGAUUAUCAAGUUGGGUUCUACCCAUAGGAUGCUCCAUGGAUGCUCCAUGGGAGUUACAAACCCAUGGGUCAUGGAAAUGAAGAGUCAUGACACAUUAGGGUUUACAUGGUGUAACCCUAGAUGUGUCAACACUAUAUAAGAAGCAUAUUCUCCACCAAAAAUCGGCACUACUAAGGAACUAGAGGGCUUGGCCGAUUUUGAGAAGUGUGUGUUAUCUCAAGAGUCUUUCCAAGAGCAUUUGGUGUUGUGUGAAGCAUUUGAGGCAUCACACUUGGGGUGCUAGGCUCACAAGGUUUCAAGGAACACAAGCAACAACAAGGUAAGUUAUUCUAUCUAUGAUUCAAGUUAAAAUUGUUCCCCAUGUAUGCUAGAUAGGAAUAUAACCUUGGAAUUCAACUUUGCAUGAUAAUUAGACAAACAUAGAUCCAAGGUUAUUAGGGUUGCAUGUACACUUAGGAAGUGUUAGAAUGCUCAAAACCCUUCAGAAUACAAGUUGCACACAAUGAUAAUUGUGUAAUUAUUUGUUGUUAAACAUUCUUUCAAAAUGUUACUUAUAUUAUUUAUAAGUUGUUAAAACAUUUCAAAACUCUUCUAAAGGUUAUGUUACUUUAUAGUUAUACAAAACUCCAUUUUUAAAGUAUAAGCAUAACUUUGUAGAUAAAUGAGUCUUUUCAGUAUCAGUCCAGUUAGAACAUUAGUAAACUAUUAUAGGUAUAGUUUAGGAGAAUGCUAUUCAUUACUUCUAGUACAAUAAAGCACACACAGAACAAAACAGAACAGAACAGAACAAACAGUGAAGAGAAUCAAACAAUACCAGAACAGAACAUAACAAACAAGUAAAUUUGCUAUAGCAUGACAACACGCAGACAUGAUCUAACUUUAAUGUGAAUUACAUGGCUUGCAUAGAUUUGCUCGGGUCACGUUUGGUUCCCUCAAUCUCCAUACAUGAGAGCGGGUUAGUAGGGGUUCUAGCUUUCACAUUAUGACCGUAAUAAAACACACAUAUGUUUUUAGGUUGAUAGUACCCCCGUAUGUAAUUAUAAACGACAUCAGGGUACUCAUUUCUCCCAUUACUUUCUUAAAGUGUCGGUAACACUUGAAGGUUAAUCUAUUCUCUAAUCGGGAUAGGUUAUAAACUAGGGAGAAUGUAUUUCACAGUUGACAAAGGAACAUUAGAGUCUUGGUAGAAGACUGCUUUCAUAAUAGUAGAGUCUUGGUAGAAGACUGCUUUCAAACAAUCGAGUCUUGGUAGAAGGCUACUUUAAAAGUUAGGACCAUGAUGCUAGCUUUAUGAUUCCUUAAUGUAUACACUAUAGACUACGUAUAUGCUAAGUAGAUUCCGACAGCUAAUAGGAUGUGUGUUCUUCGUUGUACGUCCUGUUCCCGUUGGAUGUGGGUUUACACCGAGGUCACCCAAUCUAUUAUCUACCCGAAUCUAUAUAUAUUUAUGCUUAGUAUACAUUAAGUCAUCAUAAGGGUACCAGGUAUGGAUCAGGUCAUAGGACACAGAGUCAAUGCACAGUUUUUCUAGUACAAAACUUUCGUUUCAAAGUCAGUACUGUUGGAUAUACAAAACUAGUGAUUUCCCAGUUAAGGGCUUAAUCCAUUUUAUUAAACCAGUACAGCUUUAAAGACUUUAUGUGAGUUAACUCUAUAAUACCUUAGUUUAUACACCAUGUUUAUAUAUAAGACUAAUAUCCGACAGCUAAUAGGAUUUGUGUUCUUCGCUGUACGUCCUGUUCCCGUUGGAUGUGGGUUUACACCGAGCUCACCUAAUCUAUUAUCUACCCGAUACCAAAUUAUAUAUAGCAGUAUAAACAAAGCUAUUAUAAAAGUAAUCACCAUAGUCAAUAUUUUAUUAUAAGAAAUAUAGGUUUUCUUAAAAGGAACUCUCCAUUAGACAUAAAGGAACCAUUACAAAUAACUCCAUGAGUAACAAGUGAAUACCCCAAGGUUAUAUAUGACAACGAUCUAAUAACCAAUGGAAUAUGUGCUAUCCGCCUUACUUACUGUACCCCAUCGGGUUGUAGGUUGAGGGCAGAUGCGCAUAAUCGAUUGUUUGUUUACUCCAAGUAUAUAUAACUUGUACCCACUUAUUACGCAUAGAAAGGCUUGUAGUGUCAUUUUACUCAACUCCCAUUUUAAGUAGGAAAUAUAUGAUUUUCUAGAGGAACAGGCAAACUUUACAAAACAACACCUUACAGCUUACAGUACUUUACAUAUACAUUUUAAACCACAUUUUUACAGCUUACUCACAUCACUAAAAUCUUAUGAACUCACCAGCUUAAUUGCUGAUCAACUCUUUCAAAUAACUUGUAUUCUCAGGAGACUAUUAGACAGGUGCUCGUGCUGGGACUUCAGAAGAUGGAGCAUUAUAGCUUCAAGUCUUGUUUUGUUAUUUGUUUAUGACUUCUAUGUUUUGUGAACACAUACAUUGUAAACACUUUCUUUCUAAAUGAAAUGCUUGUCCAUUACUUGCUUACCAUAUACCUAUCUCGUGAUACUUGACAUGACGUCCUCCACCCCCGAACGUUUCUGCCAUUCCGGUUUUGGGGUGUGACACGCACUCGAUAACUCAACCCUACUUGCUCCUUAGUACCCUAAGGAUUCUUACUUGGACUGUGCACUAAUUUGGUGUCUUCAGUAGUACGGGACCUAUACUACCAUCCACACCGCAUCAAUAUUCACCCCAAGUCCUCCUCUUUAGAUCCCAGAACACAAGUACUCUAUAUCUUGCUAGCAUAGGCCACCCUUCGGUAGACCUCUCAUAAGCUCCUCACUGCUACCUACUCACUCUCAAGCAUCUCAUUGCAGUAGAAAUCUUCCUAGGCUAAGGCAUCACAAAUCAGGCUACUCUAGUCCAAAUAUGAAUACCUAGCCUACUCUAGCAUGCGACACAUAUCAUAACACAUAAUGUAAAGGAAUUUUGGGAAAUCACCGUUCGGGUGCUGGCUGAUCUACACACCGCUUCCUUCUACUUUUCUCAAAUUCUUUUACUUCCUUAGAAAAAUUGUUUGUUUUAUGAAAAAUUUCUCAAAUCCUCAGUUUGAGUUCAGAUAUGCCCGAAGGUGCAUCCGAAUCCCUCAAACCAAGGCUCUGAUACCAACUUGUAACAACGUAAAUUUUCAAAACAAUUUUUCAUUUUUAACACAUAAUUUCAUUCAUAAUGAAAUCCCAAAAUCCAAUGUUUCACAUAUUAUCCGAAUAAAACAAAUCCCAAGAUCUCAAUACAUAAAAACCCCUCAGUGUGUACGACUCUUGCCAGCGCCUUCCCGCGAUCCUCGCUGGUACCUGAAACACAUAUCACACAACACAGUAAGCAUAAAUGCUGAGUGAGUUACCCAAAAUACCACAUACAACACAUACGCCACUCGAGGUCAAUGUUUCUUAGCAGGAUCCUCUAGUCCCAUAGCUCGUUGGACCCUCUGGCCCGGUCAUAGCUCGUCGGACCCUUCGGUCCGGUCAGUAUCGUUGGACCCUUCGGUCCGAUCUAUAUCGUUGGACCCUCCGAUCCGGUCUAUACAACACAUAGCAUACAUAUAACAAAAUGCACAUAAUCUCAUACAUACACAUAGCAUACAUGACCCUCCGGUCUACACAGAAAUACCACUCUAGGUAAUGUAUAGUGAGAAGACUCACCUCGGGUAACUCGGAUAAUCUCGAGCACGAAUACACUGAUUUAGCCCCCGCCUAAUCACAUAAACAGUAUCCUCAAAUAAAUAAUGGCUCUCAAAGUCUAGAUUAAGUCCCUUUCUACAAUCCCACAGAAGGGUAAAAGACCAUUUUACCCCUCCCUGACCCAAAACUCCAAAUGAUGACCAAAACCCUAAAAGUCAAUGAAAGUCAACAGGGGGCAGUACGCGGCGCGUACCAUCUCAGUAUGCGGGGUGUACGCCGGCGAUCCAUAAUCGGGGUCUCAACCCCUUACGCUGCGUGUUUUGAGAGUUACGACCAACGAAAGUCUUAGUUUCAGCUCUUUUUAGAUUUUUGGUCUUAAACAGUUAAGACAUAAACUCAAACUCUAGAUCUGACUUUUCUAAGGCCUCUUAAUCCACAAAGUCGAAACCUUUAAGCCUUUGCAUGGCUGUAACGGUCCCUAAUCACUCUAACACCUUUCCUCUCUCCUCAUAAAGCCUAGAUCUCAUGCAUGGCUUAAUAUUCACGUCCAAGAUUGGAUAUUUAUGAACCUACAACUCAUAUUACCCUGAAAUAUGGCAGAUCUAGGCUUAUGGAGACCAUUUGCUCAUAAAUUCUCCACCUUGGGACCAAAAACCAUAAAAAUUGGUCCAAGAAGCACAAAUAAAAAUGACAAGGAAAGCUUUGAGCUUUUUACCUCAGAAAGAAGCUCCAGCCUCUGUAGAACUCAGACCUACUCUUGUCCACCAACUUCAAGCUCCUAUAAUGGCCUCCUCUUCUCCUUUGACACCUUGAAAUGACACUUUCAAGCUUAAGAACACACACACAAGCUAAGAAUGAAGGGUAGCUCUCUCUUAGGGUUUCACUCUCUGAAAUGGUGGCUGAGGAUAAAGCCAUAACAUUAUUUUUAUAGUGCACAACCCACAAUUUGGGUUUGCAUCUGGGCCCGCUACGCCCAACAUAACCCUAGGUAUGCCCAACAUACUUGGGUGAGUCCGCAUCCAAACUAAGCGCAUGAGUAUGCACAACGUACUCCUUAGUACGCCCAGCAUACUCAAUUGUCAUUGUUUUUCCUUUAGGGACUAAACUUGACCACUUGGAAAAGAAGAAGGGUUCAAGAGAUGCACCUGAAUUUUGGGAUGUUACAAAUAACUUAAAUAUCGAUAGAUUCAGUAACAGUAAAGUGAAACAAAGAAUAAGAACAAUGAUCGAAUGAGUUCCGAAUGCUUUAUAAUCAAUUCCUUAGAAGAGUUUGAUGAGAACUUUUCUGUAAAAGCAAUAUAGGGCAAUACGAAAACGAUUAACCCUAGAACGAUACAUGCAUGCACUAUAAAUAGUCUAACCCUAGCAUCAUAAUGACGGAUGGACAGGCCCUAUCUACUAACAAAGACUAAGUACAUACAUAGUAAAUUUGACACAACACAUUAAAUGACCCAACAAUCUCUCCCUUUGUGUUAAAUAAGGAGUGGAGAUUCUUUAAUGUUGUUCCAACUUCUGGACUUUAAACAUUCUGGUCAUCAAAUUAAGAAGUUUACUUUGAAUGAAAAUGUACCACUUGAUCAUGUCUCGAAAGCAUUCUAGAUCUCCUUCAUCAUUCAAUUUGCAUGCUACGGUUAAGCCUAUGAUAUGGGUCAAUACAGUAGUGGAGUACAAAUGUUUGUCUAAUAAAAAGAAGAAACUCUUCUUAACUUGAUCACCUUCUCUUCUCUGAUAGACCACACUCCAAUCCUUUUUCUUUAUCUCACCCCACCUUUUCUUCUGAAAUUUCGUUGUUUCUUUUUUCGGAUCCAUAGUAGGCCUUUUCUUCAAUACUGAAAUAUUUCACUUCAUCUUUUUGACAAAAUCAGAAAUAAUGAAAUCCAAUCUUUCGGAUUCAUACAGGGCAGAUCAGCAAGUGUGAAGUCCUCCUCGGUGUUAGCUGCUCCAUGAAAACCUUUAAACCUGACGUUUGUGAAGUGUUUAGUGGGAAAAGGAGCAUAAACUUUCACAACAACAAGCUUCUUCAAAUUCCAAAUCUUGUACUGAGGUUGACCAUACUUGAGAUAAAAAUUGUAAAUCAUGUUGUUAACAUCGUAAUCCAAAAGAGGAGACUUCUAAAUAUGAGAAAAUCCUCGGAAUAGGAAACCUCUCGUAGUGAGUGGGAUAUAAAGUUGAGAGUCAACGACAUUACCCAGAUCAAAAGAUACCGAUGACUCUAACCAACGAACGCUCAAAUCAUACAUUGCUUCUUUCUGAAUUCACUCUAAGGUCCAUGGAGGAAAAAGGGCCUACUGAUUUGCAAGAGUGACUUUUGCAACUUCUUCUUCAGCUUCUUUAACUUCUAAUUCUAGGCGAAGAGUCAAAAGAUCAUCAAGCACCUUGUCACGUUUCUUUCUUGUCAGCUUUUCUCCUUCAGGAAUUUCUUCUUCAAUAUCAUCGUCAUCAUCUAACACAUUUUCUUUUCCUUUAGAACCCGAAGCUUCAUUAACCUUCGGAUCUAUCUUCGGUUUAUCCUCAUAUCGUUCAUCAGUAGGCUUCUUAUCAUGAGGCUCAGGUUCCUGAGGCUUACAUUUUUCUUUUUCCUUAACAUCUUCUCCCCCUUGUUUCAGAACAUCACUGCUUUCCGAAACACAAUGUAGUUGAUUGAGCAUAGCGAAGACAGGUUUGAGUUUUUUCGAGAGGUGCUAGCAAACUGAAACCGUAAGCAUUGAGUCACGGGUUGCAAUAAGAUUGUGCAAGUAUUGAUUUAUGUCGGAGACAUAGCUUCGGGAUACUGUUUUCUCGGAUUCCAUGUGAUCCAGACGCUUGGUUGCGUAACUGAGCUUGCCGGAGAGAAUCUUAACUUUUUUAGUUUUUUGAGCCAGCAUAUCCAUGAAUGUAUAUUCAGUAGCAAGAUCUUUUUGAAGAUGCUCUAUCUUGGAGACAAAAAAAAGCAACCAUUUUAGCGGAAUUGGUUUGUAGUUUACCACGAACACGAGAAAAGGCUUCUCUUUAAGUUUGUAGAGUUGUGGCAAGACUCGUAAUGACCUUGUUCGAUGCUUCAGUGUUAUUAUUAGUAGAGGCUCGAAAAUCUUUCCAUGAAUUUUGUGACAUCAGAUUGUAGUUUUUUUUAAUUUUUCAGUCGUCUCAGCAAUUUUCUUCUCAGAUGCCUUGAUUGCCUUAGUUGAGUCUUCAAGGACUUUUGCAUUUUAUUUGGUGUGCGUUUCAAACGUUGCUCGAUGAGAUUUGUGCAUAAAAUCAUAAGUAGAAGAGGUAAGAGAGGACUCCUAAAGCGAAUCUAAUUUAGAAUUGAGUUUUUUUGAACUGCCCUUACGUCAUAGGGGCUUCAUCAUCAUCGCUUGUUAGAAGGAUAGUAAAUGGACUAAAGACAAAAUUAUGAAUAUCGUAUGGAUCAUCUCCAUACAUGACAUCUAAAUCAUCCUCCCUCAAAGGUAAAAAUGGAGAGGCGUUAGGACCAACUAUAACACCGAAAUUACCUGCCCCCGUAUCAGAUACAUUGACAGUCACUAGAGGUGAACUCAUGGUGGCGGUUGUUGUUGUUUGUAGUGGAAUCUGUAUAGAGUGGAUUGAUUUGGGCUACUUAAAUCUGUGGUUGAGAAACACCAACAGACACAUUUAGGAAUGGAGCAAUGGUAAUUAGAAUAGGAGUAGUGAUCGAAGAAGGUGGAGGAGAAGGAACGUGAAAGAAAUCAUAUGUCAAAGGAACAGAAGUUGAGAUUGGAGAUGAUACAUUUGGAGUGGGUUGAGUAGGAAUUGGUUCCGAGACCAAAGGUUACAAAUUCACUAUUGUAUCUUUGGUUUCGGUCUUAAUGUUAUCUUCCCAUCGUAAGUCAGGAACAGUCUGGGAUUAUGAAUCCUCUUGAGCGACAGGAGAUGGAGAUCUUGGUUUGCGAGCAGCCUUCUUAACCUUCUUUUUCAGAGUUUGAACAGGCUCGGAAGGUCCAUCUUUCACUUUUCUCUUUCCUCCCUUGUUGGGAUUAUUUCCCUCCUCAAGUGCCUUUCACAAAUCUUCAGGCAUAGGACGAACACCAGAAAUAGGCUUCUUUCAGUAUUCAUUCACCACAACAUUAUCAGCAGGAACAUUCAAGAGCAUGGCUUCAGGAAUUGAACCAACGAAGCUAAACCAGUGGGAUCAAAGACAACGAAGUUCGAGUUAUGUUUGACUGGAAUAACAGAAAGCACAAAGUCUUCAUGCACUUGCACCUGAAGAAGAGUAAUAGCACGCUUGAUAAUGUCAGACCAAAAUCGACCACAAGAAAUCUUUGAAUGCCUUGAUGUUGAGAGUAAUAUCUGAACAAGUUGUACCCAAUGAACAUAACCAUAAUCUAGGUUAAAACCAUUGUAAAGACCAUAGAUAAUCGUACAGAAAAGCUUGCUGGAAUUAUAAUACCUAGUAACACGUUUAGAAAAAGUUUUAAAUAAUAGAGUAAAAAGCCCAUUUCAUAUAGGAGGAACAUUGGGCUUCCUAAACUUGGAUAGUAAAGUUAUAUUAUCAAGAUAACCCAUUUGGAAAAACAUCCCAAUGAUCGGAGAUGAAGAAAUCGAUUCAGGGUCGACGAUAUCAUCUAUAGUAGUAAACCCUAGCAGUAUGCAAAAUCAAGAUUUGGAGAUAGACGGUUUGUGAGAAUUGACCUUAAAAGUAAUCAUAGCUUCACUAUGUUUGUAGUUUGUAGUGGAGAAUGCCUUGGGCAGAUGAACCAAAGGUACACUUUCAGCCAUUAUUAGGGCUUGAGCCAGAGGAGAGAAACGCGGGAUUUUAUCAUCGGUUUGAGAGAAUUAGCAUACUUUUAAGAAUCAAGAUCCAGAGUCAGAUUUUGGUUUGAUUUGAUGCUCAACAUGACCAUGGAAGUAGUUUGUUCAACAACAGAAGGAGCUUCAGAUGAAGCAGCCAUAGAAGAAGUUGGAGAUGAUGAUAAACCAUGCUGAUAAAAGGAGGGUGUUCUCCUUGAGAUAUUUUAAAUUCUUUGAAAGUGGUGAAAGAAAGAAAUUGUCGAUUUACCUUUUAUACAUCAGGAAUGGUGAUAGAAAUCUGGUGAUUGAUGUUUCUAAUGGGUUUUAGCCAUAUGAACAUUCCUAUGUGCACAUGCAAACCUUAAUGCUUGGAUCUAGGUUUCUCUAAUUAAACAUGCUUUGAAUCCAAGACUUCUAAUGACUAAUUAGGUAUAAGAACAAUACAAAAUAGAUCUAGAAGUUUACCUUUGAAUCUCUUGUUUUGAUUUUGUUGUCUUGGAGCUCUAGAGUCACAAUUGUCACUCCUCUAAUGGCUUACAAACACCAACUAGCAAGGAGGGUGAUUUGAGAGAGAGGAGAGGGGCUAGAAAUCAGCCAGGGUUUCUUUGCUUUAGUAGAGGUGCCGAUUUCCCUUGCCCUAGGGGUCUAUUUAUACUUGUAAGGCUCCUAGGGUUUCACCCUUAAACCCUAGUUGGAUAAUAUUUCCAUAAAGCAAUCCUAAUCCUUACCUAAGAUAGCCUUGGACGAAUUUGACGCUAUCCCAAGCCCUAGCAUCCGUCCAUCCUCUAUCCAAGAAGGAUUUACAGCCCAAAGUGUAACUAUUAAACAAUUGACAGUUUAUACCCUCUUAUUUAAUUAAUCUCUUUAAGUCACCAAAUUAAUACCAAUUAAUCUAUGACUUAUAUUAAUCAAAUAACAAUAUUAUUAUUUCUUAUAUUACUCUCAUAAUAUAUUAAUAAUAUUUAUUCUCUCAUAAUAAAUCAUCCUAUCAACUUGCUAUGGUGAAGGCAACCCAAAAGGACCAUGCACAAUCGGGUCAAAUAAUUGCCUAAUAUAGUUGCAGCCUUAGACACUAUUCCAACAGUCUCCCACUUGGAUAAGUCUAGUAACUAUAUGCACAAGUACAAUUCGAUUUGCAAUUGUAGCUCUCAAAGACGCUAUCAAACUCUGAUCUAAUCAAUCUUGUCCUUUAGAUAAGGGAUCGUAAAGUCCUCUGUUAGAUAUCAUGCUGACAAUUCUAUGGAAUGAUUAGUCUAGCAUUUUGGUUUCUCGAUCUCCGAUUUAUUUGACAUAGAACUUAAUCGAACACAUCAAUUCAGUUCUGACCGGGCCCGGCACAUAAGUCAAAUCAAAUCAUCGAGCGGCCGAGAUAUCGCUUUUACCUUCUUAGGAUAAAAGUUACAGAUAAACUUCGACUUAUAUGCAUUUACUUAUUCAUUAACCAACUAUACACAACAAUACGUUUUAUAACACCAAGUUACUGAUGCGUUUUCGUAUUAUCAAUGUACAAUCAAUUAACAAAUAAUAAACCAUAUAUCUAGGUUUUAAGACUAUAUGAUAUUAUCGUCUUGCGAUCACCUUUUAUAUCGUAUUCCAUAAGGUGAUUCCAGCAAGCGCGGGUUUAUUCCAAUGCUCAAAACUAGUUCAUAAGCACUCAUGAACGUUGCAGCAAUCCUUUGCUAUGUCUAACACCAUUUAGACAUUCUACACACCAAUUCAUGACAAUCUUCAUUCAUAUCUACUCCCAACAUAUGAACGAUUGUGGACCAUUUGAACAAUUCGAUUAUUCCUAAUAAACUCAAUUAUUCUGGAAGUCAAAACAUGCAAAGUGAAACAAUAGCUAAACAAUUAACAUAAGAUAGUAACAUUACUCAUAAAUAAAACUCCUUUAUUUAAUCAUCAAAUGUUAAUUACAUUUAUCUAUUACACGUUUCUAAUACUAUCUAAUCUAUGCUAAUAUCAUCCUUCAGCCCAAUACUCCUAGCAUGCUGCAAGUGCUUAACCCUACUCAGUCCCUUCGUAAGCGGAUCUGCUGGGUUAUCUUCUGAUGAUAUCCUCUUCACUACGAGUUGUCCUUCUUCUACACGAUGUCUGAUGAAGUGAUAUUUUCUGUCGAUAUGUCUUGAUCUACCAUGAUCCCUCGGUUCCUUGGUCAAGGCAACCGCUCCUUCGUUAUCACAGAAAAUCUCCAUGGGCUCCUUUAUGGCAGGUACAACUCCAAGAUCACCGAUGAAGUUCUUUAGCCAUAUUGCCUCCUUCGACGCUUCGCUCGCUGCAAUGUACUCUGAUUCGCACGUUGAAUCAGCUACGGUUUCCUGCUUGGAACUCUUCCAUGUCA